rnacentral:lncRNA from 1 species
UUUUCACCAAUUAUUUUCAUUCGCAACCUCGUUAUUGCACUAGCACCAACAAUAAAAUAACUACUAAUUUUGGUAACUGUUGUUAACUUUUCUUGUAUUAGUGUGGUUGAAAGGAAAUUUAUAUUAAAAAGUAACACACCCAAUUUCCUUUUCGUUAUCUUCAUGUAAAGGCCAAUGGUGGAUGAUGGAUCCCAUCCCAUGCAUCACAUGGAUGACUAAUGAACUUUUAUAAUCUCGACUGAUCGAUAUCGUCUUAUCAUUAUCUAAGCAGUUUAGUUUUCAAACAUGAUUACGUAAUAAACAAUAUCCUUUUAUCUUGGGUAAAGUCUAAAGCCAGAAAUAGUUUAUUCAGCUGCUACCUAACUUUAAUUUUAUAUAUGCAAUUGUUAACCAUUGCCAUUAUUCUUCAUGUUUUAUACGAUUUUCUAAAUUAUUCAAAAUUACAAGAAGAAGAAUUCUAAGUACAAAAAAAAUGAAUAUAUAGUUCUAACAAACUAGCUUAUAACUCACAUAUACGUUACAACUCCUGGAUGGUUUUGUUCAGCUAACGCUUACUUUUUUACAAACUAAUCUUUCUUUCUCUAUGCUCUUACUCUAUCUGGAAAUACUUGAUCCAAAUAAUUGAUUAGAAGCAGCUAAUUAAUUGGUUGCCGAAUCAGAUUACUCAUAUGCAAGAACUUAAAUGGUAGAUAUUUUGACAGGCCAUGAGGGGAACUGAUGGGAACACCAUACAUAUUCAAACAAAUGAUAUUACUGAGUCAUGACCCACUUCGAACAGAAUUUGGUUGCUUAAUUUGUCAAAUAUGUGAUGACCUGUGCUUCAUUACAAAAUUCAAGACGUGAUGUUUAUAGGCUACAUUCAAUAUACGAUCGAGAAAUAAUUCACAAACGCGAACUGGUUCUGCUUGGAGUGACCCUCAAGGUGUCUCCACCAGAAUGGACUUUAUAACUACGUUAAAUAAUUUGGUCUCUUGGAAUUUUGGUUAAUUUGAUUGAGUACGAUCUCCAUCAAAGACUCUUCUUCAAGACUUUAGACACCCUGGUGGCUGGUGCUCAGAGUUCAACCACGUACGUCAAAACAAAAGAAAAAAAAAUGAUUUGGAAACAUUUGAAAGAAAUAAAAAUCACUAUAUACGUUGCCCAAUUAGUGAGAUUCGUAAAUAUACUCAAGAAGGCAAUUAAUUAGAAAACCUGAUUUUAAACAAGUAGUUACGAUAUCAUUAUUAUUUGAAAUUAAUUUUCAUUUUUAGGUGAGUUUUUGCUCACCUCUUAAUUAUGGUGUAGCGUUUCUUUUCUUUGUGUUUUUCUUAUGACAAAAACGGACUUCUUUUUGCCCUCCAAUUUAAUUGUUAAUCGCUAUAAAAGUAGUUUGCAUUCCAAGUUAAUGUGACAUCUGUUUCUCUCUCACUUUUCUCUUUAUUUCUCAAGACAAACAAGAUACUAACAAUGAGCAUAUAUUGUCCUAAUUGCCUCCUCCUAGUCCUCACCGCCUUGUUGUAUCUUUUCGUUGCUAUCACCGCGUUUGGAGUAGGAGGAGGAGAAGAGCACCUUUACCCUCCCAAGUACCCUCCUCUAAGGGGUGGGUAUUUCCCCUUUGACAACCUGAACGACCCACGUUUGAGGGAGAUCGCAGAGUUCGCCAUUUCCAAGUACAACAAGAUUCAUGACCAAAAACUAGUGUUGCAAAAGUUGGUUCAUGGACAGUUCCAAAUAGUGGAGGGAACCAAUUACAAGCUUGUCAUUUCGGUUCUCAAUUCUUCCAAGAUCUUUAGCGGCCCAAUCAACUAUGAGAUCAUUGUGUUCGAAAAUCUUUGGAGGACUAUUAAGGAACUGAAGUCCUUUGUUCGAGUCCAAAUUAAUAAAACUUAAAUCCAGUCCACCUUAUUUUUAAGGUUUCUGGAGUCCUUUCUCAUUUCUUUCUUAUAUUUUUUAGAGCAUUAUCAACUAAUAAUAUAUAAGUUACUUUCACAUGAUGCAUUAUGAGUUCGAUUUUUUGUGUUAGUUAAUCAUGCGAAGGUGGCCAAAGAGAGGCUAAAAUGUCUUUGUGAGUCUUCCCGACUUCCGAAAUGAAUGAUUACCGUGGUGAAGCCACCAACUAGUCCUCUUUUUCUAAAUAAAAAAACAACAUAAUACAAACACAGUUUGGAAACAACUCAAUUUCAUUACUUUUCUCAUAUUCUCCUUUACUCACUCUUUUUUGUUCGAUGGCAAAUAAUUUUAUCGUUUGUGAAAUAACCAACAAAACGAUAUAAGAACAUGAAAAAAUUAAACUAAUUAACAAUCUCGCAUGUAAAAAAGUAAAUUUUUUUUGGGGGUAAAGACCGUGAAGUGUCUGCACACCCGAAAAGUGUGACCAAUAUCUACUCAAGGUUUGGCUUGACACUGGCCACAAAGUGCUUUCGUAAAAUUUCUGGCAAAUAUAAAAAACGACACGUAGUUUUCUUUUUGUUCAUGUUUGUUUCGUCCAUAUAAUUUGGUGAAGCUUUUGACGUCAAAAAGAGGAAGGGCUAAAUUUUAGUAGAUGAUGCAAAAAAGGAUAGUGACAUUGAUCCAUAAGAAGCUCAACAAACUCUUGAAAUACCGGAAGCUAAUUUGAGGAAAGCUAAAGGCAGGAGACAAACAAUUGAAGUUAAUUUGUUAAACCCUCCGUGCCUUUCCUUUUUAGUCAUUAAAACCCACAAAACAAAAGAAAUAAUAUCAUUUUUGUUGUAGGCCUAUUUGAUUGAAAGAUUUAAGGUUUAGAGAGAGAGAUAGGGGUUCGGCAAUAUUGAGAGAGAAGAGAGAUUGAUUUAAUUGUGAGGUGUGUUUGAUUCACCCCAUUGUGCCUUUAUUUAUAGUAGUAGGAAGGGUAAAACCUUUCCCUUUAGAAUUACAAUAUUUAAUAGAUAAUCUAAUCUUAAUAGGAAUAUAAGAUAUUUUCCCAUAUUCCCUAGGAUUUACACAAUCACAUUCCUAUUCUAAAUAUGACUGCAACACUCCCCCUUAAGUGUGUAAAUACUCAACAAAUCAUCCCAUCAGAUCUUCAGCAGAUAAGGUAGAAUAGUUGAUGAAGUCAUCGGCACAACGGGUGAUCGCGAGUCUCAAAUUUAAGUGAAGUAUGCAUUUGUAGUAAAACUCACAAAACCUCGUUAUGGUAAAACCCAAUGCAUGGGGAAAACCCAUAGACUAAGGAGAAGAGUGAGAAGUAUGAUCAUCCCAUGAUGGGUGCCUCAUUAAAACCUCGUUAGGUAGCAAAACCCAGUGGAAAAAAUGCUUCUAAUCGUAGGGAAAAUAGUACAGUAAGAUCAUGUGAGUAUGCUUCUAGAUACUCUCCUUAAGUUAGACAUAACUUCUAAAUAAGAGAACUACAAACGAUGCAACUUAGAUAAUUUACGCAUAUCGAUUCCUUGGAUGGGUUUCUGAAAUGUAGACUUGGGCAAUAACUUGGUAAAGAGAUCGGCCAGGUUGUCCUGGGAACGGAUUUGCUUGACUUCAAUGUUCUGAUGUUGUUGUUGCUGGUGUGAUUAAAAGAACUUUCAUAAUAUGUGCUUGGUGUUGUCUCUUUUGAUGUAUCCCUUCUUCAGCUGCUCGAUACAUGCUGCAUUGUCUUCAAAGAUCAUCGUAGGAAGGUCAACGACUGAUGUAAGACCACUAGUGCUUCGAAUAUGUUCCAUAACUUCUCUUAGCCAAAAGCACUCACGCGAUGCUUCAUGUAGGGCGAGAAUCUCAGCAUGGUUAGACGAAGUCGCAACUUGCGUUUUCUUGGUAGACUUCCAAGAUAUAGCGGUGUCUCCAACGGUAAAGACAUAACCUGUUGAGAACGUGCUAUAUGUGGGUUAAACAGAUAUCCAGCAUCUGCAUAACCAACAAGGCGAGAAUCAUUCCGAGGGCCAUAGAGGGCGACAACACUUGGAGAUUAGCGAGUAUAGAACAAACCCAAAUUCGUAGUACCUUUGAGGUAGCGAAAAAUGUCUUUAACACCAUUCCAGUGCCUGCAUUUGGGUGCAUUGUUGUAUCUAGCCAAUAGAUUCACAGAGAAUGAGAUGUCAGCUCUAAUGCAUUGAGUCAAGUACAAUAAAGCCCCAAUUGCACUUAAGUGAGGAACUUCGGGUUCCAAAAUCUCUUCCUCAUCCUCCUUUGGACUGAAGGGAUCUCGUUUAGCAUCUAGAGUUUGAACAACCAUACGUGUACUCGAAGGCUUCGCUUUAUCUUCAUUAAAACGUCAUAACACCUUUUGGGUGUAGUUCGAUUGAUGUACUAGGAUUCCAUCCGAACAAUGCUCGAUUUCCAGGCCGAGGCAAUAUCGAGUUUUCUAAGAUCCUUUACCUCAAAUUCUGAUUUCAAGUGUGUAGCAAUUUCCUCAAUCUCUGCGGCAGUCCCAAUGUGGUUCAUGUCAUCGACAUAAACUGCAAUGAUUGCAAAUCCGGAAUCUUGAAAAGCUGCAAUCUGCCUCGAUUGUCAUCCACCAUUCUUGUUUUAAAAAUUAAAUUAAAUCAGAAAUUAACAUUUUGUAAAUUUCAAGAAAUUUUAUUCUGUUGAUGCACAAAAUCAGCGAAGACUUUGGUACAACAGAAAGUGUCAGGUUUUGUGACCUUCGCUUGGUUGCUUCGGUCACUAGUGAGGAUAAGUACGUAAAUGAAUAGAGACAGAGAAGCAAACACAGGAUGUACGUGGUUCACCCAGAUUGGCUACGUCCACGGAGUAGAGGAGUUCUUAUUAGUAGUGAAGGGCUUACACAAGUACAAAGGAUCAAGCUCUCAAUUUAGUGAGUUCUUGUGAAUGAUUUAACACAAAAUGGCAUUAGGCAAUAUUGUGGGGGAAUGACCCCUAUUUAUAGAAAAACUUGUAGCUUUGUCACAUUGACAUGUGUCAUGUUAUGAUUGGUUCUUGAUGUCGACACGUGCUGCGCUCUGAUUGGCUUCUAAUCUUGACACGUGUCGAGUAGUGAUUGGCCUCCUGGUCGGAGGGGAACUCUUCUGGGUCCUUGACAGUAUAGCGUUGGCCGGUGCUCGGUAGUUUCGGGAUUGGUCAAGUAUGGUACAAACAGUGCUCCCCUAAGUUCCCGAGUGAGGGAAACUCCUCGGUUGGGGACUUGCAAGAUCCAAUCCCUUGAGUAAUCACGAAACUUCUAAGUACCGAAGUGUGGUCUGAUCUUCAUCUGCCCUUCUCUGGAAGUACCUUUCCUCCAUCCGGGAAUGGUGUACUUUAGCUGAUGUUGACGCACAAGGUAAUGUAUCAAUUUCACUUGAAGCUUAGUUGUAGUUUCGGGCUUAGUCAAGUGUGAUACAAACCCUAUAGUAGGAGUCCCCCAAGUCGCCGAGCUAGGAGAUCUGCCGAAAGAGGUGACAGACAAGGUAAGCAGUCAAACUUCCAAGUAAGCAACCCAGGAUCAGAGGUUUGACUUCGGCUUCCGGUUGAUUGUUCUCCUUCUCCUUGUCUCUCAUUCAACUGCCAGGAUAAGGAGAAGCAAAUGGAUAAGAGAUGAUAUGAGAUACUUUUGCUUUUGAAGAAGUAACUUUCCACAGGCUUAUUCUUGAACUGUGCUGGAGGGUUUUCUGGUGCCCUUCAGAGUAUAAGGCCGACUCAAAAAUUUGAGGGUCAAAACAAGUCCAUCAAAUCUAGAGUACGUUCGACCUUGAUGAUAUGGGAUACUUUUGCUGUUGACGGAAUAAUGAAUGUGGUAUGGAAAGGUGUCGUGCUGUAGUGAUCUGUUUCAGCUCACCGUUGAACCUUCUGCUUCAAUCUUUUGCAUGGCAGAAGUGGUGUGCAACCUUUGCAUUUAAAUGGUCCUUCAGAACAUUCCUUCAUAGUGACUCAUCCACGCUUGGCAGCUUCAGUGUAAAGAGCCAAUAUCUGAUCAACUGUCAUGAGGUAUUUGCCGGUGGAAUUCGUGACCUUGACAGCAGUUGAGGAUGAGUACUCGAGAGCAAUGCUAAGUAAGCAACCAGGCAAAGGCUCCAGGCAGUCAGUUCCAAAUUGGAGGUUUGAUUUCAGGUUCCGACUGACUGCUCUCUUUCUCCUUGUCCUGCAGGUGUGGACAAGGACAAAGACAAAGACAGGGAGAAAGCAUGAUAUGGGAUACUCUUGCUUUCGACCCUGAUGAUAUGAGAUACUCUUGUUCUUGGUGUGGCUUAUUUGCUGAGGUAUUAUCGGGGGGAAAUAAAGCUGAGUAUUUCGAGAGGUUAUGUUGAGGGUGCCUUUUCGAAUGCGAGAAAGGGUUGAGCAUUUUUGCAGGUUUGCCUGUCCGUUGAGGAGGGAGGUCAAUGUAUAUAGGGAUUUCCCAAUAACAAGUAGUAAUGCUAUUCCUUUACCCUUCUUGGUCACAGCAAUGUAGUGGGAGCUGCCAGCUUCACGUGUUUUAAUUUUGUCAGAGCACUUUGAAAAAGUGGUAUGUGGUAUCUGGAAAGCUGAUAUUACGUGUGAAGAUUACAGACAAGCUUUAUCUAAGGAAAUCUGGCUCUCGAAGUUCUGAGAGUUGUGCCUCUUCGGUUUUCGAACAAGCAAUCCCGUCGAGGAUCUGACUCUCGAGAUUCGGAAAGCGGUGCUACUCCGGUUUUUGAGAAAGUAAUUAUGUUGGGAGUCUUUUCUCUCGAAUGUGAGUAAAGGUUGGACGUUCUUGCCAACCUGUCUUGCCGCAAAACACGGAGGUCGACACACAUAGGGACUUUCCAGUUGUCAAGCAGUGGUGCUGUUCCUUUACCCUUAUGGGUAAUAGUAGGGUAGCUGGAACUUCGAAAUUCUCGUGCCUAAACUUUGUCAGAGAUCUUUGACAAAGUUAUAUGUGGUACCCGAGGAGUUGAUGGUGCAUAUGGAGAGCGGUGAUUGAACAGUAAGAUUCACGUGCUUUCUACUUCACCAGAAAUCUUCGACAGAUUGCCCGUAAUUUCCGCAAAGCUGAUUGUGCAUGUGACAGGUGCUGACGAGGCUGAAAAAGCAGGUGCUUCUUCGAUUUCUGAGAUCGGCCCUCGUGGUCUCUGAGCAGCCCAGCUUUUGAGAAAGCAAACGCCUCUUCGAUUUCUGAGAUCGGCCCUCGUGGUCUCUGAGCAGCCCAGCUUUUGAGAAAGCAAACGCCUCUUCGAUUUCUGAAGCUCCGUCGAGUGCAGAUUUUUAUAGAGGCUGGCAUUAAGUUCCACAGCACACUUGAAUCUCUACCAGUAGAAGCUCAUUUCUUGCACUUCUAAGAUCUUGAUUUGUCUGACCUCUUCCUUCUUCAACACAUUUGAAAAUGUCUGGACCCUCCGACCGUCGUUUUGACUUGAACCUUGGAGAAGAGACAGCCACGCCUUCUCCAGACAACAUAUGGCGCCCAUCCUUCAUAUCCCCUACUGGUCCUCUUACCGUUGGGGAUUCUGUGAUGAAGAAUGAUAUGACCGCUGCAGUGGUGGCCAGGAACCUUCUCACUCCCAAAGAUAACAGACUACUUUCCAAACGGUCUGAUGAGUUGGCUGUUAAGGACUCUCUGGCUCUUAGUGUUCAGUGUGCAGGUUCUGUGUCUAAUAUGGCCCAACGCCUAUUUGCUAGAACCCGCCAAGUUGAAUCAUUGGCUGCUGAAGUGAUGAGUCUCAAACAGGAGAUUAGAGGGCUCAAGCAUGAGAAUAAGCAGUUGCACCGGCUCGCCCAUGACUAUGCUACAAACAUGAAGAGGAAGCUUGACCAGAUGAAGGAAUCUGAUGGUAAGGUUUUACUUGAUCAUCAGCGGUUUGUGGGUUUGUUCCAAAGGCAUUUAUUGCCUUCGUCCUCUGGGGCUGUACCUGGUAAUGAAGCUUCAAAUGAUGAACCUCCAAUGCCUCCUCCUUCUGGGGUUUUGUCAAGUACUGAGGCUCCGGAUAACCACCCUCCGGUGCUUUCUCUUUCUGGGGCUCUACCGACUGCUGAGACUUCCCCUAAGCAACCUUUGUGAAGGCUCCCUUUUGUUUGUUUAUUUUGACUCAUGUAUAUGUACAUAUUUGUGGCUUAUCGAAAAUAUUAAUAAAUAAGCUUUGCUUCAUUUCAACAUAUUGUGUUAAAUACACCAAAGCCUUCUUCAUAAAGUUCUUUGAAUUUUUGCUUUUGUUGAAACCUGUAUUGUUGAAGCUUUGUGAGUGAAGCAUGUAGUUUGAGGUAGUGUUCCCUUAAUUUCCCGAGUGAGGAAAACUUCUCGGUUGGAGACUUGAAAAAUCCAAGUCACUGAGUGGUUGUGAGACUUUUGCCGAGUAUCCAAGGUGCGUAGUAGCAUAUGGUGGGAGUCCCCCAAGUCUUCAGGCGAAGAGAGUUGCCGAAUGAGGUGUCUCGCGUGUUACUAAUGUUGUCAAAGUAACGAAUUCCUUGUUUCGAUUUGUCACACAUUCGUAUAUGCUUUAUCUAAAAAAUAUUUCCAACUUUUGUGUGUUUGAUGCUGCAUGCUAUUGACUAGACAAAAAGAUCAAAUGUGCAAUUAGUAGCUUUUCUCUCUUUUUCAUCUUUUCUUUGGUGGAAUUGCUUUUUCGUUUCCACUAAUCAGCCUGAGUGGAUGCAAGAUAACACCUUUCUCUAUAGCUCAGAUUGCAAAGUCGUCUUCAUGAAAGUUUUUCCUUAUCUUGUGAACUACAACAUAUCCAAAUUUGAGAGAUCCAUCGGAGUAGUACAACUUCAGAAAUUCAAGUAUGAUGAGUAACUGUUCAUCAAUGUUCUGUUAAUCCGUCAGACUUUGUUGUGAGCUUCGAAACUCCAUUUUCUCUUGUUCAGAUCAACAUACUUUCUUCAUCGAAGUUGUUCCUUAACUUGUGAACUACAACAUAUCCAAAUUUGAGAUCCCUCGGAGCAGUAUAACUCCAGAAAUCCAGGUAUGAUGAGUGACUGUUAUCAUUUGUCUGUCAACCCGUCAGAUUUGUUGUGAGCUUUGAAACUCCAUUUUCUCUUGCUUCAGAUCAGCAUGCUUUCUUCAUUGAAGUUGUUCCUCAGCUUGUGAACUACAACAUAUCCAAAUUUGAGAUCCCUCGGAGCAGUAUAACUCCAAGAAAUCCAGGUAUGAUGAAUGACUGGUUAUUAUUUUUCUGUCAACCCGUCAGAUUUGUUGUGAGCUUCGAAACUCCAUUUUCUCUUGUUCAGAUCGGUAUGCUUUCUUCAUUGAAGUUGUUCCUCAUCGACUCUUUCAUAACAUAUCAAAAAUUCAGGAUGAACUAACGGUUAAAUAUUUCCAGAUCUUCGAAACAUCACAACAGCUUCGAAAUCUGCAAGAAGCCGACUAUCAUGUUUGGAGCUUCAACACUUUAAUUUCCGUCGCUCAAACAGAAAUGGUUCCUUCUUGAAAGUUGUUCAUAUGCUCAAGAACUAUAGGGUGUCCAAAAUUCAGCUCCAUUGGAGAAGAGCAGAGGUUGCAGAAAUUUGAUAGAUGAAAGGAGGCGGAAGAGGGAGAGAGAGAAAAAGUCUCUUGGGUUGGAUUUCUAUUUUGGGGCAGAUUCCAAUUUUUGUAGCACCUUCAUUAUUGAUGAAUUGCUUGUACUUUUGUCCAUUAUGAAACUUUGGGACUUUGGCUUGUUGUUGGAUCUAUUAUAAUAUGUUUGGGAACAUAUAUAAGUGAAUAAAUAAGAAGGAAAAUUUUGGGCCCUUGUGGGUGUAAAACAAAAAAUGUUUAUGUUUACCCAAGUGUUUUUGUACAAGUUCAAGGGCAUCUUGGGUUUUGUGAACAAAAUUUGUUUAUUUGGAGCAAGGUUUUGUGUUGAAGCUUUGUAGGUGAAGCUUUCUAGGUGAAGCUUUGAUGGUGAAGCUUUGUAGAUGAAGCUUUGUAGAUGAAGCUUUCUAGGUGAAGCUUUGAUGGUGAAGCUUUGAUGGUGAAAGUAUGUAGAGGGAGCUUUCUAGGUGAAGAUUUUUUAGGUGAAGCUUUGUAGGUGAAGCUUUUUUAAGUGAAGCUUUUCGGGUGAAGUUUUUUUUUUUGGGAAGCUUUGUGGUGAAGCUUUUUAGGUGAAGCUUUGUGGGUGAAGCUUUGGAGGUGAAGCUUUUGGGUGAAGCUUUUUGGGUGAAGCUUUUUAGGUGAAGCUUUGUGGUGAAGCUUUUUAGGUGAAGCUUUGUGGGUGAAGCUUUGGAGGUGAAGCUUUUCGGGUGAAGCUUUUUGGGUGAAGCUUUUUAGGUGAAGCUUUUUUGGGUGAAGCUUUGGAGGUGAAGCUUUUCGGGUGAAGCUUUUUGGAUGAAGCUUUUUUUUUUUUUUUUUUUUUUUUUUUUUUUUUUGGCGCUUGACACGGUCUUCAUUUGCUUGUUUUGUAGUGACUGUGGAAGACGGAUUGCUUUCUGAUUGAGAAGGGUUCCGGCAUCGCUUGCUAUGAAUGUAAAAGAGUGAGGGCUGAGUUGGCUAAAUUACCUCUUUAUUGAAUUCAUUGCCAAAUGGCCUUCAUUACAUAGGAUGCCGAACGGCUAUAGCUCAACACUUGUACAUCGUGAGUCUAUUUGUAGUAGUACUUCAAGUGAUCAGCGUUCCAUGGAUGGCCAAGGGUCUUGCCAUCGGAGCUUCUAAGUGUGUAAGAGCCAGGGCGACUGAUGCCAAUGACUUCAUACGGUCCAUCCCAGUUUGGACUAAGUGUGCCUUCACUCGGGACUCUGUCGCAGAGUAAUCUUUUCUUUAAGACCCAGUCUCCUAUUUUGAAAGAACGAGGCUUGACCCUAGAGUCAUAAUAGUUGGAGAUGCGCUGCUUGUAGGCGACAUUCCUCAAGUGAGCUUGGUUUCUGUGUUCCUCGACUAAAUCCAAGUUGAGGGUGAGUUGUUUGUCAUUUUCACUUUGAAUGUAGUUCUGGACUCGGAAUGUUGCUUGCUCGAGCUCAACAGGGACAACCGCCUCUGUGCCAAAGGCAAGUGAGAAUGGAGUUUCUCCUGUUGAAGUCCGAUAUGAAGUGCGAUAUGACCAAAGAACUUGGGGUACAAAUUCUGGCCAACAGCCUUUAGCUUUGUCCAAGCUGGUUUUCAAAGUGCGCUUGAUUAUUUUGUUGAUGGCCUCAACUUGUCCAUUAGACUGGGGAUGAGCUGGAGAGGCAAAGCAUAAGUUGAUGUUGAACUUAGAGCAGAACAACCUGAACUUCUUGUUGUCAAACUGUCGCCCAUUGUCAGUGACUAUCGCAUUGGGAAUGCCGAAUCUACAAAGGAUGUUCUUCCACACGAAGUCUUCUAUCUUUGCCUCAGUAAUGGUUGCCAAGGGUUCUACUUCGGCCCACUUUGUGAAGUAGUCCACUGCAACGACUGCGUAACAGACUUUGCCCUUCCCUGCCGGCAUUGGGCCGAUCAAAUCAAGUCCCCACUGGGCGAAGGGCCAAGGGCUGAUCAUAGGAGUAAGAGGCUCUGGAGGGGAAUGAGGAAUAGUUGCAUAUCGUUGACAUUUGUCACAUGAGCGGGAUACUUUGAUGGCAUCCUGGUGGAGUGUUGGCCAGUAAUAUCCUUGGCGAAAAGUCUUGUGUGCUAGGGACCGAGAUCCAGCAUGAUCUCCACAGACUCCCUCAUGUAUUUCCCGAAGGACGAUUUCCGCCUCGGCAGGCGUAAGACACCUUAAGUAUGGCAGGCUAAAACCUCGCUUAUAGAGUUGAUCAUUGAUGAUCAGGUAGCGGGUAGACUUGUAUCGAAUUUGCUUAGCCUGGACUUUAUCAUUUGGGAGGGUGCCAUGAGCAAGGAAAUUAUAGAUCGGGGUGAUCCAACUAUCCCCCUGUUGUAAGUUGCAUACUUCUGCGGCCAUGGUGCUUGGUGUUGCCAACAGUUCGACAUGAAUUUUUCUUCCAAUCUUGUCUUCCACAGCUGAGGCGAGGCGAGCCAGGGCGUCUGCAUGACUGUUUGCCGCUCGAGGAACUUGGGUGAUCUGGUAGUGGAAGUGCUUGAGCAAAAGUUGUGUUUGCGCAAGAUAUGCUGCCAUGGAGCUGUCCUUAGCAUCAAAGUUGUUGGUAACCUGGUUGACCACUAAUUGGGAGUCACUGAAAAUAUCAAUUUGUUUAACCCCGAGGUGUUUGGCCAAACGUAAUCCUGCUAGAAGGGCUUCAUACUCGGCCUCAUUGUUUGAUGCCUUGAAUUUGAAACGAAGAGCAUACUCCAUUGCUACUUUGUCGGGCGUAGUCAAGACUAGUCCCGCUCCACAGCCCUGUUGGUUGGAUGAGCCAUCAACAUACAGACUCCAUGCUGAGGUCGUUGAUUCUACUUUCUGAGCUUCCGAUGGUAAUGAAGCUACUGCUUCAGGUGUAGAAGCAAUGUCAACAGGAUAUGUGAAGUCGGCGAAUGAAAUCUGCUACUGCUUGGCCUUUUUCGGCUGGUUUUGGUUGGUAGGAGAUGUCAAACUCACCCAAUGCUAUCGCCCAUUUGAUCAUUCGCCCAGACGUGUCAGGACUUUGGAGUAUCUGUCGAAGAGGGUGAAUUGGUAAGCACGAUGAUGGCGUGUGCUUGGAAAUAAGGGCGAAGUUUCCGAGCAGACAUGACCAAUGCUAGAGCCAAUUUCUCAAUGUUGGAGUAGUACCGUGUCUCCGCAUCUUGUAAGGCCUUUGCUAGCGUAGUAGACAGGGCCGUUCGACACCAUUGUCCAUUUCGAAUGAGAACAGGAACUUACUGGCUGAAGCUGAUACCGAUAGGUAGAUAAUGAGAAUGUCUCCUACUUCGGGCUUUUGGAGAGUAGAGGGGCUUUACUCAUGUACUCUUUGAGGUUUUUGAAUGCCUCGGCACAUUCAUCAGUCCAUGUAAUGUACUUCCUACUUCCCUUAAGUGCUUUAAAAAAGGGAGCACAUUUGUCUGUGGCCUUAGAAAUGAACCUGGUUAAGGCUGCCACCUUGCCAGUAAGGCUCUGGAUGUCCUUUGAAGUUACCGGUUCCUUCAUGUCGAGGAUUGCUUUGAUCUUCUCAGGGAUUAGCUUCAAUGCCUCGUUGGCUAAUCAUGAAACCUAAGAAUUUGCCAGAGCCUACGCCGAAGGCACAUUUGUUGGGGUUUAACCUCAUUCGAUACCUCUUCAAAAUAGUGAAAGUUUCAGAUAGGUUGGUGAUGUGUUGGUCAGCAUGUUUGCUCUUGACUAACAUAUCAUCAACGUAAACUUCCAUGCUCUUCCCAAUCUGCUCGGCGAACAUUGAGUUGACUAGUCUCUGAUAAGUCGCUCCUGCAUUCUUUAGGCCGAAAGGCAUGACUUUAUAGCAGUAUAGUCCUCUGUCGGUAGUGAAGGCUGUGUGUUCUUGAUCCGAAGGGUUCAUGAGGAUUUGGUUGUAUCCUGAGUAAGCAUCCAUGAAGCUCAGGAGUUCACACCCGGCCGUAGAGUCUAUAAGUCUGUCAAUAAGAGGAAGAGGGAAGCUAUCUUUCGGACACCCUUUGUUUAGGUCGGUGUAGUCAACACACAUUCUCCACAAGACCUUUUGAAGCAAAAGACUUUCUUUGGUCGGAUUUUUCUUAACAAGGACCACAUUUGCUACCCAUGUCGGGUAAUUGACUUCGCGGACAAAGCCUAUGCCUUUGAGUUUUUCAACUUCUGCUUUCAUUGCCUCGUAUCGUUCAGCGUCAUAAGAUCUUCGCUUCUGUCUCACCGGCUUGAUCUUGGGGUCAAUACUCAAACGAUGACAGAUGACAUCGGGAGAGAUGCCUGGCAUGUCCUCGUAUGACCAGGCGAAGACUUCAGUGUUCUCUUUCAAAAAAGAUAUCAAUGCUAACCGAAGGGGUGGUGACAAUGUGGUGCCAAUCUUCACCAUGCGAUCUGGAUAAUCUCUUGAGAUAGGUACCUUCUCCAACUCUUCAGCAGGUUGGGCUUGCUGGGUGAAAGAGUCAUCUCGAGGAUCAUCGGGUUGAUUGUUGCUAUCAGGAAGAUCCAAGUUCGCUUCAUCUAGGCUGGUCUUUGUGACUUGGUCAUGUACAGACAGGGUUUCCUUGGGUCCGGGCAAGUGUUGUUGCUUAACUGAAGUGUUGUAACAUGAUCGUGCACUAAGCUGAUCUCCUCUGAUGUAGCCGUUGCCAUGGGGGGUUGGAAAUUUCAUCAACAGCAUAUGCGUGGAUACCAUAGCCUUGAGAUCAUUGAUGCCUGUGCGCCCAAAGAUGACAUUGUAUGCCGUUGGGCAGUCAACCACUAGGAAGUUAGUGGUAAUGGUAGCCGUGUAAGGGCCUGUACCAAUAGUAAAGGGUAAAUGUAUGCUCCCUAAGGGUUGCACGAUAUCACCGGAGAAGCUUAUCAGAGGAGAAAUCGAGCGAUCGAGCAAGUGUUCAGCUACACUGAGUGCCCUGAAAGCUUCGGCAAACAUGAUAUUGACCGAAGCCCCUGUGUCUACGAGGAUUCGUCGAACAUCAAAGUUGGCUAUGUGAGCCUCCACGAUCAAUGGGUCGUUAUGAGGGUAGAUGAUGCCUCUUUCUUCCUCAGGGUAGAAACAUAUCGGAUCCCAGUUAGGCUUUUGAUACUUCCCUCCCCUGAUGUCUUCCACGUGAAACACUUGGUGACCAGGCCUCAGAAUUCGUUCACUGUUUUUCAUGGCCCUAUUGGAAGAUUCAGAUAUGGGUGUGCCGCCGCUUAUGGAAUAUAUGACAUUCACCUGGCGUUGGUUACGGUUAUCCCUUUGAGGGUGAAGGAGGAAUUGAUCAAUUUUUCCUUCUCGUGCCAAAGCUUCAAUACGAUCACGGAGGAUGAUACAUUUCUCGCUAUCAUGGCCGUUAUGCUCAUGGUAGCAACAAAACAUGCCCGCGUUAUUCGGGGGCGUGUAAUCUGGGUGCCUCGGCUUUGGCUUUGGUAUCAGGUGAGCUAUGCUGGGGUAAAUGGCCGCGCAUGUGGCAUUCAAGGGCGUGUAUGUCUCAUACCUUGGGGUAGGGGGUAUCUUGACGCGGGUUUGACCCACUGCAUUGACUGCCUGGGGGCGAGCGUUAUUGUGGCGAUACCCUUGGUUAUCGGGAUAGUGUCCCUUACUCUUUUUACUGAAAUGAGAGUGGUGAGGAUGGAAAUCCUUCCUCUUGCCUUGAAAUUGAUAUGUCUGUUGAUUCGGCGAAGCAUUAUGCAAGGCAUGGGGAGGUGCCACUGCUGUUUGGAAAGUCGAGGUCUUCUCAUUUAGGUGAGUCUGGCUUCCACCUCCCACUUGUUGAUAAAGGAUGGUUGUAGGGGGUUUCUCCUGAUAUGUCUUUGCCUCGGCGGAGGCAUGGUUAUAAGCCUGCGCCAUCACCUCAGAGUAAGUCUUCCAAGUAUUGGCAUUGAUCAUGUAUUUAAAGAAACAAUCACGUAGGCCUGCCGUGAAGGCUUUGAGGGCAGUCUUGUCGUCUGCCUCGGCACACCGGGAGUAUUCAUGGCUGAAGCGGCCAGCAUACAUACGUAAUGACUCGUCUGGCUUCUGGCGGAUAGUGUACAGGUCAUCUGCAGAGUGCAAGCGAUCGGUUUGGAAAAUGUGUUGGGAAACAAAUAGUUUCCUCAAUUCCUCAAAUGAGUCUACCGUCUCAGGUGUAAGACGACAAUACCAAUUUAGAGCUCCGCCAGAGAGGGUGGAGGGGAAGAGAAGACAUCGCUCUUCGUCGGUGUGCAUCCGGUAUGCCAUGGUGGACUCAAAGAGGUUAAGGUGCUCAAUCGGGUCCUCUUUUCCAGUAUAAAGUUGCAAGCCAAGCUUUUGCUUUGUCUUUGCUUGAAGGGGGGUGUUGAGGAUCCUCCUUGUAAGAGGGCCAGGCCUGGGUUGGUUCCAGUCAGGUAUUUCAGCCUGACGUUCAGCCUUCAACUUGUUUACUUCCUCAAGAAGUUGUAGGACAAGGGGGUCCUGAGCGGAGUUAUGUGUCCACUGGAGCUUUCUUUCGUAAAUCUCCAUCUCCUCUUGGAAUUAGGAAGGUUUGAUCAAGGGCAUGUGAUUUUUCCCUGGACUCGUUGUACUGGCUUCCAGGGUAUGUCUGUCGGAACACCUCUGAGUCCCCUGUACCCUCAUGUCUCUCUAGGACUUGUUGCCCCUUCCCCAAAUUGGUGGCCGGCUCGGGCCGUGGCAGGGGACCGAGUCUCUCAGAAAUCCUUGGGUCAUUGAUCUUUGAGCUUAUAUGGAUGGAAUUCUCUCGACGUUGCUUCAGGAAAUCCCGACAAUCGCGAAAGACGGCUUUCGAUCCUUCUGCCCCUUCAGCAAAGAGGUGUCUCCCUCCACUUCUCAUGGUUCGGGUCGAAGCAACUGGGUUAAGAGAAGCCUCAUGUUGAUUAUCAAGUCGAGGGGUAAUCUGUUCCCUAUCAGGGAUAUCUAUGUCGAAUGCAUGUGACCCUCCAUGUUGGAGGGCACCCAGUUGAUGGUUGACUUCCACGGGGGCAACAAGCUCGCGUGUCUGAGCUUGCCUAGCUUCGUGGAGUGUCUCGAAGAGCUUCUCAUAUUGCUCCUGGAGGACCUCAUUCCUCAUUGCUAUCUUGUUGUUCUGAGCUUCCAACUCAUCGACUUUAGCUUGAAGAAGAACUCGUUUUCCUUCCUUCUUUCGUUGCUUUCGCACUAUGUGCAAGGGGGGUGUCAUUCUGUGUGCUGUGGCUUCCUUCGCUUCCCAUGUUGGAGAGGGAUGCCUGGUCAAAAGAAAGUGUACGAAUGAUAGAAACCAGCUUGACACAGCUGAAGAGAGUAGGAAUAAGUGUCGUUUCCCACAGACGGCGCCAAAUGUUGAUGCACAAAAUCAGCGAAGACUUUGGUACAACAGAAAGUGUCAGGUUUUGUGACCUUCGCUUGGUUGCUUCCGUCACUAGUGAGGAUAAGUACGUAAAUGAAUAGAGACAGAGAAGCAAACACAGGAUGUACGUGGUUCACCCAGAUUGGCUACGUCCACGGAGUAGAGGAGUUCUUAUUAGUAGUGAAGGGCUUACACAAGUACAAAGGAUCAAGCUCUCAAUUUAGUGAGUUCUUGUGAAUGAUUUAACACAAAAUGGCAUUAGGCAAUAUUGUGGGGGAAUGACCCCUAUUUAUAGAAAAACUUGUAGCUUUGUCACAUUGACAUGUGUCAUGUUAUGAUUGGUUCUUGAUGUCGACACGUGCUGCGCUCUGAUUGGCUUCUAAUCUUGACACGUGUCAAGUAGUGAUUGGCCUCCUGGUCGGAGGGGAACUCUUCUGGGUCCUUGACAGUAUAGCGUUGGCCGGUGCUCGGUAGUUUCGGGAUUGGUCAAGUAUGGUACAAACAAGCUGCAUAUUCAGUUUUUCGGAAACUAGCAAACUAAUUAGGUAGGGGAAUGUUAUAACGUCUAUUAUGGGGGAAUACAUCUCCUAGCAAUCAAUCCUUGGGCGCUGAGAGAAUGUAAUAGCCCACAUCGCCCAAGGGUGAGGAUCUUGUAAGCCUUAUAUGUAUAUUCUCAUCUCUACCUAGCACGAGGCAUUUUGAAAGCAAUACCAGGAUGGGCGACCCACUGAGAAGUUCUCGUGUGAUUUCCCAGAAACAAAACCGUGAGGGCGUGGUCAGGGCCCAAAGCGGACAAUAUCGUGCUACGGUGGAAUCGAGCCCGGGAUGUGGUCGGGGCCCGAGGGUUACCCAUCCUGGGAUUGCUCUCGCGCGAACCGCUUAACUUCGGAGUUCCGAUGGAACCCGAAGACAGUGAGUAGCGCGAGAGAGCAAUCCCAUGAUGGGUGACCCAUUGGGAAGUUCUGAUCACGUGAGUUCCCAAAAACAAAACUGUGAGGGAGUGGUCAGGGUCCAAAGCGGACAAUAUCGUGCUAUGACGGAGUCGAGCCCGAGUUAGGAUGUGACAGAGAAGCCUUGCGCUAUAAGGCGUGCUUUGUAUCGCACUAUUUCAUUCUUCUCAUUACGCUUCCUCACGAAAACCCACUUGUAGCCAAUGGGCUUCAUGCGUGGUGGUGUAGGAACGAUAAGUUUGACCUGGAUUGCUUGUUUCCAGGUUCUACGUUGGCAUUCAUCGACGGAACGUGGUUCAAUGUUUUCCUUUUUAGUCAUUAAAACCCACAAAACAAAAGAAAUAAUAUCAUUUUUAAAUAUCUGAAAGAAAUAAAAGUCACUAUAUACGUUGCCCAAUUGAUCUGUAUCGAAGAUACUCAACAAUGCAAUUAAUCAGAGAACAUGAUUUUAAGCCAGUAAUUACUAUAUCAUUAUUAUUUGAAAUUGAUUUUUGUUGUUGGCUUAAUUUACUAAAUCUUUAUAAAGGAUGGAGAGAAAGAGUGUGGAGGCAAUAGAGAGAAGAGAGAGAUGUGUAAUUGUGAGAUGUGUGUUAUGACACCUAUUGUGCCUUUAUUUAUAGUAGUAGGAAAGGUAAAUUCCUUACCCUAAUAGGAUUACAACACUAAUAUGAUAAUGUAUAGUCUAAGAGAUAUCCAAGAUAUGAUAGGAUUUACAUAAUGACUUUCAUAAUCUAAUAGGACUGCAACAAUUUUCAUUUUUUGGGUCAUUUUUGGGUCAUCCUUUUGAUUAUGGUGCAGUGUUUCUUUUCUUUAUAUUUUUCUUAUAACAAAAAAGGGACUCCUUUUUGCCCUCCAAUUUAAUUGUUAUUCAUUAUAAACGUAGUUUACAUUCCAAGUUAAUGUGACAUAUGUUAAUCUCUCACUUUUCCAUUUUUUUUCCAGUGUUCUAAAAAACGGCCUAGGCGGCCGCCUAGGCGCUGGGCGCCUAGCAACCGAGUUGUUUUUGGGCAAAUCGGGAGGAAAAAUCGGGUUGGGCCUAGGCGGGCUAGGCGGCGCCUAGGCGGGCUGGGCGGCUAGGCGGGUUAGGUGGGCUAGGCGGCCCUAGGCGGUCCUAGGCGGUCCUAGGUGGCCCUAGGCGGUCCUAGGAGGUUUUUUUUAUUUUUUAUUUUUUAUUAAUUGCGUGCUUUUUUCUUUUUUGGUUUCAUGGUGGUAUACUUAUGGAAAUGGUGUAUCUAAUUUGCAAAUGAUGAAUUUACUACAAGUUCAUCCAAUACUUAUGGAAAUAGUGUACCUAAUUUGCAUUUUAUCAUUAUUUUAUUAUCCAUACAAGUAUAGUUUUUUUUAGGUGUCAAUAUGCACUUAUUUACAAGAUAUACAAAAAUUUACCUAAAUCCGCCUAGGCCGCCUAGGCGCUAGCCCGCCGCCCGACUAGCGCCUAGCGUUUUUUAGAACCUUGUUUUUUUCUCAAGAUAAACACGAAACUAACGAUGAGCAUGUAUUACCUUAAUUGCCUCCUCCUAGUGCUCACCGCCUUGUUGUAUCUUUCCGUUGCUGCCACCUCGUAUGGAGUAGGAGGAUGAGAAGAGCACAAUUACCCUCCCAAGAACCGUUCUCUAAGGGGUGGGUACUUCUCUAUUGACAACUUGAGCGACCCACAUUUGAGGGAGAUCGUGGAGCUUGUUAUCUCCAUGUACAAUAAGAUUUAUGACAAAACACUGGUGUUGCAAAAGUUAGUUCGGGGACAUUUCUAAAUAGUGGAGGGAACCAAUUUCAAGCUUGUCAUUGCGGUUGUCAAUUCUUCUUCGAUCUAUGGUGGCCCCAUCAACUAUGAUGGCGUGUUUACCAAUUGGGAGUGGAAUGGAGAGAAAUGGAAUUGAAUUCCUCCCCAAGCAUUCUGCAGUUUACUAGCAACUGGGGAAUCAGAUUUUAUGUGGGGUCCAGCCAAUUUCAGGAUUUCAAUUUCGGAUUUCUCUGGAUUUGGAUUCCCUCUAUAGAGGUGGUAAUUGAAUUCUGGGUAGAGAGCUCCAUCACGAAUCAAAAUUUUCUACCCAAAAUACCCAUGUAUAUUCCUAAAACAACUUCUACCUUCAUCAAUCACUCUCCUCUGUAUUUGUUUCUCUCACAACUCAUACCACCCCUUUGUAAUCUGAAACGCAGUAACACAGAAUGACGAACGCCUGCGAUUUGGAACAACGAUCGACCGGGGUUUGAAACGACGACACAACGACGAACAUGAUCUGGAACAACGAACGCCCAAAUUCUCAAGGAAAUUGCGAUUUGUAGACUCAAACAAAAGAGAAGGAAAGAACUUUUAUCACUUUCACCCCUGAAAAUUGGAUUUUUUUUGUUGAUGGGAUGGGUCGUGGCUUCGUAGUUCCUCCUGAGAUUGGAUAGUGGGGUGUGGAUACUGCGUACUGGUGAAAGAAAAGGGCAAGAAAGGGGAAAGAAAAAGAAUGGGGAAAGAAAGGGGAAAGGGUUGCAGAAAAAGAAUGCGGAAAGAAAGGGAGAAGAGAGAAGGAAGUAAAAUGUUAUUUAGUUUACUUUAUGUAGGUAUUUCUAAUAGGAUUUAGGGUGAUUAAGGGUUAGAAGCAAAUAAAAAUUGAUUCUUUCAUAUCAAAUUUGAAGUAAUCUAUGCAAUUAGGAAAAUUUAAAAGUUAUAUAAAAGAAAAAAAAUUAUUCUCUUUAGUAAAAAAUUAAAAAAAAAAUAAAAGAAUAAAAGUUUUACUAAAAAUAAUUAGCAUAUAAAAUAAAUUAGUUAAAAUAGGGGCACUUUAGUAAUCACAUUAAUUAUCAUUCCGAUUCAUGUGAAUUAGUAAAUAGUUUGUAUACAUCAAUGUCAUUCCUACUCCGAUUCUAGACAAUUUUGGUAAACAAAUUCAACAGGAAUCUAAUUCUGAUUCCACCUCAUUCCAAUUCCUCCUCAAUCCAAUUCCUCUUAAUCUGAUUACGGAUUAGUAAACGUGCCCUGAGAUCAUUGUGUUCGAGAAUCUUUGGAAGACUAUUAGUAUUAAGGAACUGGAGUCCUUUGUUCGAAUUCAAACUAAUAAAAAUUAAAUCCCGUCCAUCUUAUUCAUGGUCUUUGGGGUCGUUUCUCACUUCUUUCUUAUAUGAUUUGGAGCAUAAGAAAUUAAGCAUCUGCUAAUAAUAUACAAGUUACUUUUACAUAACAUGUCAUAAGUUCGAUUUCUGACGUUGGUGAAUCACAAAAUGGUGGCCAGAGAAAGCCUGAAAUGCUUACAUAACUCUUUCCAGUUAAAAAAAAGAUGGAUUACUGUCAAAGCGACGAACUGAUCCUUUUUUUUUUUCUAAUAAUAAAAAAAACAACUCAAUUCAUCACUUUUCUCGACUUCUCCUUGAACCACUUUUUUAUAUUUUUUAUUUUUUAUCCAUAACAAACAAUAUUCUAUUUUUGUGAAAUAACCAACAAAUGAUAUAGAAAAGGGAGAAAUUAAAUUAAUCAACAAACACGAAUAUAAAAAGUAAUUUCAUUUUUUAUAAAGAUGUCUCCACACACAAAAAAAAGUGGGACUAAUCACCAUUCUGAGUAGAGUGGAACGGCUUGACUCUGCUACGUAGUGCCCUCAUAAAAAUUCCGUCAAAUAUAAAAAACGACACGUAGCUUUCUUUUUGUUCAGGGUGUUUUUAUCCAUAUAAUUUGGCGAAGCCUGUGACGGCGAAAAGAGGAGGAGGGACUGGAUUUUACAGUCGUAGACAACAUCAACUUCUUCUUCUUCCCCGGGUCGCCGCCGUACGUAAAGCACGACUCUCUCCUUAUAACUCGCCCCGCAGCCGUGACCUCUGCCGGGUAAGAGAUUUAUUGCCUCUUCUAUUUUUAAUUCCGCGUCGUUCUCUAAUUUAGGAAUUUGCGUAUUGAGGAUUUAGGGAUGUUGCCAUUACAAACAGAUGAAUUCGAAAAUUUCCAACUUGUUCAGUGAAUGGUUUUCAGCGAUUUUUCUCUGCUUGUUAAUUUUCAACUGUAAUCAAUUUGUAAUAGCUUCUGAAAAGUGAAAACAAAGUGAGAUUAGUAUUCACUGAAGAUUCAAAUGGACAACGAAACGAUGGAGUUCUGUCUCUGAAUAACUUCUUGCUCAGUGUAAAGUCUGUUGAUCGUUGAUGCUUUUGUUCUAACGAAAAGCGGGUGACCGGAAAAACCAAACAAUUAAAUGUGCAGAUUAAGGAAUUAACAGGUUCCAUAAAAUUGGGGAAAUCUCAUAUUAACAAAGGGCACCGUAUAAUUUUUAACCGAGGAAAAUUGGCUUAGAAUUUCAUCCCGCCACAUUUUCCAUUCCUGGGUCUCUGCCUGUUCUACAUUCUAACAUGCAGUUCCAAAUGUCACUGCUGGUUUAAUUUCUUUAGACGAUACUUUUCAUUUUUGCUGCUGCAGAAUAUUUUCGAAAUCAUUUUAAUUGAGCUUUUGGGAAGGCUUUGUUUGACAGAGCGGAAAGCGGACUGUUUGUCGUUGGCUUCAGUGUCAGCACUCUGGUUGAAGUCUUUAACAUGGUUAGCCUUAUUUUAAUCACAGUUAUAAUUUUGAUUGUUAUUUGUCUUCUCUGUCAAGUAUGGUUAAAUUUUCUUUCUGUUUUUAUUCUCAGGAAGUGUUCAGGACGGCCAUUUUGCAGCCUGGCCCACCUGAAAGGUUUGCCCUUCAGACAGUUCAACAAGUUAUACAACCUCAGGUAACAACCAUAGAUCCUUCAUGGUCAGGGUUCUUCUUAUUUAUAUUUUUUGCUUCCCAAAGAUUAAGUCCUGUGUAAAUGCAUGCUUAGCUAUUUAUGGCUUUGCUUCUCAAGACUGAAAUACAGUUGUGAUUUCAUUCUCUUUCUGUUUGCUACAUAUGGAUACACUUUUUUUGCUACCUUUGUCCUAUAAAGACUCCAAUUUCUAAUUUUCCAAUGAGUCCUUUACUUGAUUCUAGGCUUUAUCCUUGGUGUUCAGGGGAGCAUUGCUUUCUUCACAUAUAUCCUGAUUGUACAUUAAUCACAUAUUUAAAUCUUUAUUUUUUCCGAAUUUUGUUGUUUGGUCAAUAAAAAUUGGGCCAAUUGAUUUCAUUUCAUCAUGACAGAAACAAACAAAGUUAGUCCAAGAUGAGAAUCAAUUGUUAGAAAAUAUCCUUCGGACAUUGCUUCAGGAACUGGUGGUAUGUUUCUCUUUCUUGUAUUUGUGAACAGAAUAUUUUGAUUAUUUGAUUAUACUUCUGAAGUUUACUGCAUUUCUAGUUUUUUCUGCAUAUGUUAGCAUGGUGGUCAUCCACAGGAAAUUAAUGUUUGUGAUACGCUAAAAAAAGGCCUUAUGCUUAUUUGACGUCACAGUCAUGUAUUCUAUCUAAAUCUGAAGUAAAGUAGACCUUGUUAUAUACUUGAUUCCCCAUCAACCUGAACCCUCUUUACAUAUUUGACAUCAAUACAUAAUUCUCUCUCUUAUGCAUUUGGUUUUAUUUGUAAUUUUAUGUCACGUAACUUGAGAUUCUCACAGUCUUCUGCAGUACAGUCUGGGGAGCAGAUAAUGCAGUAUGGUCAAUCAAUUGAUGCUGGAGAAACUGCCCAAGGACAUAUUCCACGUCUUCUUGGUCUGUACAUGUUUCUGUUAAACUAUUGCAAGCACUUAGUUGUACGUAUCUAAUGUUCUUGACUUGCUUUUUAGAAGAAGCUUAUACACUUUCUAAUAUAAAAAUUCCUACGUGUUGUGUUGGUAUUUUGAUAUGUUUCUUGUGGUGCACUCAGCAUAAAUCUUUAAACUCUGAGAAUAAUUUAUACAUUGAUGUUUUUCUGAAAAGAAUUCGUAUUGCUAUUAAUUUUUGUGGUUUAUCUUUUGACAUUUAAAUCGCACCUAACUACUUUUUGACAAAAUUCAGAAUUGACUUCUCAAUUGUAGACCUGUAUAUCCUCUAAUGUAAACAAUAAGCUUUUUUAGGUCAGUUCUUUGCCUUACAAGAGCUACUCUAUGGAAAAUGGCUUGUUAUAUUGGUUUUAGUGAAGAAGAAAAUUGACGAGUCUUAUAGAAUGCAUCUCUCUCUUGCUCUAUCUCCACAUAUAUACUACUCUCUUCCUCUGCCUUAUACAGCUCCUUUUAUCUUCUGAUGCACCAGACGUUGUGUUGUAUCUUUGUGAGAAAGAGCAUGUCGAAGGUGGCAUGAUCUUUCAGCUGUUGGAAGACUUAACAGAAAUGUCAACUAUGAGAAAUUGCAAAGACGUUUUCGGUUAUAUUGAGAGUAAACAAGAUAUAUUAGGAAAGGUUUGUGCUUUUUAUAUGUCAAUGGAUUAUUUUUCCUUGUUUUGUUUUUUUAUUGUAAGUUUCCCAUUUUCCUUCUCUUUUACAUCCUGCUGUACUUUAUAUGGUUCUCCUCAUGCAGCCUGAGCUUUUUGCGCGAGGAAAACUUGUGAUGUUGAGAACAUGCAAUCAACUUCUUCGUCGUCUGUCAAAGGUGGUGUUACUAAUCAUAGUAGUCAUCAUUGCUUUUACAGCCAACUUUCAUUUUUGAAACUUUCCCCUCUAUUGUGAUAUUUGUUUGUAUUUCAAACACCAAAAAUUGGUAUGCCAUUCAGAAGUCACAUUUAAAGCUGGUUGUAUAAUGUUUAUAGAAAAUAACAGGUGCUCAGGUUAAUAUGUGUUGUACUUGUAAUUAUGUAAUGGUGGUUACAUAUUUGACAUCAUAGACUUGAGGAUGGGGCAUUGUAUAUUUGUGCUAGGGAGGUUCUCAUGUGUUUCUCACAUUGCUCCAUUGUGUUCCUCACAUUGCUUCACUGUGAUAAACAAAAUUUAAAAUGCGGUAUGCAAUCAUAUUGAUAUUGUUUUUCUCUCUUUUGAUUUAUGAACUAAUUUUUUGUUUUUUGAAAUUAAGUGUUUUAGCUAUUGUUGUACCACUUCAAGAAGUCCUUAUUUGAUGAAACUAUAUCCACUUCGAUGAUUAAAUUUUUCUUGAAAAACUUAUUGUUAUAGUCAUGUUGUGUACUAAUUUCUUUGAACCUGACUCAUAGGCAAAUGAUGUGGUAUUUUGUGGACGAAUUCUAAUGUUUUUGGCACACUUUUUCCCAUUAUCUGAGCGUUCAGGUACCUGUUUGUCUUCAACCCUUGUCUUCACUUGUAAUUUAAUUGCUCUCGACCCUGGUGUUCAGUUGGACUAUAUAUUCAUGUUGCUCUUAUGGUUACUGUGUGCAGCUGUUAAUAUAAAAGGAGUUUUUAACACAUCAAAUGAGACAAAAUAUGAGAAAGACCCCCCUGAUGGUACAUCCUUGCUAAUGACAGUUGCUUGAUUUCUCAAUGUUGAUGUCAACAUAUUAUUACACAUAUAUCUGUAUAUAUAUCUAGUGUGUAUAACUUUUUGGUGAGUAUAGAUCUCUUAAGCAUAUAUGUUAUCCGUUUUAUAAUUUUCAGGAAUUUCCAUCGAUUUCAACUUUUACAAAACCUUUUGGAGUUUACAGGUAAACUAUGCAACUUGGAAGCAAUACGGAGCUAGGCUUUUUAGUUAUGGUUUCCUCUUCUCCAUUUUGAUUUGAGUUUUGAGCUUAGGGAGUGUCUAUAUAUAAUGCUAAAAGGUUAUAUAGUUUGAAAUGUUGUUAAAUAUUCAUACUUUGUUUCUGUAAUUCUUCUUGUAAACUGAUAUCAGUGAUAUCAUUCAUUAUGCUAAAAACUUGUCUGGAUGGAUUUUCAGGAAAGCUUCUGUAACCCUCCUUCCUUAACUCUUGGUCCUACCAAGUGGAAGAAAUUUACAUCCGGUUUAAUGGUAAUAACAGUCUUCUGACAUCUUCGUUUUAUUUGUCUUUAUGGUAUGCCAGUUUCUCUUUAUUUUAUUAUUCACUCAAAUAUUCUUUUCUUGAAUGUCUUGUUAGGUUGUUUUGAAUACCUUUGAAGCUCAACCAUUAAGUGAUGAAGAGGGAGAUGCCAAUAACUUGGAGGAGGAAGCAACAAAUUUUAGCAUAAAAUAUCUUACAAGCAGUAAACUGAUGGGUUUGGAGGUUAGUAAUGCUGGAGUGUUGACUUAGAGUUUAAUUGUAGCAGACCAUUAUUUUGAUUAGGAAUCAAAUCCUUGAAUUUUGAUGUUUUCUGGUGAGCACAGUUGAAGGAUCCCAGUUUCCGACGUCACAUUCUUGUGCAGUGCCUCAUAUUGUUCGAUUAUCUGAAGGUAGAGUUGAACAGGUCUUAAUAUUGAUUUUGGGGAAAUAUCAUUUCACCUUCCUAAUCUCUGGGCUUGUUAUAAUGGCCCUUUUCAACUUUCUGAUUGAUCUAUUUUUCCCUAUAGUACUCUAAUAUGGUAAAAUUAACUCUUAUUUUCUUGUAGGCCCCGGGAAAAAGUGAAAAAGAUUUACCUUCUGAAAGCAUGGUCAGUGUUGUAGUUAUAUCUUGUUGACUUUUGUAACUUUCUUCCUUCUUCUUUUGCUUUCAUUAGAAAAGAAAACAACUUUCCUCAAGUGGUGCUAUCUUUAGAAAGAGAAUUUACCUCGGCGGUGCUGGUUAUAACAAAAGAUGUUGACAAAAAAAAAAAGGAAUAAAUUGAGAUGCCUUAGAUAUGUUAUGAUUUUGUUAGCCUUGUUUAUCUCCAAAGUUAGGAAUUUGGAACAACGGUGGAUUAGAGUACUACAAUCAAAUCUCACCUGUAACUUUAUAUCAAUGUUCUGUGCUUGUGUUCGCUUAUGAAUGCAGUAUUACUAUUAUCCCAGUCAUUUGCAUCAGUUUUGUUAUCGUUUCUUCUCAAAAAAAAAAUGCUAAUUUACUCAUGCAAUUCUAUAAGUUUAUUGUAUUCAAAAGCAACUGAUGGUCCCUGGGUAAUUGAGUUGUGCUUGGGACUUUAUCUUAUCUUUAUUAAGAUGCAAAUGGACACCGCUUACAUUUUCUUUAAGCAUGAAAAAUUAAUGAAUUUGUGUAGUAUACCUUUCAUUGUGAACUGGUGGAGAGGAUUUACUUUCAUUUGGACACAGUUAUAGCAAAAGGUUUUGUAUGAUGCUAUAAAGUCAGCUUUAGAAUAUCUGUGCAAUUUAUGAUGUCUGCUAAAGAUUUCCUUGUUGAUUUCAGAAAGAGGAAAUAAAAUCUUGUGAGGAGCGUGUCAAAAAGCUGCUUGAGAUGACUCCGCCCAAAGGGAAGGAAUUUCUUAAUAAAAUUGAGCAUAUAUUGGAACGUGAAAGGAAUUGGGUGAGUGUGUUAUCUGGCCUCAGCCAUGCUAUUCUCAGAAAAUGUUAUCGUUGUUCUUGAGCAUAAUAUGCAUUUAAUCUAUUCUUAGGUGUGGUGGAAAUGUGACGGUUGUCCCCCAUUUGAGAAGCAGCCAAUGGAGAAAAAGGUGAUCCAAGAAGGAGCCAAAAAGCGGUAUGCAAUUCAGUGGCCUGUUUGUCUGGGUCCUGCUAUUCCUUUUAAUGUGUUUUUUAAUAAGAAAAAAUUGAACAAUUUUAAUUUUUCCUUUUGUGUAAGGUCUACAUAAGAAUAACUGAAGCAGAUAGAAGUAAAUUCAUCCUUUGUUUUCUAGCCCUGCUGGGCAAUUCUACUUUAGUUAUUCAUGGCCUUGGGAGUAGGUUUAUCUUUUAUGUAUGUUUUAGAUCUCUUUAUUCUAAACAGUGAUGCAUAUUUUGACUUGUCGUUUUGAUGUUUCGAUUUUUUUUGUUUCUGAAGUUUUGGGUUACUGGUAUCGACACAGGUGUAUAUUGUUUAAACCUUUGAUGUGUAGUAUUAAAGACAUUUCUAUCAGAUCUCAACUUUAUCUCUGGAAAUACUAAAGACAUUGCUGUAGAAAACUUCUAUGGGAAUAUUAACAACUUCAGAGAUUCCAGUGAUACUACCAUUUUACAUAACAGAGCAAGAACUUGGAAAUUGGUCAAAAUUGCGGUGACAUCUUUGGAAAUAUUAAAGACAUUCCACUGGUCCUCAAUGAUAUUGUACGAAGGAAUAAGAUUUACACAUUUUUUUGGCAGAACCCUGCCACCCAUAUGCUGCCCUGAUACCAGCUGAAACUUCUGUACUCACUUUCACUAAGAAAAAAGGAAACAAAACUAGACUGUUUUUGAGAUGAGGUCUUCUGACCAAGUGCAGAUGUUUUGCCUUGUGGUGGAGAUUGUUUCCUCUUACUUGAAUAUACGAAAUGAUUUGGUUUGAGAGAAAGACAACCCUACCCUCAUAAUGGUAUUUAGGAUAUUUUAAAAUAAGCUACAAUCUAUGCAGAAAAAUAAACAAAUUCACAUGCUAGAUGAACUCAUGGAUUUUUGCUGGUAUAUAUACCCAUGCCUACAAAUUAAAAUUUUUGAAUUGUUCACCAACUUUUAUCAGCCUUCUGUUUGUUGUGACCUGUGAAGAUAUUUAAUAAAUUUGCAGUGCUCAUUAUAAUGAACUUUUUGGUUUUUUUUUUGUCCUAAAUUCAACAGUAGGCCGAGAUGGAGAAUGGGAAAUAAAGAACUAUCUCAGUUGUGGAAGUGGGCAGAUCAGAAUCCGGUAUGCUAGAUUGCUAUUUAUGACAAGAUUGUUGAAAUAAAUCUGGCUUCAAACAUGACAUUCACAAGGUUUUGAAUAUAUGCAAUUAUUUUUUGCAACCUCCAAUGUUUCACAAGCUUCGCUGAUUCUAUAAUUAAAUAUUGAGAAAAAGUUUGAUUUAUUUUCAAGAGUGGCGGUGAUCAUCACGAGGAAAUGUACACCCCCACACUCACACGGUAUAUAUAAAUAAUUAUAUUAUCAGCUGUUAACAGAAAAAAGUUAAUAGCAUCUUGCUGAUUCUUCAUGGUUCAUACCUACUGUCCUUUCUGAAUUAGUACUUAUAUACUCAUAGAAUAUCAGUUCAGUUCUUACUAUAAAGAAGACAAAGAUUACAGAUCAAGUUGUUGAGGAAGAAACAUGUAAAUAUGUAGCAAUAUGUUCCUUUCAGUAUUGUUGACCACAAAAUUAAUUUGAAAAUUUUGGUGUUAUAUUGUUUAAUAGUUAUUUUUUCCUUGUCUAGAAUGCUUUAACCGAUCCUCAACGUGUUCGAACACCUUCCAUCACUGGGUACUGGAAGCCCUUGGUUGAAGAUGUAAGUACUAUAUACUUCUGAAUGUCCAAACUAGCAUGUUGUGUGUGUGUACUCGCGCUCACUCUUGUCCCUUCUCAUGCUAUGGAUUUUUUAUGUUCUCAGUAACUGUUUAGUAAGAUGAAUUUCUUUGAGUUACAGAUGGAUCCAGCAGCUGGAAUAGAACCUGAGUAUCACCACAAAAAUAACCGAGUGAGUUUUCUUCUGGAAUUUUUGGUCAAAAUCAGAAGACAAUCAUACAGAUAAAAGUUGGGUUGCAUUUUGACUAGGGUUCAUUGUUAAUAUAGAGUGCUAUUUUAUUUAAUAUCUGUUCAACUGUUUCACCAUGUGAUUCAAUGUGCAUUACCUCUUGCUUUUGAAUAUUAGAAUUGUUGAAACUCAAACUAGUGUUCCACUUAAAAUUUGAUUUUGUUUUAUCCAAUAGUAAAAUUUCAACAUGCAGGUUUAUUGCUGGAAAGGUCUUCGAUUUUCAGCUAGACAAGACUUGGAAGGAUUUUCUCGAGUAUGAAUAUAACUAUGUUUGCAUAGUUAAUGUAUUAUUUCAUUUUUCACUGAGCUUUACACCACUUGUGUGGAUGUCAUUGCAGUUUACUGAACAUGGUAUUGAAGGAGUUGUACCGCUGGAACUUUUGUCUCCUGAGGAGCGGUCUAAAUACCAAGCUAAACCAAAUGACAGGUCUAAACGUGCUAAAAAGGAAGAAUCAAAAGGUGCUGCACAUCAAUUAGAAGAAAGUCAGGUAUAUAAUCGGCAGUGUGUUGAAUUUCUAGUGUUUUAUUGUUGACGUCUUUGAUUCCUGUAGAAAGUUGAAUAUGCAAAUGAGGAAAUAAUAUGAAUAAUGUGUAUGUGUUUGUGUGUGCGUGUAUAUUGCCGAUGAGAUUUAGAAAGAAACAUCUUUAUUAUUUAGACAUAACGUUACAUGGCUGCAUAACACUUGAUCUGUGCAAUGCAUCUUCAGCCUAAAGAUUGAAAAAAUGAGAUGAAAAAUGUUAUAAACUUUUGCCCCUUUAUUGUUGUAUAUUUCGUGUUCUUUUUUGUCUUGGGGUAUAGGUUGUUUUCAAAUUUGAGAUCAAGUAAAUGCAUGUGUACGUAUAUGGAAGUAUCAGCAUUACUUGUACCCCAAGAAUUUUGACAAUAUUUUUUUCCCUGAAGAAUGCUACACCUGCAAGUGAAUUAGACGGUGAAGCCUCAGGGACGCCAAUGGACACUGAUACCAUUGCUGCAGCCGGCAACAUGUCCCAAGGUGGAAGUCCAAUCCCUGAUGAACAUCAGAAGCAAAGCUCCGAUGCGGAUGUGGGUCAAGAGGGAGGUCAGUUGGAAGCAGAUGCCGAGGUCGAGGUUGAGGCAGGGAUGCUUGAUGGUGAGGACGCGGAGGCUGAUUUGGAUCCAGUUGGUUAGCCCGUUCAAAGUUGGGAGUUUGCAUAUGUAAGAAUGAAUAUUUGAUUGAAAGUAGAUGACAUGUUUGGAAAUCCUAGAUUAGCAACAAAAAUUCCGACUAAUUUUUGUAAUGAGAUUGUAUGUUCGCCGGCCAAUGAAUGAACCACUCGAGGUUCCGUUUCUUCCGUUAAAGGGGAUUCAUGGAAAAAAUGGAAUAUAAAGACGUGUUCCAAGAACAUCAUUGAUACGUUGCUUGCGAGUCCCUUGGGCGGUCGCAGUCAGCCAUGGGAAAAGUAAGCAAAUGAAGGCAAAUUAAAUGCCAUUCGGGUUGUUUGAUCUUCAAGCUACUUCCUACCGGGUUACAUAUCACACAAGGAUGCAUGUCUGCCACAAAUUUGACCUACAAAUCAAACCCCCCGUGACCUUUGUUCAUUAAAUGAUCUCUUCACGAGAUAUUUCUUUUCACUUGUAAGUGAGACGUCUUAGAUUUGAAUCUCGUAGAUGAUGAAUUCGAUACCAAAUUAAGUUACCCAUUAUGUGAUUUAACCGAACUUAUUUCUCUUUAGUGUAAAAUAUAUCGUUGUAUUCAAACAAAAAAAAUUAAUGAAAUGCAUAGCGAAGCUUGCGUAUUAUUUACACAAGUAUCAUUAGAUUCAACCCUACUACUUAUCAAUUACAAAUGAAGGAGAGAAAUAUCAACAAACAAUAGUAUUUAGUAACAAAGUUGUUAACAAGUUUAAGAAGAAAGCAACAAUAUCAAAGUGUCAAAGAUUUGUAACUCAGCUGAUUAAGAAUAUUUUUGUACCGACUUUUGAAUUAGUUUUUUUUACUGGUAUUUAUUAAUUGUGCAGUAAAAGUAAGACAAACAAAACUCGAGAUCUUGAACAUAAAAAAAAAAAAGGUUCGAUCGAAAAAAAUAAAAAAAAGGAGUAGGAAUCCGAGUGAGAAGAAACACACACUCUGACACCCACGACAAAACACAAAAUUCCUUCCUUUCUUCCAAAUUUCCAAUUCCAUUUUACAUUUUACAUUUUACAAAUUUACCGCACAAAAUCUAAAACCCUUUUCCCUUUCGGAUUUUCUUUCACCCAAAGCUUCACUCCACACCACCAGAUUCGUUGAUACCCCUCCGUCUGCUUUCUGUUUGUUUCCCGAGAAAGUUUUUCCAUGUUCAAUUUUUUAUUGUUCAGAUUUGGAUUAACUAAUGGCCCCUGCUUCCGAGGUUCGUUGACUUAACUUACGAUUUUCUCAAUCUUUGAUCUUUGAUAAUCUGGUGGUACAAUAGUUCAGAUCGUUUGAUUCGAAAUUUGACAUAUUUUUUUUUAUAUUAUUGAUUCAUUGUUUUAGCUCAAAAGGGUUGUCUUUGUUUUCUUGGUUAAUUGAAUUAUGAUUGUUGAUUGUUGAUUUUUGAGUAGGAAAAUCAUGGAGUUGAAAUUGGAUUUGGAAUGUGAUGUUUGAUUGGGGAAAGUGGAAUUCUUGUUGUGUGCUUGAUGAGCCAAGAUGCUGUUCAAAUCUAAGAUAAAAUGGGUUGCUCUCUUUGUCCUCAUUUUAUCUUUUGCAUCAUUGCUUCGGCACAUCUCUAUAGCAAGAUUUUCGACUGUCGAUUUAGUCCAGUAUAGCGCAUUGACCGCAUUCCAUAACGAUUUCGAUUCUAUCUCUGGGAGGCAGGUGAGAUUUUGAGUCAUUUCUCUGCCCAUCAUGCGUCUAUUUCGAGUGUAUGUUCUUGGUUGUCUUGAUGGGCUUCUUUUGUUUUUUACAAUCAUGCAGAGUGUUCCUAAUAAGAAGCUAUGGGGGCCUGUGAAGACCCUGCAGUCUUUUCAGCCUUAUGCCAACCCCCGAGGCAACUAUCCUGGUGAUCAUCUUGCUCUGUUUCUUGCAUUUGUGUAUUUUCUUAGUUUGUUCGUUUCUAGGUUUAUCAUAUUCUUGCAUGGUAUAGUUUAUGAAUUUGACAAUUUGAACCCAUUGGUGAAUCCAUUCCCUCGCAUGCAUGACCAUCUCGAAGCUAAUGGUAACUGUUAUCUUUGUUAUACUGAAUUUGAAUUGAGUUCCCUCAUUCUAUGUUCUUUUUUGUCACUGGAGGAUUUGAUAACCUUGAACCAUUCAUAUUUUAGUUGAUUGAAUACUUUUAUCUUUUUACAGUUCCAAAUGAACAGAGCAAUGGCUUCAUUUAUGCAAAAAUAUUUGGAGGAUUUGGAAAGAUAAGAUCUACGGUAAGAUUUGUCAAAUAUGUGAAAGUGAUUCUGUGAUAAUUUGUAUGUGGUGUUCAUAAAUCUUUGUUAAUUUUCUAGAUCUGUGAUCUGGUCACCAUAUCCAGGCUUUUAAAUGCUACUCUUGUCAUUCCAGACAUUCAAGAAAGUACUCGCUCAAAAGGCAUCAGGUUCUUUUUUAGUUUGCUACUUCUUUUAUGCCAGUUUGCUGCGAUCAUAUGAUUCAUUGCUUCUUAUCUCUUUUGUUUUUUAUGACUUUGCCAGCUCUCAUUUCAAGAGUUUUACAUAUCUCUACGAUGAGGUGCACUUUAUAGCAUCUCUAAAAAACGACAUAGUCAUUGUGAAGAGUCUGCCAGAUAAUCUGAAGGCAGCAAGGAAAAGAAAUGAAUUCCCUUCUUUUAGACCCAAGAAUUCAGCUUCUCCAAAUUUUUAUAUCAAAGAAGUCCUACCAAAGUUAAAGAAAACCAAAGUUAUCGGCUUGAUCAUUGCUGAUGGUGGAUGUCUGCGGGUAGCUGAUUUUCUACUAGUUUAAUAGUAUAGCCUAUUUCAAAAUGUCAUCUGCUUGAGAAAAUAUGCAUAUUCUGUUAACAUUUAUAACCACAUAUUGUCAUACUCUUUUUUGCACUAGAACUGUCACCUAUGAACCAUUGUCUAUGAAAAUAAAUAAAUGUUAUCUAAGAACCACUUAAACAUUCAUUCUCUGUCGCUUUCCUAUUGGUUGAUAGGGAUCAUUCAUUCGUAUAUGAUUAUGUUAGUAGUGAGUCUGUUUUGUUUCUUUUCACUUAGUGAUUUCUGUGUUACAAGCAUGCAUGCUUGACAAUUAAGUUUAAGUGUUGAUGCAAUAUAAUCCUAUUUUCAGUCAAUCCUUCCACCAAACAUGGCCGAGUUUCAAAGACUUAGAUGCAGGGUUGCCUUCCAUGCACUUCAAUUCAGGCCAGAAAUUCAAAUGCUUGGACACAAGAUGGUGGAGAGGUAUGAAUCUAGCAACGCACCUUUUUUCCUGAAGAUUUGAACCGAUAGAGUGAUAUUGGUGUUUAGAGAACUUGAUUAGUAUAGACUGCUCUUAGACCAUCUGAUGCAAGAUGUUUUUAAUUAAAUAGAUUUUAUUUGAAGGUUACGGUUGAGUUGGAAAGAUUAGGUAAUAGAUAGAGUUAACUGGAGGGAUAGAGUUAACCAGAAGGAUGGAGUCAACAGGAGGGGUCGAGUUAUGGAGUAAGGAAAUUUUAUCUUUGAAAGUCUUAGGUCUGGCUUUCUACAAAUUGGAUGGAAGUUUGUAUAAGGAAAAUGGAAACUAUAAGCCUAAUGGAUAUGCCUAGGUUUUCCAAGCAGUCAAAGUGAACACAUCCUCUUAAAGAGGUUCAAAGGCCACGUGAAGUUUCCUAUAAUAUCCGCUAGUGUGGUCAUAUUCUUCUAGGAAGGGGUGAGGUUUUGGUUUUUGCUUGGGGAUUGAUUCUAUCUCAUCAGAGUUUAGGGAUUAUUACUUUCGUAUAUAUUACUAGAUUAGAAGGCAGUUAUGUGAUUAUUUUGUGUCAUAGCUUUUAUUUAUGUAGCUUCUGUAGAUGAUGGAUCUUUAUUAGUUUCCUUUUUUUUUUUUUUUUUUUUUGAGAAGAAACGAUAACACUUUAUUAAAAUAAAAACAAGAAUUAAAAAAUAGUGCAUAAGAAAUCCACCAUAUAGCAAAGCUAGCUAAGACCUCUCAAAUAGAUCUGAUUACAAGUAACAAUACCUCAACCAAAAUCAUUUUACGUGGCUUCUGGUGGACCCCGUUCACUUCUUGUAAUAAUUUACUUCUAAGAACUAUUUUCCUUCAGUUGAUCAAUGUGGCUUUUAUACUCCAAUAGGUUACGUGCAUGGGGUCAACCUUUCCUAGCGUAUCAUCCUGGUUUAGUGAGAGAAACCUUGGCAUAUCAUGGCUGUGCUGAACUUUUUCAGGUAAGAUGUUUUAGCCAGUUUUAUCUUUGGUAGUUGUGAAAAUAUAAAUUGUUGAUCUACAUGCUUAGACUUUAUCAUAGUAUUAGAGUAAUAGAACCUAAGUUUGAACCACCUCCAAUUAUGAAAUUCCAAUAUUAAGUUGAGUUCCACACGUUGGUCCUUAGUGAUGGAAAGAGGUUCACAUGUGAUGGGUGUUACAACUUAACAUAAUUCUGUCCAACACAUACACACAGCUUAAACUUUCUGGUUACAAUCUUUUUCAUAUCUCUGCCUGUGAAGUCUAAGUUAGUGUUAAAACGAUUGUUCUCCUUUGUUCCUUGGUUAAAAUCUAAGUCCGAUAAAAAUUCAGUUUUGGAGUUCUCUCCCUCCUCUUGAGUACAGGUGGUUUCUACCUUAAACAACUGCAAAAUAUUAACAGCGUGUCCAUUCACUGUCAUGGUUAUCAAAGUUAUCUUGCUAACUUGCUACUUUUCUGUAGGAUGUUCACACUGAACUCAUACAAUAUCGAAGGAAACAAAUGAUUAAAAAGGGCAUUGUUCAUGAGGAACUAAGCAUAGAUUCACACUUGCGUAGAGAAAAUGGCUCAUGCCCGCUGAUGCCUGAAGAGGUAAGCUCAGUACUAAUUUGAGAUCCAGCUUAUGUAUUUGUAAAUUGUAAGUACUGUUGUGUGGCUUUUAGUCCAGCCUGAUGCUUCUUUCUCGUGGUUCAUUUUUUAUUGUUUUGAAAAUUUCACUUUUCAAUGCCAUAAGAAUGUCUAGAAGAUUAGUAGUGAACUUCAGUGCUGGUUGUGAAAUUAAGCUUCCUUGGCACUCACUCAACACUGAAUUGAUUUUAGCAGUUCAGAAAAAGCAGAACCUCAAGCAUCCUUCUAUCAAUUUCGCUUUUAAAUAUUAAAUAUUAACAUUACAAUGGGAGUGGAAUUUGUGUUUCCAAAAAUUUAUGCUCAAGUGAUAGGUUUAUUAAGUCAAGGAUGCAGACCAGAAUUGGCUUCGGUUACUAAAGAGUUUAAUAAUUGCUCUCUAUCUCAAAUACUGUGGGAUUUGUUAGCAGCAGUUAAGUGAGCUAGGUCUAGAAUUGGCUGAUGUAGCCAAAUCCUAUUGGGAUUUUCCUUUCUAAUUUGUUGGUGGACUUCUUAUCCACUUCUGUGUAUUUCUCUAUUCUUUAAUAAAAUUGUUUCUUCUCAAAAAAAAAAAAGGAUGCAGACCAGAAAAAACAGUAGAGGAUGGAAUGACGCUGAGAAUUUAGUUAAUCCAACACCAUCUAAUUCAUAAAAAUAACUUUCGUAUUUUAAUUACUUGAAAAUUUUAUUUUAAAGGAGAAAAUGAUGAAUAGACAUCGAAUAAGAGUAAGGACUGAUCCUUUCUAAAGGUAUCCACUCAAAAUAAGGAUAUGUGUCACUGUGAUUUCUACAUUACCUCCUUGACUGGCCCUAAUUGGGUCAUCACCUUGACCAAAAGCAUAAGAUAAAAAAGGGAGGGGAGGGUAGUAGAAGGAAAGAACCUGGGCUUGAAAACCCUGUAUAUUAUCUCAAGCUUGAGUUCUUAUUCCGGGGCUUGACUCAAGCAUGUUAAUACGUUUGUGAACAAGCUUGUGACUAAGAAUCAUGGUAUAAAUUUGAUCUUCUACUUAUUGUGUCAUUUUCCACUGUAUAAUUUCAGUUUUGGUGGUGCAUUGAUAACGUAUGGGCUCAUUGAUGAUAAUUAAUAAAUCAAUCUAUCUACAUUUCCGUUGUUCAUUAGCUCAUUUAUUCUUCUUGAGACUUUCCCAGGUUGGAAUUCUUCUUCGUUCAAUGGGGUUUUCUCCUAAAACAAUUAUAUAUCUGGCUGGUUCUGAAACAUUUGGGGGUCAACGUGUUCUGGUCCCUUUGCGUGCUAUGUUUCCCAAUUUAGUGGAUCGCACUUCCUUGUGCAGCAAUAAAGAAUUGGCUGAUAUACUUGGACCUGAAACACCUCUUCCGCAAAAUCCAUUUCAUCCACCUCCAGCAAAAAGCGAGGAACAACUUAAAGAAGAAUGGAAGAAGGCUGGUCCUAGGCCUCGGCCUCUUCCUCCACCUCCUGGUAGACCUAUCUAUCAACAUGAAAAAGAAGGCUGGUAUGGUUGGAUUACUGAGACUGACAUCGAACCAGACCUUUCUGCUUUGGAUCUGAGAAUGCAAGCACAUAGACUAAUUUGGGAUGCUCUUGAUUAUAUUGUCUCUGUGGAAGCAGACACAUUCUUUCCUGGUUUUAACAAUGAUGGCAGUGGAUGGCCAGAUUUUUCAAGCUUGGUCAUGGGACACCGUUUGUAUGAGGUUGCUUCUUCUAGAACAUACCGACCAGACAGGCAAGAGAAGAAAAAAAAAGAAUCUAAUUCGACCUUUUAUAUAUGAUUGAUGAUCUUGUUUAACUUUGUGUGUCCUCUUUUCGAACAGGAAAGUUGUAGCACAACUUUUCAACAUGACGAGGGACAAUGUCUACCAUCCCAAGCAUAAUUGGACACUCUCAGUGCAGGAACAUCUUAAGAAAAGCUUAAGUGAGGAAGGCCUUACAAGGCAAUCCGUUGUGUCAAAGCCAGCCUUGUUUAUUUCACACCCACUCCCCGAAUGCUCUUGUAGAAUGUCUUCUGCCGAUGCUCCAGUUCAUGUAAAAGGUAAUGAUGGCCGAACUGUAUAUGGAGGCGAAGAAGAGUGCCCGAAGUGGAUGAAGCAUGGUCAAGAAGUUCCUUUGGAUUCAGCUGGGGAAGAGGGAGUGGAGGACAAUGAAUUGUCCCAGUACGGAAGUACUCUGGACGAACAACCAGAAUCAAAUGACAGUGACAGAACUAAUGCUACUCUCUACUCUGAUCAGGACGAGGAAAUGGACCCGAAUGACUAAAGUUGGAUCUGCAUACGAUCCAGUUCCCAUCUUUUUACUAUACUGCGGCAUUCAGUUUCCAUCGUUUUCUACCAAAAUGGAAAGUUUUGGAGGUAGAGAUGACAUUAACUUCACACAAGACGAGGAUCGAGGACAAAUCGAUGCGCUUGGAGUAAGCCAAUCAGAGUUUGUACACCGUUUUACUGAUAUAAGGUUUAUAUUCAUAGAAAAAGUUAUUACUUGUUAGAUAAGCCACAUGUAAUUUUCUUGUAGAGAACAAAUGACGAGUACAGGAAAUGAUUCAUUGCGGUCUCUCAGAUAAUUUUUUGUCGAUACAUUUCAUUUCGAAAACUGUUCGCUUUCCGUUUUUUAAUCAUGCACUUGCUCGUUUGUUGGCCAGAAUUCGAGCAAAAUUUAGCGGAUUAAAACACAUGUAGCUCACACUGCCUCCUAUUUGUUCAAAUUUUGAACUACAAUGUUAGAGCUCGUUUGGAUGUGCUUUUAAAAUGAUUGAAAGCGCUUUUGAUGAAAAUGUUUUUAGAACCAAUCUUUAGUAAAAAUACAAGUGAAUUCUGAAAAACAUUUAAAGUGCUUCUUAGAAGAAGUACAUAAUUGGUGCUUCUUGCAGAAAGCACUUCAAGUGCUUUUAAAACCUAAAACAAUUUUAUCUAAAAGCACUUUCAAUCAUUUUAAAAGCACAUCCAAACGAACCCUUAUGUAGGAGAGGCUCCUCGCUGGUGCACAGAGGUCCAUUUAGAAAAUUUACUUCGCGGGAGAAAUAUGCAAACAAUCGAGGCAUAUGCCACCACCGCUCAGAGCAAUUUGUGGCUCUCUGUAUGUCACUUUCUUUAAAACUCAAAAGGGCAAAACUACUUAACCCGGAAAAAAUAUAUAGCCUCAUCAGCUCCAAAUCUAAAGCUAGUUAGAUCGAAAAGAAGGAAAUUCAGGCGGCAGCUGCAUGCUUUCUCAGAAGAAAACAAGUCUUGAAUACAGAGAAAAUAUCACAUGCAUACAACUGUAAUUUGUAAUUUCAUAUAAAAAGUUAUACAGCCUCUUUGUUUACAAGCAAAACAAAAUUUCAAGUAAUUUACAUCCUACCGAAACCUCCCAUCAUAGUCCUGUAAGUUGAUACACAUACCAACCCACUCCAGCUUACUGGGUUUCCUCUGGUACAUAUUCCGCUGCCCUAACACCCACCGAAAUGUGAGGUGUCCACACAAAACAUCAGUUUACACAUGGAUCACUUCUAAAUUGCACAACAUAAGAAAACCACACUAACAGAUUACGUUUAUUCGUUACCAGGAACACUUUAUUCAAGUAAUAUCAAACACGAAGUAUUGACCAUAGUAUAGAGAGGUGAAAUGCGCUACCAAAGAUUGCUAUGCUGCUGCUUCUGUGGGCUUCUCAGCAACAGUGGGGCUUGCACUUUCGGCUUCUUUUAUCUGCCUCAUGAUGUCUGACUUUGUCUCAAGUAGGCCUUCUAUUUUGCCAUUGAUCUUCUCUAGCUUCUGUUUCAGCUUUACAACAUCACUGCCUUUGUCCUUUUUAUCGACUUUCCUUUUCUUCUCGCCCUUCUCCCCCUUCUCCCCCUUCACCUUUUUCUCUUUAUCUUUCUUCUCUUUACCCUCCUUUCCUUCAUCUUUCUGCGUCUCCUCCUCUACUUCACACUUUGAUUCCUUUACAUUUUCUUGAGUGUCAAUCUCCCUGGAAGUAACUUCAGCCUUGACCUCCUCCUCAUCCUCUUCAUUUUUGUGUUUCUUCUUUUUGUCCUCCUUGUCUUUCUUCUUCUUUCCUUCUUUUUUGUCAUCUUUUUGCUCAUCGCUCUUCUUCUCUUUUUCAUCAUCACCGUAUUUGUGUUUCUUCUUUUUAUCAUCCUUGUCUUUCUUCUUCUCCCCUUCUUUUUUAUUGCCGUCACCUUUUACUUCAUCACUCUUCUCCUUUUCGCCAUCACCACCCUUGUGUUUCUUCUUUUUAUCGUCUUUCUUCUUCUCCCCUUCUUUUUUAUCAUCGUCACCUUUUACCUCAUCACUCUUCUUCUCUGUUUCAUCAUCACCGCCCUUGUGUUUCUUCUUUUUAUCGUCCUUUCCUUCAUCCUUACGCGUCUCCUCUGCUUCACCCUUUGAUUCCUUUACAUUAUCUUCAAUGUCAAUCUCCCUGGAAGUAACUUCAGCCUUGACCUCCUCCUCAUCCUCUUCAUUUUUGUGUUUCUUCUUUUUGUCCUCCUUGUCUUUCUUCUUCUUUCCUUCUUUUUUGUCAUCUUUUUGUUCAUCGCUCUUCUUCUCUUUUUCAUCACCACCAUCCUUGUGUUUCUUCUUUUUAUCAUCCUUCUCCUUCUUCUCCCCUUCUUUUUUAUCGUAGUCACCUUUUACCUCAUCGCUCUUCUUCUCUUUUUCAUCAUCGCCCUUGUGUUUCUUCUUUUUCUCAUCCUCGUCUUUCUUCUUCUUUCCUUUUUUCUUAUCAUCACCGUCGUUUUCCUCAUCCUUGUCUUUCUUCUCCUUCUUCUUCCCUUCUUUUUCAUCAUCCACCUUUUCCCCUUCCUCUAAAUCUUUACCUUUGUCCUUCUUAUCCUUCUUCUUUUUCUCUUUUUCUCCCCCUUCUAUAUCAUCUUCUUUAUCUUCGUUCUUCUCCUUGUUCUUUUUCUUCUUCUCUUCCUUGUCCUCCUUUUUAUCUUCUUCACUCUCUCCCGCUUCAUUAUCCUUCUCUUUCUUCUUUUCCUUCUUCGUUAUGUCUUUAUCCUUCUUCUUCGAUUUCUCCUCGUCUGCAUCCUUAUGUUUAUCCUCAUCCUUUUCAUGUUUCGACUUUUCUUUUACCACUGACUUGGUCUUAGAUUCAAGUUCCACUUCAGUCUUCUCCUCCUUCAGGUCGCCUGGUUCUACAUCCUUGGUCUUCAUCACCAUAAACCGUUCUUCCUUUUGAACCUUUUCAAUUUCUUCUCGUUUAUAUUCAGUUUUGUCUUCCAUCUACAGACUAUCUGCCAAAACUCGAAACGCAAAACAGUUUCCUCCGAACCUGAGAUCCCUAAAACAAAUCAACCGUGCGAUCAGUAAUCCGGAAAACAAAUUCAGUAGAUUAAAAAAAAAAAAAAAAAGAAAAAAAGAAGAAGCUGAACUUGGUGAUGUACAAAACGAAGUAACUAAAAAAAAGUAUAAAUCCCUUCUGCUUGCUAAUACUCGGCACAUUGCAGAGACCAUGCUUACUUUCAGUUCACCAUCACAAAACACAGAGUACAGAUCCGGGACAAGGUUAUGCAUAUCUUUGGCGGCAAGCAACAGUCGAUAAAGGGCGAAAGAGUGUUCCAAAAGAAUCUAGCUCUAGUUAACAAUUUGUUGUCAUUUUUCGAAAUACACAGCCGAUACACACAGGGCUUAAGAUUUCCCCAAACUUGCAAAGGUUCGGAGGAUGGAACACAAACUCUGAGUUCCCUAAUUUUAGCCACUUUAAUCGACCCCUACUUUGUCCUACACUUAAUGGAAAACCUAUCACUUUCAUCCAACAGAGAGAUUUCCAUAUAAACAGUCAGGAUUCUCAAGACACGAACACGAUUCUGUUGUAAGGGAAAGGACAGCAUAUCAAAUCGAUUUCUGAACGGUGAUUUGAGCACAAUUCGAUAACGUUUUUCUCCAAAUUCCCACAAAGUAAUUAAAUUGAUACAAUUGAACGCAAAUGAGUAAAUAAAGCAACAAUGUUGUCCUCAAGAAAAUGCGAAAGCAGUACACAAAUCAACACAAUAACAUCAAAUAAAAGCAACAAGAAAGAAUCACAAUUUCAUAACACGCAUUCACGAUCGAUCACAAAAACUACACGUUUACUAAUCCGUAACCGGAAUUGAUUGGAGUAACGAAUCGUCAGUACCUCAAGGAAGCUCUGGUUUGACUGCCUCCUUCUUCAGUAACUUGAGAGAGGAAGAGAGAGAGAGAGAGAGAGAGAGAGCUUUGGAUUCCUUUGCAAAUUGUGUUAGCUUCGAAUCGAGUCGAUGUGCAAAUUGACCGAUAUAUAAACAUAAUUGGAAAUACGGAAAGCUGUUGGGCAUUGGAUUGAUUGUGCCACGGGCGGCCACCUGUCGGUAUUUUCGUCAACACGCAAAGGACCGACACCUUCUUGAUUCUUCCGCGUAGUGUGCGUACCCAAUACGUGGCGUUUUGUUUUGUGUGUUUUCUCCGAAACUCCAACGUCGACGACUUGGAUCAGAAAAUUUACUUAGCUCUUAAGUCUUCUUCCAAGUCUGAACCCCUCACCCCUCCCUACCUUCCGGUCACUUUCACAUCGCAACCUCCCUCCUUGUUCCAAUAGUAUUUUUUGGUCUGUAUUUUUAGGGUGCCAAACUUUUAAUCAAUUUUGUACUUUCCUUCUUGCCCUUCGUUAAGAGAACAUUUUUUGAAUCACGUUGUACGAUUUGCACGUUUUAAAUGUAUUUAUAUGCGUAAAUUAACAAAAAGAAAGUCAAAUAGUUGAAGUAAAUGAAUAAUUUGUCUCUAUUGAAUUUACAUUAAGAAUAGAGAAAAUAAUAUUUAAUAAACAACUUAUUGAAUCACAUUAUUGCUAGCUCAUUGUAAGACUAAGCUCACUCCCUCCCCCUUAGUGUAGAUAAUAUCGUUUGUUCGAAAGAAAAAAAAAACAAUCAUUUGACAACUAAUUUAAUCACAUUAUUGCUAGCUCAUUGUAAGACUAAGCUCACUCCCUCCCCCUUAGUGUAGAUAAUAUCGUUUGUUCGAAAGAAAAAAAAAAACAAUCAUUUGACAACUAAUUUAAUCAUAUUAUUAUGUGCGUGCGAAAAACAUUUUUUAUAACCAGUAUUACAUGCCUCUUAAGAUGUUUUGAAGGUGUUUAAAAAUUGAAAAAAAAAUAUUUAAUGAACAACUUGUUGAAACACAUUAUUACUAGCCUAUUGUGAGGUACUAAUUAUAAAAUAAAAAAAAUAAUGUACAAAAAAAAUAAUUAUUAAAAAAAUACUUUUAAAAUGACAAAAAUACUCCUAUCAUAUUUGAUGCAUUAUUUUUGGCUGCUUUGUUUGAGCAGCAUUUCUGUCCACUUAUUUUUUUGUGAAGCUUGUGACCUCAAAAGGAGUUGUUGUUGGCUUUAUAUAUAAAGAUAAGCGAAUUAAAAACAAAAUAAAAUUAUAAAUUUUGGAUGUUGAUCGAGUGAACUUCUUUCACCGUCCAGUAUUAUUUUUUGAAGAACCAUGAUUGAAUUUUUUUUUUUCUCUACAUAACCAUAGUCCAAGAUUUGAGGUUGAAUGCACAAGGAUAGGUGCAAUCGGACUGAACCUUAGUCAAUGAUUCAUGUCCUUUUUAUCAAGAAUUUUUAACAUUCAUUAUGAACUUGUAAGUUUCGAUGAUGCAUAAUAAACUUAAAAGUUAAGUUAUCCAAAUUGGGUUUGAUAAGGAACAAUUUGAAUGUUUAUAGGUGUACUAAUAGAUUUUUAACCUUCUAAAAAAACUAUCAAAGAAGAAACUAAAUAAUGUGAAUUUAGAAAACAAUUGAGCGUAAUUGAAGGCACCUUAGUUUAAUAUAAAUGUACUUGUGGAACCUCGUAGGUCCACCGCCAUGACCGACAUAACACAUGCUACAUAGUUUUUCAAUGGCUGUCGUGUAAUGUAAGUAGAGAAAAACAGCCGAAAUCAAAAGGCCACUUUCGUCAUUUAAAAAUAGAAAGUGCCACUUCUUUCUCUUUCAAAUUGCCUAGGUUAAGGUCAUUUCGUACUAAUAGUAUUUUUCUUUAUUUUUGUUUGUAAGUGAUAAAUUUUAAGUUUAAUUUUCUUAAAAAAUAAAUUUGUACUGUAUUAUUGCUAGUUAUUGUAAAGUUUAAUCCACUUCUUUACGAGAAGAAAUUUUUAGUUGUGAUGAGAAUAGAAGUGGUACACCACGUGUUUUAAUAGGAGUGAUAGAAAAUUUUAUUUUUUAAUUUAUUAACAUUUUAGCAUAUAUAUCUCAAUAUUUAUAUAGUGAUAAAUGAUGUACCACUUAAUGUACUGAUUACACUGAAAAAUCUAUCAUUCAAGUUGAUAAUAUCAUUUUUUGAAAAUUCCCACAUUGAGUAACAAAUCAAUAAUAAUUUAAAAAUAAAAAAGUAACAAACGAAUUUACUGAAAACAAAGUGAGAAAUUUAAAACAGAAAAGAAAAUCACGUUCUGUCUCUGAUCUGUCUCUCUCCCCUCAGCUGCAACAUCUCCAGCGCAAAAAGCAUCGUCUUUCUUUCUUUCUUUCUUUCCUUCCCUUUCUUUUGGUUUCGCUCUCCCUCUCCUCUGGAAACCCUAACAGUGGCCUGGUUUUUUCAAUUAACCAGGUCCCUCACAGGGAAAAAACCUUCAAUUUGUUUUUCUUAAAUUUUUAGUUUUUGUUAAAUUUCUUCGCAAGCUGUAGUUUUUCUUUGUUGCAUUUGUCAGCUGCCCUCGACAAUGAACGACCUGCUAACGGUAAUGUAUUUGAUUUUCUUUCAUUAAUUUAUGCCAUGGUUUGUAUGUUUGGGCAUGUUUGGAGGUUUUGAUGCUCUGUUUUUGUCAUGAUCCGGCUGCGUUUGAUGUUAUUGGAUCUGCUUUUUUAAUGAUUUUUUUUGAAUUUUUGGCUUAUGGGGUUUUGGUUUUCUUUACUUUCUGUUUGGUUAGUGAGAAAAAGGAGGGAAAUUGAUGGAAGAAUUGAAAGUUUUUGAAUCAUGGGAUUUUGCAUUGUGCUUUAGGGAAUGGAAGUGGUGGGUUUUACUUUGUAGAUCCACAAAAUCAAUGUGGACUUUGGUACAACAGAAAGUGUUAAGUUUGUGAUAUUCGCUAGAUUGCUUCGGUUAGUGUGGAUAAUUAUGUAAAUGGAUAGAGAUAGGGAAAUAAACAUAAGAUGUACGUGGUUCACCCAGAUUGGUUACGUCGUGGAGUUCUCAUUAAUUGUGAAGGAUUUACCCUUAGGAUCAAGCUGUGAGUACUAGUGAAUGAUUUAGGACAAAUGACAUUAGGAAAUAUUGUAGAAGAAUGAUAUCCUUUUAUAGAAGAGAGUUUCUAGCUUUGUUCUGAUAUUGACACGUGUUGUGUUGUAAUUAGCUUCUGAUGUCGACACGUGUCGCACUGUGAUUGACCUUCUAGUUGGAGGGAAACUGGUCCUUGAUGGUAUAAUGUUGAUCGGUGCUUGGUAGUUUUGGAAUUGAUCAAGUAUGGUACAAACAUACUUCAUUGCAGCUCAAUCAACACGAGCUACUGCAGCUUUCGAACAGUUUGGUGUUACCCUAAACUGAGAAAAUUGAACAAUUUGGUUUCUUUUCCUUUUAUUUUCCUGUGUUGUUUUUGGUUUCUCAGCUUUUGAACAGAGUUCAUCGGCAUUGGUGUUUGAAUCACUUAAGAUCUUUAUAAACGAAACUUGUUUUAAUUUGUGAGAAGUACUUCCCUUUUUCUCAUUUUUGGAAUUGAAAUGAUUAACGAUAAGGACAAUGAUGGAAGUUGCAAAGCAAGUAUUGUACUUUUACAUAAUGCAGAACUGCUGAAUAACACUUGACAUAUACCCAAGCCAUUUAAUCUGCGAUUGAGGCUCGGUUUUCCUUUCUAUGUUUGGUGUUUGCUUGUAUAUAUUAAUUAUAUACCAAAAUGUGUUCUUAGAAAUUUAGUAGUGUCUUGUCGUUACGAAAGUUCGAGUCAUAGUUAUCGUGCCUUUUCUUUCCUUUUAUCUUUCUUUCCUAAACCCCAUUGAACUCAAGCAAUCGGAUUUGGGAUUAAGGUUUUGUUCAAGUACAUUUAUGACCUAAUUACUGCUUGCAGGAUUCUUUUGAGAUCCCUCGGGGUCAAGCUUCGAGAGAUCAGGAUAUUGAACUAGGAGCACAUGCUUCAAUGAAUUCUGGAGAACUUGGUUUGGAGAAUUUCUUCAAAAAGGUGCUUUAGCUUCCUUGACUUAUUUUUCUUUAAUAUCCCUUAAAUGCAUGAAACGCAAUUAUUUCUCUUUCCGUUACUUUUUCCAUAGAUAAUUAUUCUGUACAUGGAGUAUGUGUUAUGUUUACUUUCUGUUGAUUCUGUCUAAUGCUUUCAUGAUUUUUGUCUCCAGGUUCAAGAGAUCGAGAAGCAAAAUGAGAAGCUUGAUAAGCUUUUGAAAAAGCUCCAGGUAUUAUGCUUUCCAAUAUGUUUUCCUUACCUUACCAGCAACAUGAAGGUUUUUUUGUUAGCCUCAGCUGUCAUAGUUCCUAAUUGGUUGGGUUCUCUUGUCUAAAAUGUAUAGACUUACUACUCUUAACUUGGUCUAAUUUCAUGUUGUGCUGAUGACAUCAGCCGUUAAACUUAAUUGAGAGUGAAUUUACUUAUCCAAGAAGCUCAAAGAUUUGAGUCCUGUUUUGGUUUGAUAAUGUUGUCGUCUUUGUAAUUGCAUGCAUGAUGCCAAUAUGUGGUGAUAUCAUUAACGGAUUUCUAGUUACACAUCGUUUCAUCAAAUUGGGAAUUUAGUGAUAAGGUUAUGAACAAGUAUAACUGUAACUAAACCGAACAUAUAAACGUCAUACUGCAGUGUAGGUAACAUAGAAUUGUGUAGCAACUGGACUGAGUAUUGUUUAUUUGCAAAAUAAUGCAUCAUCCAGAUUGGUAAAUUUACUGUGUUUGUACCCACUAAUUUAAAUAUUGUGAAACUGUUAUUUUGGAAAAUUCCUGUGUUUACAUUUUUGUGCCUUAUGCAAUAGCUUAAAAAAAUUAGAGAGCAUUAUAGUUGUAAUGAUUCUUUGAGAUAUAAAAAAUAAAAAAUUAAAUGCACUUUUUUUUAUCACUUUUAAUCGCUUUUGUCUGCAGGGUGCACAUGAGGAGUCCAAGGCUAUUACUAAGGCUCCUUCAAUGAAAUGUAAUCUCAAACUUGUUUAAUUAAUUUGAUAAUCACGUGAAUCUUUCAUGCUUAUAUUCGUAUUUUUCUUUUAUGUUAUGUAUGCUUGUUCCUUUCAUAGUUCUGUAAUGAUGUCUAUGGAUUAAAAUGAAGGGAGGAAACGAUAUGCAUGCAGGACAGGAGAUGUCAGAAAUUAUUCUAGCGUGUUUUCUCAUAAUUUUUGAAAAAGAACGCCUGUAAUCAGUUUACCUCUGCUGGUGUUCUUUCUUCUGUUUGCAUCCAUCAACUUAUUUUUUCCUUCCUCAUUAACCCAACAAAGAUGAUGGAUCCUUUCACCAUGUGCAGCAAUCAAGCAACGGAUGGAAAAAGAUGUCGAUGAAGUUGGAAAAGUUGCUCGUUGGAUAAAGUCAAAAAUUGAAGAACUUGACAAAGAGGUAAAACCUGACUCAACAGAAAGCUUGGUUUUAUUUCUGUGGUUCACUGUAAUUUUGCUUGUCGGACUAACCUUUCCUUCUGGGUCCAGAAUUUAGCAAAUAGACAGAAGGCUGGUUGCGGAAAAGGAACAGGUGUAGAUAGAUCCCGAACAGCAACAACCCUGUAAGUUCGUAUUUCAACAAUUUCCUUUGAAAUGCCUCAUGCCUAUUUCCCCUCAUUUCCUUUUGGUAUCUCCUAAGUUGUGGGAUCACCAAUGAUUUUCCCUCACACAUGCUUUGUUUGAGAAAUCUUUUAUUAAUUUGUCAACUCAACUGAAUCCAACAUUGUCAAGUGUCCACUGUUAUCUAUUGUUGCAGUGCCUUGAAAAAGAAAUUAAAGGACAAGAUGGCUGAAUUUCAGGUAGGCCACACGCACCCACACAUGCAUUUUGUUUUAAUGUCUGUUUCUUUAUUUCUUUCAUCACUAAAUUUUUUAACUUCCAAAAUAUGCAGACUCUAAGGGAAACCAUCCAUCAAGAGUAUCGUGAUGUUGUCGAGAGGCGAGUUUUUACAGGUUUGAACCCCUCACUUGCCACUCAUGAAUCGCUGCUAUUUUUAGAACAUCUACUUGAUUUUCCAUGAUCUGAUUUUCUAUUUUAUUUUUCUUGCUUUUUGUUAUCGUUAGUGACGGGCGCAAGAGCUGAUGAAGAGGUAAAGCUUAUUGCACUGUUGAAAUAUGGUAUAUCUAUACCAUUGUGAAAGCUCAUUUUCUAAUCAUUUAACAUUGUACAGACAAUUGAAAGAUUAAUCGAGACAGGGGACAGUGAACAAAUUUUCCAAAAGGCAAUCCAGGAACAAGGGCGAGGCCAGGUUUGUCAAUUUCCCCUUUUUAUUCUAUGCCCCCGAAUAAGCACAUUUUAUGAUCAAAAUUCUGAAUUCUCUCACAAACUUGACAAACUUUUUGACACUUUGAACAAUUAAUUCCAAGCUCCUAACUCCUCUCGUAAAUUUGUUAGCUUGGGUUGUUGAAACAUUGAAUUUUCUGAUUAAGAUUGAUCACAUCCAAAAUUGUGUAUCAAAUUGUAGAUAAUGGACACUCUGGCCGAAAUUCAAGAGCGACAUGAUGCUGUUAGAGAUCUUGAGAAGAAGCUUCUCGAUUUACAACAGGUAUCUUCUUAGUUUGUGCAAUGAUGCGUACUCUCUGAUGAAGACAUGAAGUUGCUAUACAAUACAGAUGUCUAGCAUAGGCCUUUUAAUUUUUGGAAAAAAUGAGGAAAUAUAUUGAAAGAGAUAACAAGUACAAGUGGAGUCAUAGAAGACUCUGAUCCCAGCUGGGGAUACAUAGUGAUACCAACCAUACAGAGAAAGUAAAUCUCAGGAAGAGAAGAUAACACUAGCUAGAAAAAGCCAUUAAGGCAUACAAAAAAUAGAGGAUGGCAAUGGAGUAGCCGUCUUCAGACUAGCAAUGACGGAGGACAAGGGAAUCCAUCACGUGAAAGUACCAGAACCAACAGGCCUUUUAAUUUAGAGUUUUCAAUUUGGUAUUGCCUUAUGAAUAUAAUAACAUUAAUCUGUUAAAUCUUUCUGCAUUUCUGUAAGAAAGUGCAGGAUCGGUAGAUUAUUAAGUUGUGUCAUGACGUGGUAAGUCUCUGUUUAGGCAUGUAACUCAUAAGAAAGCCAAGUUAUUGUCCACUUUUAAUUGCCAUGAUUUAUUGAGGCCGACUGUGAGAAUAGCUGCAAAACUAAAAGGAAAACUUUCUGUUUGUGUUUCGCCAUGAGUAUAUAUUAUAUGUUAAACACCAACUCAUAUGCACAGAUAUUUAUGGAUAUGGCGGUGCUGGUUGAUGCACAAGGGGAAUUGCUUGACAACAUAGAAACCCAGGUAAUUACCACAAUUUCAAAGCAUGAUGACCCCCUGAAUUUCGUAAAGUUUCAAACCCGAAAGAAAACAGAAGUUGAUUUGUAAAAACAUGACGUGGAGUGCAACUCUUGUAUCGCACUUGGGUAGACGAUCAUGUAUGUUGUGCUUUCAUUCCGCAGGUAUCAAGUGCAGUAGAUCAUGUACAGCAGGGGAAUACCGCUCUUCAGAAGGCCAAGAAGCUACAAAAGAAUUCGAGGAAAUGGAUGUGCAUUGCGAUUCUCAUUCUUCUUAUCAUCGUUGCAAUCAUUGUGGUGGCGGUGUUCAAGCCGUGGCAGAGCAACAAGGGUGCUUAAAUUAGCUCCUAUGAUAAUUUGUAACUGAUAAGUAUAGGGGAUUACAACUGACACUUUGGGACUCGAACAAAUCUUGUGAAUCAUUUCUAGCCCUUUUGUUCUCCUGUGAUAAUGCCCGCAUGUAACACUAUUAAUCGAAACAAACUGUCACUAUAUUCUUUAAGGGAUUCUUUAAUAUGCAUAAAAGAAAACUCUCUUUUUUCUUCUUGAAUGGCUCAUGUUACUGGUUAUAAAACCGUACCGUCACGGAGAUAUUCCCGUUGAUAUUUCGUACGGAUUUAACGGACUCUCCAAGAAGGGGUGUAAGAGAGUGGGCGAUGUUAGGGUGUAGAUUGGCACGUUUAGGAGAGAUUUUUCAAUGUGGCCGAAACAUAGAGCGGUACAUCAUAAGUUAUUAUACAAGUGGAGGGAAGUUUUUUUUUCCGUUCCAAAUGUUCCUCCACUUAUAUAAUGACACUAAAUAAUCUCUCCACGUUUUGAUAAAAAGUGUAGCUGACAUACUUAUCGAAGAUUAGUUAAAUGAUUUCUAUUAACUAUUGAAGAGUAGCUGACAUGAGCAAAUUACUGACGAGGAGUCGCUAAAUAGUUUCCUAGUUGGAAUUGGCCGUUGUUGUAGUGAGGCCAUAUCCAAAGGGGAAGAGAGGGUCAUAAUGUGCGUCUCCUACAUUCAUCGGCAGCUGAUCAACGGUUUUGAACCAGGUUCGAGAAAGCUUGCCCGUGAAGCCAUAGUCACCAAAUAAAACAUCAGCUACGCCCUGCCCUUCCGUUCCUGGAAGCCAAGCUGCAACAAGAGCAUCCAUCAAGGGAACAUAUGGUUGGAUCACAACAGGACGGCCAGAGAUGACGAUAACAACACAUUUCACAGAACCGCAAACAUUUGUGAUGGCACUCGGGCCAGGAUCCGGUAUUGUCAAGUUUAGGCUGUCACCAAACGUCUCUGCGUACGGGUGUUCCCCUACCACAACGAUGGCAUAUGAGAAAUCAUUCGACUUCACAAAGUCAGCAUCAGGAUUCUCCUUGUACACUACUUUGGUUUUAGGAUCCACUGUGUUCUUAAUGGCACUAAGAAUUGUGGUACCUGUUAAAGAGAAAAAUAAGUUUCUUACAGAGUUUAAUAGGUCAGUUUUUUCAGAGUCCCGACAGAUUUCAUAGGCAAACAUGUAUCAAGAGGAUAUUAUGUUUUAUGACAGCAAAAACAGAAGGAUCUUUGUUUACCUUCGGUGAGAUUGUUGCCACUUAAGCCCUGCCACUCAAUGGUCCACCCACCACACUGAUAACCAAGGUUAUCUGCAUGACUACCAGCUACAAGUAUUUUUGAUGCCUUCUUCGGAAGGGGAAGCAACAGCUCAUCAGCAGAUUUGCCGUUCUUUAGAAGCACUAGAGAUCUCCUCACAGCUUCCCUAGCUAAUUCUCUGUGUUCCUGUGAAAAUAGUAAUACAAAAAACCAGAUUAAGUUUCCUGCAUUGUUGUAGAAUGGUGAUAAAUUUACCAACGUCUACCUUACUCCCAAGUUGGUCGACCAGGCUGCGAUCAGCCAACGGUUCCUCAAAUAAGCCCAUGACGAACUUAACCCGCAAAAUUCUUUUUACAGCAUCAUCAAUUCUGCUCAUGGGAAUGAUUCCAUUUUUCACCAGGGAGGUUAGACCGUCAAUAAAUUCCGUAUAGUUGUAUGGAAUCAUGACCUGUAACAGGCAAUUAAGUAGGGGUUAGAAGACCAAACACAUCAUCAAGUUUAUGGAACUUAAGAAAGGAAAGCAACAGAGAUGUUAAGUACCAUGUCAAUUCCGGCAUUGACGCCUGCUUGAAUUGAAUAUGAGUAGUUGGCAUGAGGUGGAGACGUGAUCCUGUCAAUACCCUCCCAAUCUGAGAUGACAAAACCCUGAUAUAGUCCACAAAGUUUCACAGUGCUUUUAGCUUCUACUUAGGCUAUUGUAAAAUGGACAUAGUGCCGAAAAGAACAUCAGAGAGUCGUUUUUACCCUGAAAUGAAGAGUGUUCUUAAGGAAGCCAGUAACAAGAUCAUGAUUAGCAUGCAUCUUUACUCCAUUCCAGCUCGAGUAAGAUACCAUAAUAGUUGCAACCCCUUUGAUAAUUGAGUCAUAGUAGCCUGGCAUGUGGAUACUGAGCAAGCCGUGUCUGUUUAUCACAGUGUUAUUCUCGUUGAUGCCCCUAGUUGUUCCUCCAUCACCGACGUAAUGCUUUGCACACGCUGCAACCUUUUUACUGCCAACAGAAAUGGCGGAACAUGAACAAAACACCUUCGUAAAUUGGAUCACAAUCGUGUUGUUUGGAAUUUGACAAUGAUUGGUGAUCUUUCAGUAAAUUAAUGUGCCAUGAGAAUUGCAGUUGUAAAUAUGUCCUUUUCGGACAAAUCAAAAUGCAACAAUAUAGGGAUUAUAGGUGGUCUUUGUGACCACCGUAAAUAGCCUAGUGCCAAAGUAUGCUUUGACAAGCACUUUCCCUCUUUUUUUCCUACAAAAAGCUACCAAUUUUUCAAUGAAAGUGCUUAAACACACUCGUCAUCUCUCCCUUCCUCUAAGAGCCAACAUCACUGCACGCGAAGGAGAAGAAAAAACGACUAGUACUUGCAUUGCAUGUUGGAUUUAUGUGGACCAAUAGAACUAAAACCAAGUUAAACUUCAAGAUAUUCCAAAACUGUAACUUUCACAGGACCAUUAUGAUGAGUAUCAAUCAUUUUCGAGAACGUGGACCGCCACAUUAUGCAAAAGAGAAUAAGACCUUUCAAACUCUUGUAAUGUGUUAGAAAUGUUGGACCGUUUUAUCUUUGAUAGCACAAAUGGACCCAAAAAAAAGCAUAAAUCAAGCACAAGGCUAUGACAAAAAACUGAGGAAUUAAAACUCUUACUUUCCGCCCACAAAGGGAAUGCCCUUUCUAGAGUUGGCUGGUAACUCCCCUUGUAAUCCAGGUAUGAUCUCAGUCAUUGCUUGAACAAUUUUGUGAUCUUCACUGUAGCUUUCAUAACAUCGACCCCAUCUUGGAUCUCUGCAAACCUGCAAAGACAAAAUUAAGAGGAAGCACAACUUAGCUUAAAGUAACUUCUGUCGGUACUAAUCAGAUGUACAGUUUAUUUUAGUUACCGCUAUACAAGGUGCGAAGACAUAUGGAAUGCCUGUAGCUCUAGCUUCAAGUGCAGUUGCAGCUCCGAUCCUCUUAACAAGUACGGGGUCCCUGGUUGAUUUUAAAUACGAGGAAGUUGACAUUAAUACAUUCACUCUUAUGGUUUAAAGUUUGAACUACUAAGAGGACUAAAAUUUUACAGUUGAAGAAACAAAUUUCUCAAUUGAUCCCAUUUAGUUAAAGUAUCAUCAUAUACUCGAACAUAUAUACACCAACUUAUUUGUAUUUGGAAUUUUAAUUUGUCAGCACCAACGAAAAAUGAAAGCUUCAGUCAAAUUCUUGAUCAAAUGCCGGACACAUAAGACAAUUAUCGCAUCGUAGAACUCUUCAUUUAAUUGUAGAGAAAGGAAAGGUUGUUUUUUUCUCUCCAAAAUUCAAAAGGUUGACAAAAGAGACUAAGCGAAAUGUUGGUAUUCAAGGCAAAUCUACUUGCCUGGUAGCUCCAAGGCCAAUAUUGUGCGGAAAGAUUGUUGCUUUGUAGACGUUGUUGUGGCCAUGAACUGCAUCGAUACCAUAAAUCAUUGGAAUUCCAAGCCGGGUUGAUAAAGAACCUUUUUGAAAAUCAUUCACCAUGUUAAUCCAUGCUUCUGGAGAAGCCCUUUGUGCUGGAACGCUCCCACCCCCGCUUAAUAUACUCCCUGCCAAAAACAGAUUAAUUUCUUCUUCCUUAAAUCUAACUGAUCUGCAUAUGCAUAUGUGAUACAUUCCAUUCUUUCUGUAGUUACACAUGUAUAUAUAAUUUAUACACAGGCAGGACAGAAAGAAGAGUGAUGAUUACCAAUGAAGUAUUUCUUCAUCACCUCAGACGAAGCAACACUGCGGUCUAUCUGCACCAUUUGGCCAAUCUUUUCCUCCAACGUCAUCCGGCUCAAUAGAUCCUUGAUUCGAGUAUUCAGCGGCUGUUUGGGGUCUUUAUAUCUAAUAUGUUCUGCUUCUGCUACAGCUAUGAAGAAACAUGAGAGAAGAAGCCCCAUCAAGAAGAUGGGAGUUCUAGCCAUUUCCUGUUCCCAAAAAAAUUUACAGAAGAAUGUAAUGCACAAUUAGAAAGCCAGUUUGAGGAUGAGCUAUGGAACAUUGUGAACCGAAAUUCGAAAACAUAAAAAAGGCCUAAAAUUAGAACAUCAAACAGUUAAAAGAUGAACAAAAUUUGAAGAAAAGUAUUAAGGCAACAAUGGAAAGGAAUCACAAUAUAAUGAACCUCAAGCAUUCAAGCACCAAUGGAAGAUUAGUUGCAUGGUGGAAAUUAUAGAAAGUUACCACUUUUAUUAACAAAAAAAUGCUGCACCCGAAGUUAAUCCCAGAGAAAGGAAUCAGAAGGACCUUGUAGCAAAAUGCAGAAUCAAAGAGAACCCUUUUCCAAGCAAUGAAAAAAAGGGUAAAAAAAGUUUACUAUUCUUCAAGUGACAAUCACAACACAUGCAUGUUGCUCCUUAUUAACCACCAAAACACUUAAGAAAUUUCGCUGGCCUUUUUUUUUUGUGACUGAAUGGAACUAAAAUCUGAAACCCAACAACUAAGAGAGAGGUAACUGAAUCACAACUGAGUGAAGUAUUUCAUUUCAUCUUUCUGGAAACUAAUAAAUUCCCAUUUGUCAAAAGAAACUAGUAGCAUGUGGAAGUGGAACUUACAGAGAAGCAAUGGAGACCCGAUACUCCAAUAGGCAAUGAGCAGAGAGAGAGGUUGGCAAUGAGCUCUGCUGCUUUGUGGAAGAGAGAGAGAGAAGUUGAGUUGGGACUUGGGAUUUGGAAAGCAAUGUGAGGCAGAAAAUGGAACUUUAUAGAAAAAAAAAAUUAGGUGCUAGUUGACUGAAAAUUUGGAUGUGAUGAUAUAUUUGUCAAUUUCUGGAAAAAAAAAUAUUUGUCAAUUCGAUAGCGGGCAGAGAAAGGUGACGCAGAGAGUUUUACUGGAAUCCAAAUUUGUUUAUUUGCCUUUCAUUUCGCUUUCAUGGAUGAACUCAUAAUUCAUCAUGCUUAUCUUUACUUUAUUGGUGAGAUUAGCACCCGCAUUAGUGAUGCUGCUGGUGUAGGUGAAUUAAGAGACAAGGAUUGUCUGCCCUCCCAUUUUCGGUGCUCUCUCGUGCCCUUUUGUUUGUGUGGUCACGGUUAAAUCACGUUAAUAUUUUAUAUUACUAUUCAUUUUUAUCUUAUUAUUUCUAUAAAAAAUAAUAUAAAAUGUUGACGUGGCUUAAUUGUGACCACACAAAACAGGAGGGCACGGAAGGGCACCAAAAAUGAGAGGGCAGACAAUUCUUGUCUGUAUUAAGAAGGCCCCACUGGCAAUAAAACUGGUGGUUUUGCUUGUUGACUAUUAUUCCAAAUUCUUCUUCCUGUCAAACUUCUAAAAAGAAAGAAACAACUGUUCCAACUUUUAACAUUUGUUUUUGGCUUCCUGCCUCAUCCACAAAUUACAGCCUUACACUACACACGCAUGCAUUGCGUUACAGAGAUCGAUAUCGCUCGAAAACGGCUAGUGGGGUUUUAGAAAUUGAGGAAAGGCGAUGAGAUUGAGGGAGGCGGCACAAGAGAGAGAGAGAGUACCCUUUUGAAUUAGAGUCUUCUCUCCUCUUACUGGGUAUUCCCAAAUCCCUACUCGAUUUCAAUAUAAAAUUAUAAACUUACAUGAAAAUAGCAAAAACAAUUAUUUUCUCUUUAAAUUUGUGUACUCUAAAUACCCAUCAAUCAUCAAGAACAGAGACAAUUAUUCCAUUCUAGGUAACCUUAAAUACUACGAGCAUUAGAUAGCCUGUCUUAAUUUGGAUUUGGAAGUUUUUCAUUUCCUUUCCAAUUUCUAAUGAAUGAAAAAACAUAAAAGAGAAAGAGAUAAAAAAUAAAAAAAACUCGUUUGGAAAUGUUUUUAAAGUAACUGGAAGCACUUUGGGUAAAAUUAUUUUUGGAUUCCAAAAGCAUUAGUUAUGUGCUUCUUCCAGGAAGCACUUUAAAUGCAUGUUUUUCCUUCCUUAUACCUAAAUUUGUAUGGAAGACAUUAAAUAUUACAAGUAUUGGAUGACUUGAAUUGGUUUGGAUUAUUGCUUUUUUCGGUAGCUAAAUCAUCUCUCCCGAUGUUGCACUUAUAUAUAAAUAACUAAUUGAACACACUUAAUCAAGGAAAUACAUAGCAUCCAAAAAAGAAACACAACCAAUUCAAUUUUAUUUUAUUUUCGGGAAAAAAAAAAAAAAACAAAGAAACAACAAUGGUUUGUUUGAUUUUCCUUUAAACAAGCAGCUAGCAAAGUGAUCGACCAAUUGGAAAUUUUCAUAUAUAUUAUUAGUCACGAAUUCGUUGUGAUUAUAGCUUCUUCAUUCGUCACGCAUUGUACGUAUCUUGAGGCCAAACUGCAUGCACAAUUUAGCCAUGCAAAUCAAGCACUUUCAUACGUGACACGACACCCAACCUAGCUAGCUAUAUAAAUACUACCGUACAUAACGAUGCAAAGUGCAAACUGGUCAUGGCCUUCUUCGCAAGAAAUGCACUGCUGCUAAUGCUGCUUAUGUUGAUUCUAAUUAUGUCUGAUGCAGUAACUGUUGUGAUCGAAAAUUAUUUGUGGGAUCAAUCGGGCGACUCGCCACUGAAAGUUCACUGCAAAUCCAAAGACGAUGACCUUGGUGUCCAUGCCGUCCCCCUUGCUGACUCCUACGAAUUUAAGUUCCAUCCAAACAUAUGGCGGACCACGCUAUUUUAUUGCAGCUUUGAGUGGCAGGGCCAACUUCACCAUUUCGAUAUAUACGACCAAGGAAGGGAUGGAGGUUGUGUACUAGACGACAGCGUUUGUUUAUGGCGGAUACAAGUGAACGGUCCGUCCAGGUUCAACGGCUAUACUGGCUCAUAUGAUCUUCUGUAUGCAUGGAAGGACUAGUUGUUUCAAAAUCAAACAUUCUGGGGACAACUCUGUUGCAAGAUACCCCAAGUGGAAAUGUGGAUCUUUACCGUUUCGAGAUAUAUAAGGAAAAAGGAGGGAAAAAUAAAAAGCAAAUCUAUCGUUGUGCUCUUUCUUGCAUGUGCAGUUAAGUUAGCAAAAGUAGUGUGCUCCUUUUUCUGUAUAACCUAAAUUUGAAUCCUCAUUUGUAAUUUGUAUUAGAUUAAAUAUAAUUUCAAUUGAAUAAAUAAAGUGGGAUAUAUUAGUCACCAAUUUUGUUGUGAUCAAUAACAAGUAAAAACUUAUUUCCUAGCUUCUACUGUAACUAGAAUUUCUUAAUUCGUCACACUAAUAUAUUAUUAUUGUGAAAGGAAAUUAUAUAAGCAAAGCCAAAAGAUUUAAUUAAUUAGCAAGUAGCCCUCCACCUCAAUAGUGAAGAAGAGUGUUGCCCUUGCACCAUGACAUGAGUUCCAACCCAUCGACGUCCUAAUCUAACAUCUCUAACAAAUUUAUUGUUUGACAAAAGAUUUAAUUAAUUAUGAUCGUGCCACCACUAGCUAUGAGAAAUCCUAAUAGAUUGUAAAAAGACAUAUAUAACUUGCACCUCAAGCAAUAACUUCGAAUCAAGUCUCUUAGUAAAGGAUGACGUAAGACGCGCGCAGAGCGUCCAUAGAAAAAAGACAUUUAACUUGCACAUUAAAACCGAAAAAGAAGAGUAGCUACAUGAUUUUUCUAGUUGAAUUUUUUGGGUGUUGUAGUGAGCCCAAAUCCAAAGGGGAAGAGAGGGUCAUAAUGUGCAUCCCCAACAUUCAUAGGUAGUUGAUCAACCGUUUUGAACCAAGUUCUAGAAAGCUUGCCAGUGAAGCCGUAGUCACCAAAUAAAACAUCAGCCACCCCUUGUUAGUACUAGAAAUUAGUAAGUCAAAAGCCGAGGAAUGAAAAUUCUUACUUUCCUGCUACGAAGGGAAUGCCCUUUUCAGAGCUGGUAUCUCCCCUUGUAAGCCAGGUAUGAUCUCUGUUAGAAUUUCUUUGUCCCACAUCGGCCAGAAGGAUUGAGAACAAGCCAUUUAUAUAGAAUUACCUCACUCUAACUAACACCGAGGCUUUUUGUAUUAAAACCCCACACCUGACGGAUUGAGAAGGUGGCCAAGUGGGGACAGUACCGGUGUUGUUGGAGUGGGCCCAUGGCCCGUUUACUUGAAAUUUAAGAUGGUAUCAGAGCCAGGGGACGGGUCCGUACAUCCACGUGAACGGGUGGGUCCCCUUUGGCCCCGCACAAAUGGGUGAGCCCCAACUUGGCUCCACAUGGUUGCCGAUGUGUGGAACUCCACGUGUGACCCAUAAAAUGGGGUCUCAAGUGCGGGGGAGUGUUAGAAUUCCUUUGUCCCACAUUAGCCAGAAGAAUUACCCCAUUCUAACUAACACCGAUGCCUUUUGUAUUAAAACCCCACACCUGACGGAUUGAGCAGGUGGCCAAUUGGGGACAAUAUCGGUGUUGUUGGAGUGGGCCCAUGGCCCGUCUACUUGAAAUUUAAGACAUUGCUUGCACAAUCUUGGGAUCUUCACUGUAGCUUUCAUAACAUCGACCCCAUCUUGGAUCUCUGCAGACCUGCAUGGACAAAAUCAAUAUGAAGUUCAGUGCCAGCAUAAAUUGACUUGUGUUCAUAUCAAUCAUCAGAUAUAUACAGUUUAUUUUAGUUACCGCUAUACAAGGUGCAAAGACGUAAGGAAUGCCUGUAGCUCUAACUUCAAGCGCAGUUGCAGCUCCGAUCCUUUUAACAAGUUCAGGAUCCCUAGUUGAUUCAUCUUGGAUCUCUGCAGACCUGCAUGGACAAAAUCAAUAUGAAGUUCAGUGCCAGCAUAAAUUGACUUGUGUUCAUAUCAAUCAUCAGAUAUAUACAGUUUAUUUAAGUUACCGCUAUACAAGGUGCAAAGACGUAAGGAAUGCCUGUAGCUCUAACUUCAAGCGCAGUUGCAGCUCCGAUCCUUUUAACAAGUUCAGGAUCCCUAGUUGAUUUUAAGUUCGAUCAAGUUGAUAUCAGUAUAUUUACUCCUUGAAUUUCAUAUGGGUUGAUCUCUUAAUACGACUAAAAGUUAAGAGUCGAAAAAACAAAUUUCUCUAUUGCUAAUAAAUUUUAGCACAAUAUCUACUUUAAAUUCAAUCAAUAUUACUUUGAGACUAGGAUUACAAAAUAAGUUACAGCUCAGUGAUAUGUUAGCAAUGGAGGACAUCUACUUGCCUGGUUGCUCCAAGGCCAACAUUGUGAGGAAAGAUUGUUGCUUUGUAAACAUUAUUGUGGCCAUGAACAGCAUCGAUACCAAAAAUAAACGGAAUUCCAAGCCGAGUUGAUAAAGAACCCUUCUGAAGAUCAUUCACCAUGUUAAUCCAAGUUUCUGCAGAAUCCUUUUGUGGCGGAACAUUCACAACCCCUCUUAAUAUACUUCCUGCCCAAGACAAAUUUCCUCUACCCUUAAAAUCCAACUAAUCUUCAUAUACAUGCAGAAGGACUGCUUCCAUUCUUUCUAUAUAUAUUUUAUGCAGAGACGAGAGAGAGAAUAGUAAUGUUUACCAAUGAAGUGCUUCUUCAUCACCUCAGGCGAAGCAACGCUGCGGUCUAUCUGCACCAUUUGGCCAAUCUUUUCCUCCAACGUCAUCCGGCUCAGUAGAUCCUUGAUUCGAGAAUUCAAUGGUUGUUUGGGAUCUUUAUAUUUAAUGUAUUCUGCCUCUGCAAUAGCUAUGCAGAAAACUAAAAGAAACCCCAACAAGAAGGGAUUCCUAGCCAUUUCCUGUUCCAAAUAUUUACACAAGAAUGUAACGCGGCGCUCAAUUAGAAAGCCACUUUUGAGGAUGAAUGUAUAACAGCAACAUCACAAAUUCACAACCAAUACUAGAAAAGAAAACAGGUCUAAAACUAGAACAUGAAAAGUAGAAAGCAACCAUCAUAUAAUUUUCAAGAAUUCAGGCAGCAAGGGAAUAACAGUUUGCGCGGUCGGGGUGCGACAGAAAAAAGAAAAACUGCAGCAAAAAUUAGACUCGGAGAAAGGAAUCAGAAGCACCCUUUGAUCAAAAUAGUAGAAACAGAAGAGAAUCCAUUUUUCAAGCAACUAAAGACAAUAAAACAAGUGAGAAGCACAAGACACGAAUAGUUUGAGCUCCUCAACAUUGCUCCUUAAUCCUCCUUCCCCACCAAAACUCGAAAUAAAGUUCGUUUAUCCCCCUUAGCAUCUGAUCGUAAAUUACCGGUAACGAAAAUCUGAAACCGAACAAGAGACGAACUAAAAGUUUCCCUUUUCCAGAAACAAAAAAUGGGAGUAAUUAAAGAAGUUGCAUGUACUAAAAAGUGAGAAGUGGGAACUUACAGAGGAGUAAUGGAGUGGAGAGGCAAUGAGCUUUAUCUGUUCUGUGUUGAACUUGAAGGAAUAGUGAGUGAGUGAGGGAGUGGAGGGCAGAAGAGAGUUGAGUGAAAAACGUGAAGUUAUAGAUGGACAAUUUGACUCUCACUUUAUUGAAACAGGACACGGACUUCUUGUUGGCUUCUUCAAUGAACAAUGAACUGACUUUGAUGGAUAAUAUUAACUGUUUGCAAUUUCUACUCAAGAUAGGACGUAUUGGAGUUAACGAAAGACUUUGUGCAAAAACGAGCGGAGUCACGUUUUAGAAUUCAUAUAGCCGAUUCUAUUUAGUGGUAUAAUGUUUGUUUGUUGUUGAUGCAAAUUCUACUCAUGUACCAAAAAGCAUUACAUAUAUGUAUCUUACAAGAAUUAUAGAUACACAUGCUUAUUAAUGUUACUUCACUUGCUUUGCCUAAGCAAAAGCAGUUGAUUAUCCAAACGUUACAAAACAGAAGCUUAAGCUUGAUUAAUUAAAAACAUGAUGAAAUAAUCAAUCUCACAAAAGGCGAUCAGACAACGACGGAAGCCGUCGAAUGAAGUUCAAAGCCGGCGACGGCAUCCGAUCACGGAAUAUCGGAUGACGGAGAUAAUAGAACCCAAACGCCAUCGCCACCAUCUUCGACGGCACCACGUACAGUAUCAUCGCCACCACCAAACACAACACCACAAAGAUCCCCGUCGCCCGCGGAUCCUGCCACGUCACCAGCGCCUGCACUCGUUCCCCUUGCGUUGCAAAAUCUCCCAGCACGGUCUGCACGCGUGCCCCCAACAUCCUAAGCUUGUCGUACCUCGCCCGCACCACCUCAUACGGCCUGUUGCUCGGCACCGCAUCAAACUCCUCGUCCAGCUCGUCCCGGUCAACGUUGUCCGCCAGCGAGAGCUUCGGGUCAAAGUGCUGGAGUGGGGCCCGAGAGCGAAACCUGUAGUUCCACGCGCCAAUCACAAACACGUAAAACAACAGGGUGGGCACGAUCAGAUCCGGGAACCAAACGAGCAGCACCAGCAGUGCGUGCACAAGAAUCGUUGCCAUCGGUUUCUUCCAAGAACGCGUGUCGUUUAUCCACGCUACGACAUCCACAACCCCUGCUACGACAUUGAUGAUCCGGAAAUAAUUGGCGCGCACUUUCCGCAUGCUGAAUCCCUGCGAAUCCGCGUCCAGCAUGUAAAUCACAACCUCGCGCCCGAGCGGCGGUUCCGAGCGAGACAGGUGUGCGGCGACGAUCUUAACCGCCGCCCUGCGCAGUAGGUCCUGUUGCAUCACACCUAGCGGCUUUAUGUGGUGCAUCAACGGCAGUGAAGGCUGCGAGUACGCGUGGAUCAAAUCCAACGUCGGACACACUCGAACAAACCGUAUGGCCACCUCCACCUCCCCCAUUUUUUUCAAACCGGCGGGAGACAAAAGCAACAGCGGAUACGUAUUUCUGUAUACUCUACCCGUAGCCAGCGUCGAAAUACGCAAGCGGAGCUUCCCGAUACGAAAAUCGGGACGCGUGGCAUCUGUCGAGCCGUCGAUUUUGAAUCCCGGUCCAGAGCUAUCAAAAACGCCGAUGCUCAACACCGUACACGGAUCGUAUACUUUAAACGUAUACUGCUCGUUCCAUUUGGGCUCCAAGCUAUCGCACACGGCCCGUGUCCGUACCCAUUUGGAUCCAUAUUUUGCCACGCAAUACGCAUCCGUACAUCCCUUACCGCUCACCGUCUUGACAGGUAUCAAGUUCUUGCACCCGAUGACGCCGAGCUCGACGGUGCCCAGCGGCGGCUUCCAGAGCUGCCUCGCGGUGGGCCGGUAGUCGCUGCACACGUACGCUGCCUCGUCCAUCACGUGAUACCCGCCGUCGAAACAGAGGCGCAGGUGCAUUCUGCCUCUGUACACCGUCCUCUUCUUCUGGUCUUCCUCGCCUGGGCUCUCCAAUGAGAACCAUCUCGAAGCCACUUUGCGGUCGUCGACGCGUCGUUCGAUGGCGGUAAGGGGUAUUGUAGCCACCCCCAAUGUGACCGGUCCUUUCGCUAGCCGAUUCUCUACAGUGAAAAUUAAACGAUCGCUGAACGGCUCCGCGGCUACGAACAUCAAGUCUUGGUUCCACGACAGCGUGCCGUUUUGGGUGACUGCGGGGUCGGUCUUGAGGGACUGGAAUCCGAGCUGGGCUUUGACUUGGACAGAUGACUCCGUCAACGACGGCGUCAUGGGGAGAACGUCUUGGGCUUCGAGGACUGUUGCUCGGAGAUACCACAGCUUCGGCGAUUGGUAGACUUUGGCUCGCGCGUUUGGGUUACCGGCUGUAUCGGUCUUCCACGCGUCGGGAAACGAAUCGUCCGCCUGAGUUCCCAUCCACGUGGCGAGCAUCAGGUCGCCGUUCAUGCGGGCCCCGCCGCCCUCCAGCCUGUACCACUGCGGGGCCAAGGGGCUGUCGGGCGGGUCUCUCAGGGGAAUUUCCGUCACGUCGAAACAGAUUCCACCGAGGAAGUGAUGCCCGGAGGCAACCGAGGCGGUCGCGGGGUCAAACAUGGGCGGGUCCCACACUGAAAUUUCGAGGAUGGAGGCGUCGGAUUGGUCGGGGGAUUGGCGGGCGAAGGCGAAGGUCUGGUCCCACUCGAAGCAUUGGGUUUUUCUGGCGGGUUUGGACGUGAUAUGGUGGUUGGCAGUGGAGAUUUUAACGAUCGGACUGCCGCUGGAGGGAAUGAAGCGCGCCUUCACCACUCGGACGAAGAGGUAGUGCAUCUUCUCCACCAGAUCAAACGACGGCCGAUCCAUCGACAUGCUUUCUGUUGGCUCCAGCUGCGACGUAUAGUUCAUUACUGGUGGCCUUGGCAUUGGCUGUGGGCCGUUGAUUCCAUGGAAUUUGACAUCUGGAACUGAUUUCGAUACGGCGGCUCCAAUCAUCUCUAUUUCGGGUUCACGUUGCAUGGCUGCUUCAGGUGGUGGCGGCGGCGGCGGAUCCCCUUGAUCAUGAUUUGCAUCAUCAGUGGGUGGUGGUGGUGUUGACGUCGGCCCCGGUGGAGGAUCAGACUGUACAUCUUCAGGAGCUACAGUUUCCUGUGGUGGCACCACCUCAGUCGGUGGUUCUUCGGCGGGCUUCUCACCUUCCGGUGGCGGUGCUUGUUCUGCUUCCGGUGGUGGGUCCGCCUUAGUUUCCUUCUCGCCUGGUGGUGGGGUUGAGUCAGAUUCUGGUGGCGGCGGCGCCUCCGACGACGGAGGCGGUGCAGUUUCAGCCUUUGGCUCUUCCGCUUGAGGCGGCGGUGUUGGUGGUGCAGGCGGCGGGACAACCUCAUCGACGUAAUAAAUCUUCAAGCCAAUUUCACCUUGAAUCCAACUAAAGAAGCUCUUCUUCUCCAAUGGGAAAUAAAUCAAAGCCUCCUCGCCUUUCUUGACAAACUGAGUGGAACUCAGUCGGAUCCUCCCGAGGAAGUUGUUCCUCCGGGUGGGUCCGUAGUUCUUGUCGUGGUGGACAUCGAGCUCCAGCACAUCCCCAAAAACAUCGGAAGGCUUGCCAACGUUGAACUCGAGCAACUCGUUCCACACGGGGUUUAGGUCUCGUAUCUUUGUCUGCGUCCGCUUCCGCUGCCCGUAGUAGUCCAUCACCACGUACGGGCUCGACGUCCCGUGCCCGUCUUUCGGCGACAGAUUUCGAGCAUCGACAACCUCAACUAUCAGUUUCCGUACAGUAGCCAUAACGUUGGUUCUUGAGUGAUCAAAAUGUCACAGAAAAUGUGUAGCUAGCUUUGGUACUGUAGAGUUUCUUAGCUAGCUACUAUCAUACUCCACUUUCAAGUAAGAGAGAAGAGGCAUCAUGGUUAUGGAGAGAAGCUAUAAAUAAUGUUAAGUAAAGUAUGAGGGGAGAUAUUCCAUCCCGUGACCGAUUGCAUAUCUCGAAUUCUCUCAUCACUUCAUGUAAUGAGAGAUAAAAAGUACAAUUGAUUACACUUGAGAUUUUACCGUAAAAUUGACGUUUCUUAACUUUUUUUUUUUUUUUUUUUUUUUUUGGUGUAGCAAAACUAUUAAGUAAUGCAUGCGAGCAAGGUUUUUAUCAUAUCGAUUGUAUAUUUUCAUCACUCUACUUCUCUCAUCACAUUACAUGAGAGAGAUGCAACUGGUUACACCUAAAAUUUGCCGCAUGACAGAUAUGUUUCUUAACUUCUUCAUCCUUUACGUAUUUAAUUCACUACUUUUUGAAUAUAUAUACAUAAAUAUGUCUUUUAAUUCUUUUGGUGCAGAAAAAAUGGAAAAGAGAACGAUAAAUGGGAAACAGAGGUAGUGGGAUUCCAGUUGGGUGGGCAAGUAAAGGAUAAAAAGAUUGGGAGGAGGAGGAGAUAGGGAGAUAAGAAAACUAAAGGUGCUUAACUUCAUCCUCAAGAAGCUUUUAUUAUUUUUUUUCUUGAUGUGUAAGGAGCUUUUAGACUAUCUAAUUUCUUUUGCUUGUUAUUAGGAAAUACUUUUCUUUAUUAAACUCAAAGAUUCUGUCUCUCAGAUAUAAGCCCUUUCCUUUUGGCCAAUACCACAGACAUUAGAGGCACACGCUUUUGACACAUAUUUACACUUAUUUUGUAGGGCUCACUUUGUAAUAUUUUUCAACAAUUCAUACUGUCUAUUAUGAACAUUUUAAUGAUUUUAAUUUUACCUAAUUUUUUGCAAGAAUCAUUUAUGAACAACUUUAAUUAUUGAAAUACAUUAAGAAAUGAAUUCAACAAAAUAUGUGUCAAAAUGUGUGAUAGAGGAUCCUCACCGGAUCUUCCAAUCACAUCCGUUCAUCGUACAUCGUGCAGUCAGUUUUUAUCAUGUACUGUUUAUAUUCAAUUUUAAAUAAAAAAAUUAUAAUAAUUUCUAAUUGUACAAUUUACGAUGAUCGGAUGUGAUUAGAGAAUUUCCAGAUCCUCCUGGAAAAAUGUGUUUCCGGAUCUAAUAUAUAUAUAAAGUAAUGGACAAGCUUUUUUUUCAAAGAUGAAAAGCUUUUGUGUCACCGACCGCGGGAUUUUGUCACCCCAACUACAUUGUCUUGUAAUGAUAACUGGAAAUUUGACAAAGAUGACUCGUUCACACUUAGGCUAUAUGACUACAAGCCAAUCACCCAAGCCUUUCCCACACUUCAAUAAAUCUAAAAGUUUGAUUCCAUUGAAAAGUGCUUGGUGCUCCUGACGCAGGACAACACACAGAUUCAAUCAAAUUGGAAGAGAAAGGUUGAAGAGGAUAAAUUUUUAAAGCAAAUAAUGUGAAUGUUGAUAAUUGAAUUAUUAAUUAAGUAUCGAUUCACGUAUUUAUUUUUUAUUUUUAAAUUUGGUUAAAAAUUUGGUAUUCUUAACAUUAUCCUGAUUGGAAUUAUGUAAAAUGUAAGAUAGGCAAAUCAUGAGUAUUUUUUAGUUGCGUAAAUCUUGUAAAAACCCAAGGGUUCUAAUUUUUACACACCCAAUAGUUUAUCAACAAUGCUCAACUAUCGCAUUUUUCACAAAAUUUGUGAGUUAAUUCAUGGCUUUUGUUCAAAUAUGUGAAGUUUUACGAAACCAUCAUAAAAUCUUUUAUCAUAUUUUAUGUGUGAAUAAUGAAUUCCACAUUAAUAGAAGAAUUAGAUAUUGUUAGACCGAUAAAGUGGGAGCCAAAAACUCUUUGGUUGCUUAAGUUGGACUACAUGUUAGAACUGAAAGCAAAAAGUAACAAGUUUUUGGUAGAGUGAUAAAUUUGCCUCAAUAUUUAAAAGAUAAAGCAGAGGAAAAGUCUAGACAUUAACCAUGUUGUCCCUUGCCCAUAACAAUUCCUUCGUCUUGAAGGACAUACUUAUCUCAAACGGGUGUUUCUAUCAAAUAGUGUGCAUUUCUUCAAUCGGAACGCCUUUAGUUUAAUUUGUAGAUGAAGACAUUCAUGAUCAGGACCCAGACCACAAAGAAGAUAAACAUAAGUAACAAAGCAUUUUGAUGAAACUUGAGCUAUGGAAAAUUUGAAGAUCAUUUUGGUAAUGAUGUCGCUGGAUUCAGCAAGUGAAUUUACUUCAACAGGGAAAAUUUCACUUCUCACCGCCCAUCCUAGAGGUCAAAGACCAUGCAAAUCCACCAACCUAGAUUCCCAAAACCAUGCAAAUCCAGCAACAUAUGCAGAAAUGCCGUUCAUCAAGACCUCAACAAACUCCCUGCACCAUCCAUCCUAGAGGUCCAAGACCAUGCAAAUCCACCAACCUAGAUUCCCAAAACCAAGCAAAUCCAGCAACAUAUGCUGAGAUGCCGUUCAUCAAGACAUCAACAAACCCCCUUGACAAUACACCAAGGUUGUUACCAACCCCAAAUUUAAUAGCAAUUGCAAUCCUAAUAAUCACCUAUUAAUGCCAAAACAAAAAAAAAAAAGAACAAGCCACCUUAAAUUGAGUUUUUUCUUUAUGAAAAUUAUGAAGAAAAAAAGAAAAGCAAAAAACCUGAGAAAUAAAAGUAACUAACCGUGAGUUUGCGGGAUACUCAUUUUUAGCAUUCGAUGGAGCUAAUGAAGAUGAGAUUGAAAGAAUGGGAUUAAGAGUAGAAUGAUAAGUGCAUUAAGUGAGAGGUGAUAUUUAUAUGUAAGACUUCGGAGAUUUACUAAUCAUACUUGAAUAAUUAGUAAUCUUAUCCAGAUUUUAGAUGUAAAAACCCAAUUGCUACAGAUUUUGAUUUUUUGUUGAACACAAUUUUUUGUUGAAGAGACUAUAUCUCAUCUCUAUAGAUUUACUUGUUGAGUUUGACGUUCUAUUUGACUCUCUAUAUCUUUGUAAGUUUGCAAGUGAGAGAGCAUAGUUAAUUUCUAGUUUUCUCAAAUAUCUCAAACUAAUUAAAGUCUAUUUUUCAUUUCUAAUUCAAUCAUUUGUUUGACAUAUGAAUGUGCAUCUAUCAACAUAGUCCGCAACUGCAUAAAGUUUACUAUCAUGAAAAUAUGAUUACUUUUUUAAGUGAAAAAAUUAUGAUUACUUAAAAAGACAUAUACGUUGCAUGAUAUAUCAACAAAAUUUGCAUAAUUACGUUUCUUUACAUUCCAACAAAUUUGUUAUUUUUAUUUCAUUUAUUUUGCAAUAUUAGUUAAUGAAAUGACCAAAACGUAAAUAAAAUCUAAUUUUCAUGCAAUUUAGUGUAGACCUAGCCUCCUAGAACCUCGAGUGCUAAGGUAAAUGAAAAUGUUAAAUGCAAGAAGAACCCAAAAAACUUGGACUUGUUUCACCAUGCCCCUGAUGGUUGGACACCACUAAACCACAAUAUUGAGUGGGUACUUGUUAUGUCAUGAAUUUUCCUAAUUAUUUGUUUUUCAUUCUUUUUCUAAUUUUGAUAUUUGUUUUUUUUAACUAUCACAUUAACCAUUUUGUGAAAACUAUUUGUGUAAGAACUUUGUAUUCUGUUUUAAUAUCAUACUUCUAAAGGGAAGCAAUACAAUUUCAUUAUUCUAAAUCCUAGCAAAAAAAAAAAAAAAAACAAAAAAAUUGAAAGAAUGAACAAGUAUUUCAACAAUAAAACUUAUAUUAAAUGGGAUAACCGCAAAACUACUGUAAAUAAAAUCAUGGAAAAAUUAAAAUGAAUCAUUUGAACUAAAUUCUCCAAUCGGAAAAAUAUACUUUUACGGAUUUAUUGACAUUAUAUAGUUCUAUAUUAUGAACAUAACUCCCUGAAUUAAAAGUCUCAAGGGAGCAUGAGAAGAAAACAACUGCUACUUUACGGAUUUGAAGGGAUGAUAUAUGUGCAAAGCAAAGCUAAAUCUAUACAGUCAAACUUACAGCAUUGUGUUAACCCAAAAUGUAAAUCAAAGGAACAGGGAGAUGCCUAAAUUUCUACCUAAUUCACCAUCGGCUUCUUGACAAUCUUGACACUGUCGUAGAAGCGCCUAAGCUCCUUCAUAGCCUUUUCCUCGAUCUGAAUUGACCGAAUUGGCGAUGGUUGAUCUACCUCCGGUUUGAACCAGCGGUUCACUCCGGAAGUAUCCAGUGGCGAUCCCUGACCACUUGUUGUGACUGAGAAUCCGGCGGUUUUUGUCUUUGGACUGUGGGAAACACUCUGGUGUUGCUUUCCUUGCUUUGAGACGUAAAAAGACAGGUAAGAGUUCUGUAAACUAUAUGCAGGAAAACAUGAUAUACGAGAAAGAUGUGCAAGUCAUAUACCUGCUGCAUUUGGAUGUCCCUAAGAGAUGGCCGGGAAACAAGGGGAGGAGUUCCUGACGCAGUCCAAGGAGGUGUACAUCUUUCUCCAUCAGAUGCCAGUGAAGUAUGGGCUGAGACCAAUGGUAUUGGCUUGGAAGGUAAAAACGAACUCAGUCGAAUCUUCCCAUCGCUUCUCGCAUCAGAAGGAUCUUCCACGUGAUUUUUGUUCCUAGUUGACCGACUCUCCUUGGUUUUGCCUUGCUCAUCCUGAAUCUCACGAAGGGAUGCAAAACCUUUGGAAAAUUUAGCCCCACCCCAUGCAGGGCCUUCACUUUUUGGAGAUGGUGGAGGUGGUGCAACAAACUUGGGGGCAUCAUCAAGAGCGCCACUCAAGAACAUAGAAAGCCCACCCUUUUUAUUCUUCUUCUUGGAAACUAUUGGUGAAGAACACUUGUUAUUUGUUAGGUUGAAAUUGUCCUUCUGAACACACAAAGCUGACUCCUGAUUGGUUUGGCUUGUAGCAAUCUCUUCAAUCAUGACAUCGUCCUAUCACACGUAAAAUUUCAAACAAUUUAGAAAAUGAGAUGAAAUGCUCAACACAUAAUUUUAAAAACUUCUGUUCGCACUAAGUUGUAUAAAAUAUUUUAAAAAAGGCAAGGAUCACAAAUAUUUAAGAAAUGCAAGUUCUAAUAUUGAGUGAAUAGCAUGGCAAGAUCAAGCUAAAGGAAUGUGCUAGGUGGGGUGAAGUGAUAGGAAGUAAUAAAGGGAAAGGUCAAAUUCAAAACCUCCAUCUAGAAAAUGAUUAAUUAUGAACAUGUUAAACCCGUGAAUCCUUAUUAUCAAUAACCUGAAAAGAUUCCCUAGCCCAUUUGAAGUUUCAAACAUCUCAAAAGAAAAACAAAAUCAUCUCAACAUGAGCUGAUAAAUAGAUUUGUAGACAAGAACCAUAAUUUACUCAAUCUUGAAAAGAAAAUUAAUUCAAGAAAUUGACAAGCUCACCAUAUUCUUUGAGGUUUGAGAGAUUUCAUUAUUCGAAAAACCAUUUUCAUGGUCUGGUUCUACUUCAUUUCCCGAAAAACACGACCCUAUAUCCACUUGUGUUGCCAUCUUUUUGUUCCUUCUCCUCUGUUUUUUUGAUGGCUCAACCUUUUUGUUCCCUUUUCCAUCUACCAAACCUGAUGAUGGUGCCCUCAACAGUGGUGCCUCAACUGGAACACCAAGCUCAGCCAGCGAGCUCUCUAAAGCUGACCUUGUUUCAAGCUUUGCAAUUUGCUGGUUAUCAAGAACUUGCCCCCUAGACUGUUUUGCUUCAAGCAUCUCAAUCUGCUGCAGCUUUUUCCACAAGGCUCGAACUUGCUUUUCAAUAUUUGAGUCAUCUUUGGGUUGAAGAAAGGAUUCUGUCCUUUGAUGGAUUUCACUUUUCCAUACGGAUUGCUCUGUAUGGCCAUCGCGCGUCCUUUGAACCUCAGUCUCACUAUCUUCCUCUUCACUACAAAUAAUAGCAGGCAAAGUAGCUGUAGGAGUUGGGAGACGACGGUAACUCCAUGGUUCAGAUGACCUAAGGUCCAAUACAUUUUCAAGGUUAGCCAGAACAUCUGGUGAAGCACUAGCAAUAGCUUGUGAAGAUACUGUAAAAAUAUAGUCAAGGUUGCGUAUGGCAAUCUCCUGCGAUUAAAAAAAAGAACAGCUUCAAUAACAUGUAAAACAGAAAGCUACAAUAAAUUUCCUCACAAGUUGCAAAACCAGAAGCAUAAGGCAAUGGCGCAGCCCAAAUAUCAAAUGUUUUUUGGACAAAUUUUAGGCAAUACAAGACCUAUCUGAUAAUUUUAGCCAUCAGUAAUACGCCCACCCAACCACACACACACAGACACACAGGGAGGGAGAGAUUCAAAUCAGGUACAAUUUGAGACAGAUUAAAGGUUUCAUAACUUUUCCUUCAUAUAUUGAGCAGUCAAAGAAUACCUCACAGUACUUCCGCAAAUCAUCUGCCACAAGUGAAUCGGCAAUUUCAAGCAGUUGAAUAGUAUUUCGUGGCUCCACUAGAUUAUCUGCAGCCACUUUUUCACAAAGACUUUUUAAGCUUGGUGUGGGCUUUAUCCCAGCAUCAUCAUUUUGGAUAGUAGGUAACAGAUUAUCAGACUCCAUGUCAUUGAACAUAAGAUCUUCAUCAAGCUCUUCUAGCUCAUCUUUGACAUUUGACUUCUGCUUCUGAGGGUUAUUGGAAGUAAAGGCAGGGUGAUAAAGGGAGCCAAUAAUCAACAAGUGUGUUUCGCCUACAGAAACUGAACUAGCCCGCUUUGUACCAUGUAGCCGAGUUGCAACCGGUGGCUUAUCCUUACCUUUCUUCCCAUCCCACAUGUAAACAUCACCUGUAGCCGUAACUGCAGCAGUCCAGUAUUUCCCUGCAGAUAUGUUCACCAUAAUUCUUCCACCCAAUGAAUACAGCUAUACAAACAAACAAAAGAACACAGAGAAGAUUAGUGCUUUGACAUGCGUCGCCCAAAGGAUAAGACAAUCAACAACAUCACUAGUUUACUAAAGUAAAACCUGCUGGCAUCUGAAGUCUGGAUCUGAUGACACCCAAUAAAAUAAUGCGCCAUCAUCUGUCAGGGCUGUGCUAUGUACCAUCCCUGCAGCUAUAGAGACCACAUGAAGCCGUUCUUUGCGAUGAAACUUCAAAGUGGUAGUUCCACUCUUUUUCAAGUUUCUAGCAAUUACAACACGUUUUGGCGUAACAAUUCGAUGACCCCAAGUGUAUACCUGGCACAUAAAUACAUACAGGAUUAGGCUCAAAUAAAGCAGAUAGAGGAAAGUUUUCACAAGAUCCCAGAUAAAAGCAUAGUAUCUAAAUGUAUCGGAACUGAAUACCAGAGAUAGUUCUAAUGUUUGAGAAGAAUAUGCAAUUUUCAAUCAGGUUAAAUUUACCUCCCCAUCAACUCCCAAAACAAUUGUGUGAUAUUUUGCUGCUGCAACCCCCUUAAAAACCUUGCCUUUCAAGGAUUCAACUAAUCUUGGAGUGUAGUUUGAUGCAGAGUUGGAUGUACCAUAGCCUAGCUGACCCUCCCUAUUGCAACCCCAUGUGAAAACUUCACCGGCAUCGGAAACAACAGCAGUGUGCUUGUUGGCUGCAGCAACUUCAACAAUUUUUGACCUAAGAUAAUUCACUCUACGAGGAGUAGGUUGGGUAUCCACAGAAGUGUAGCCAAGCUGACCCUCUGCACAACAUCAUGUGAAUAAAUCAAUUUUCUAGUCCUCAAUCUCAGCAAUAAAUUGAUCACAGAUGAACCAUUUAUUAAUGCCCAAAUACAUUAAAGAAAACAAAUCAAUUCUCUGACAAGUUGAAUUGUGAAUGUAGCCAUUGACUAAAGAAGACAAAAUUUGUGUUUCUUUUAUUAUGAUCAGUAAGUAAUUUGAAAUAUCAACCCCUUUUAGUUGGCAGUUUAAAUCCCCAUAUGAUUUACCUCUGUUGGAUCCCCAAGUGAACACUUCCCCACCCUCCGUAGCAAUAACAGUGUGAUGUUUAGCUGCCGCAAUUGCCUUCACCUGACGGGACCCUAUACCAAAAGUCACCUGACGCGGUGUGAUAACUGCAGCUUGACCGCUGAAAUGCAUAUAAUAAAAUGGAUCUGACUGGCGAUUCACAAAAGGUAUAACUAGGUAAAGCAAGGAGAUUUCAACCGAUUAACCAUUUUUUUAGUGAAAGGUGACAAAACUCGACUUCUACUUCAUACUGUGAAUAAACCUACAGAAAUAUAGGGCUGUUUUUUCUUGCAUCUCGUCUUUUUACAAGUUCAAGAUGAAAAGUUCCUUCGCCUUAGAAACUACAUUCCUACUCAAAUCAUUUCUUAUUUUCCAUGAGGACAAGCAUAUUCGUGUACCCAAUACCAUACAUGGAUAUAUAAUGGUAGGAGUAUCACACACGUAAAUUUAGUUAUGUUAAAGCAUUCAAAAUUGUCCAAACAAUUAGCACAUUAAGAACUGUUGAGUACCUAAUUUUAGAUAUUAUAUGGAAAUGCUAAAUCAACCAAGGUCAAAGUAUCCUACAUGUUUAUACCUGUGUAUAUCAAAAUCGGGGUGACCAAGUCGUCCUCCUCUUCCAAAUCCCCAAGUGUAGACUUCUCCUCGAGAAGUGACUGCCACGCUAUGGAACUUAGCAGCAGAAACCAAUUUGAUUAAAGAACCACGAAGAACAUCAACCUUGCAUGGUAACUUUUGUAUGUGCGCAUUUCCAGUUCCAAGUUGAUAGUUUGUACCACUUCCCCAACUAUAAACCUCUGUAGUAACUGAAGACAACAAAAGGAAUCAGCUCAUCUCUAAGCACAAGUAAUAACAGUCUGAAAAAACAUAAGAUCCUCAGAAACCUUGGCAAAACACAGCGGUAGAUACCAGAAUUAUCUCCAUUUUGAAGAGCUUGCAUGACAGGCCCAGAUAGGAGAUCGAUAGGUGUUCGAAAUUUAGAAUCUUCUAGUGUGAUAGAAGCACCAGACUGGAGAAGUAUACUUGCCACUGCAAGAUGACCAAAAUGCAGAGCUCUGUGAAGGCUACUCCAUCCAGAUUCCCCAUCCUGCAAUAAAUGAUAUGAAUGGCCAUGCAAAUCAUAAAAACCAGUUUCCACAUUAAAUGAAAAGUAUAAAUGAACCCCAACCAAAACACAAAAGUAUCACAAAAAAUAUCAGUUCAUUCUGUUAUAUAAAUGAAUCAUACUUUCCUGAUCAAAGUGUUUGGGAUAAUUGGAAGUUAUAGCCUUCACCACAACAUAGAAGAUAAAAAAAUUAAAAAAAAAAACAUAGAAAUUCACAAACUUGUCACAUGCCUUGCAGAUGAGGCCUAUUUGUAAAAAUUAAUGGCUAAUAUUUUUGAAUUGUAGUUAUCUAAAAGUUGAGUAUUUACUUCUUUGCCUUUUUUACAUUGUAAAAACUUACAAACAACAACCAGUCUUAUCUCACUAAGUGGGGUCAGCUGUAUCUAGGACACCAUUGCGCUUGGUUUUGCACCAAGUCUUCCGUUAGCUCCAAGUACUCCAUGUCUUUUUAUAAAGUCUCUUUCCAAGUCCGUUUAGAUUAGCAAUUUACUUGAUUAUAUCAUGGUAGUUAGAUUAUAUCCUUGGCCUCAGUUGCUUUAUUUCUCUAAUAAUUUGUUAUUUCCUAUAAAAUUUCCUUAACUGCAGGUCUGAUUAACUGAAUUGUACGGAAGUUACAAAGUACAGCGACUCAAAAACACAAUUGGCAAUAAGAACUUUAAUAUAAUAUAGCAAUAACAUUACAACUGAAUUGUAUGGAAGUUUAUCGCUGAUAGUUACUUUAACAACAACUUCAGUCCUAAAUUUCAGGAAAGGUCGCUAAAUUUCAACUUUUACAGGUGCAUGAGUGAAGUAAUGAUAAAUAAAUAAAUAAAUAAUAAUCAUAUAAAACAAACAGCUUAAUAACCACUAGCAACAACAUAAAAGCAUUCAUGUCACUAAAAGAUUGGUAAAGCAACAAACCCUAGCAUCAGGGUCAGCACCAGCAGCAAGAAGCGUCCUGACAAUGGGAAGGUGAUUUCUCCAUGUUGCAAUAUGAAGAGGAGUGAGACCAAAAAUAUUUCUUGAAUUUAUAUCACCACCACUCUUCUUCAGUAAACCUAGUGCUGAAUCCACAUCAGCCAAUGAUCCUUCUCGCACAACAAUGCACAGAUCUUUCUGGGUUCCAGUUGACAGAAAUUUGCGAGCAGGCUUUUGUCCUUGAGGCGAGGCUUCCAUUAGUCUAAAAAGCAAGGCUGAAUGCCACUACGUAACGACUAAUAUGUUGUCACUGCCAGUUAAUGACCAACCAACCAUGGAGGUGUUGAGGUUGGUGUCGUCUAAUCCAUGUUCCAGUUGAUUUCCAAUCUAAUAUCUAGAAAUCCAAGUAGCUAAAUCAUCAUCAACGUCCUUGUGCUGAACACAAUCCCCUCACGGGACCCAAUCUCCGCUCCUCCGACAAACAGAGAUAUUCAAUAGACAAGAGACUGUAUUUGCAGUUACUCUGACAGUACAAUAUACCCUUCACGCCGACCAACUGAAACAAAUUUAAAACAACAUUAACAACUAAACCAAUUGCACGGAUUGCCAAAAGGGUUUUUUUAUCUGUCAUACAGCUACACCCUGAAUGACUGCCAAUUCGAUCUUAAAAAAUGCUAGAAACAAAAGUAAAAUUCUACCCCGCGGUAUGUAGAUUCUUUUUUUUCACAGAUUGGCAAUUAAUGGUAAGAUCACUGUAUCAGCGCUUACAUGAACCACAUUGCUCAUCUACUUUCAGUAUAAAAUAUAAUCCAUCUAUACAAGAUUUGUUCUUUCUAUGAAAUGAAAUCUCAGACAAAAAAAACUGAGACCUACUUCUCAUCAGUUGGCUAAUAGUCCAAUGACAAACCGAAAGAUAUGAUUUUCGAACAAAUCCCCGAAUCACCCAAUCGACUCAAAACGCAAACUUUAACACAAAAUUGACUCCCCCAAAUGUACGGAUCAAGUUAUAAUUUUCAAAACCCGCAUAAAAGUUCAAAUAAAAGAAAAAUCACAUGAAUUUGAAGAGUGCCAAUCAAACCAAAUCAUGCCCACCACCAGAAAAAGGAUUUCAUAUAAGAAAAUGAGCACGAAACUAACACUACUAGAAUGGCAAGAACAGAAACGUGAACCCAAUACACACCGAGAUACCAGAAAACAAUCAAUACCCAUUUUCCAGAAACUACAAUAAAUCACAAGAACAGAGAUAAUAAGCUCGGAAAUUAACUGACCAACUCAACUGGAUCGCAUCAAAAUUCCAAAAUAAAUCGUUAAAAUUUACCCAAGAAAAUAAUAAUACGAAAAUAAAUCACCUGUUUUCCUCUGGAGGGAGAGAGAGAGAGAGAGAGAGAGAGAGAGAGAGAGAGAGAAUUUAAAGGAGCUGUUACCGUGUUGCUGUUGCGUUCUGUUCUGUGAAUCGAAACGGAGAAUAUCCUGAAAGGCAUAAACGCAUCAACGCUUCAGACAGAGAGGAGAGAACCGAAUCUUUAAACUGGAAGGGCAUUUUGGGAAUUAGAAUAGUUGGGUGAAGAAAAAUGUGGUUGUACUUUAGAGUUGACGGAGAUGGCGUUGGCGUGCGCGCGCGCGCGCGAGAGGUGGGCGGUCUGAUCAGCUCUAUUCGGUUCGGUGAAGUCUCUCUCCCCGUUUGACACGGGCUUGCUCUUUAAGCCUUACGUGUUCCCUUUUCAUUUUUUGGUAAAUCUCAAGGUGAUAUUAGUGAGAGAAUAUUUACUGUAUUCGCAUCCAGAAGUACAUCAUAUAUCAUUAUUAUAUAUGUAGAAAAAAAAAUUUUAUUUCUCAAAUGUUUUUUACUUGUAUAAUAACAUAAGAUAUUAAAAUUUGUCAUCUUGUGUUUUAAGCACAUUGCAAAAUUGAUCCUGAAAUCUUCCACUCACGAUUGUUAUUAAUUGAUUUCUCGUGACUUGUACUUAACCGGAAAAAAUAUUUUUGCAUUUCAGAUGAUACAUUUUUUUAACUAAUUUUUUUUAAAUAAUGAAGUGAUACACGCAUAGUAAAACAUGAGUUUGGGUGGUAAAUUAUCAAAAAAUUAUUGGGUGGUAAAUUAUCAAAAUUUUACUACUUUGGACUUCAGAAGGGCGUUUGUGCAACUCUGGCAAAUAAUUUCGAGCCCCUACGACGUCGUACAGAAUAAUAAAAUACGUAGGGUUUCAGAAUUUGCGUGAAAUACGGGUGAAAAAGUUCCCAAAUUUCAAGACUUUUCACUCCAUUUCAGCCUAUAAAUCCCUGAACCUCCCAUAAACCCCACAGUUCCGCCGGAGCUCAUAGCGUCGCAACUCUACUUCCGACCAUCAGAGAAACCCAGCAACUCUCCUUCACCCAAUAGAAAUUCAUUCUGAUUCCCAGAAAAUCAAUAUCAAAUUGCGGGAAGGAAGUGGCACGCCAGGUCCCAUGGACUCGGAAAACUCAUCCGCCGUUAAGGUACUCUCUCUCUCUCUCUCUCUCUCACUUUCUCUCAUUCGCACACUAGGGUUUUGUUUGUCAAGUUCUUAGCUUUAUUGGUUUUUUGCUUGAAUUUUGAUUAAGCUUUAGUGUGUUUGAUUUUGCUCAGAAGAAUGAGGGGAGAGAAGAUGAGGAGCUUACUAACUUAAUGAAGAAACUACGAUUUGAGGAAUCAUCAUCCGGUUCAGGGCAGGCAUCAGUGUCUAACUUCAAGAGAAAACCGGUUAUUGUAAUCGUUGUCGGCAUGGCAGCUAACUUCUGUUUGGAUCAAAACUUAAACUUUGGGCCGGGGGAAGUUGGCCCAAAAAGCAACCUAAAAGGGAGAGGAAAUUGAAGGCCCAGUCAAAAACCCACCCAAAGUCCAGAAAGCGGGAUAGGCUUUUUCCCGACUAGGUGCAGGCCAUGUAGACCACUUGCUCACCUAUCCAAAGGCCAAGUGGUCUAGACCAACCAGCUAAUCAGCCCAAAAAGUACUUUUAAAUGAGAGUGCAAGUAAAUAGCUGAUGAGUCACUACCCUUCAAACUGCAUUCGGGCAAGGUUGCUGCUACAUGAGGCCAAGCUAAGAUGUCUAUAAAAGGAGAAAGAGAAGUCAGAAUCAAGGACACUCAAACAAACAAAUACAAGCACAAACUCUGCUCAAAGCCAGAUUUGCCUUCAAAACGAAGCUGUAGUCAGCCCAAGCCUUCAUCCCUUUCGGGGUAACCCUUUUUUGUAAUAGCUCUGCUACCCUGCUCAACUCUUGCUGUAGUAUCGAUAUCUUUUCUGAAAACUCACCUCCCAGUCUUUUUUUCUAAGCUUUCAAACCUCUUGCAAGACGAUUAGCCUUGUCCGACAAGGUUAAACCUUGCCCGACCCUUUUUGUUUUUGUCUUUUUAUUCAUUAGCCUAGCAAUAUGUUAUAUAAUACAAAUUGUACCCAAGUUAUUUCUAGUAAUAUGGCUAUUAAAAGGUUCUCUCAGUGCUUGAAUCUGAUUUGAACAUGUUUCCACUGUUCAAGUUAGAUCUAAGUUCUAGUUCUAAGCCCUCGGGCAUAUAAGAUUUGAUCACCCUAAAAGUCCUUGGCCUCAAGGCAUGAAAAAGAACCUGAUGUGGACUUAACCCAUCCACUACAAGUUUUGAUAACAAGAAGUCCGAAGUUACUUGGGGCGCAAGUAAUCGACCUGUCACUUAGUUUUAUUUCUGUUAUAUCAUGAUUACCAUGUAACGUUCGGGGACGGGAUGAAUUCUGAUGGGAAGCAUCAAGGCCUAUACUUAAGGCCCCACAAAGGCACCUAUUUGGAUUCAUCCUAUUUCUCGGGCAAGAACAUUGAAUAUAGAAGGGGUUCUGAUGGGAAGCCUUAAGGCCUAUACCUAAGGCCCCACAAAGGCACCUAUUUGGAUUCAUUCUGUUCUUUACGUUCAGGUAAUCAGAAGUAUGAUGGUUAUAAGAUCCAUAUAACCAAGAAAAGGAACCUUAUGUGUUCGAGCACUGUUUAGUUAUUGAUUGUGAAGCCUUAAGGCCUAUACCUAAGGCCCCACAAAGGCACCUGUCAAUAACUAAACAUAGUCUCUCGAACAUAUAAUUAAACUCAAACAUCCGUUCUACAUCGGUCAUGUUGAAGAUGGCAGUGGCACGCCUGAGCACGUAAAGGUUAAUCUUGAUUGUGAAGCCUCAAGGCCUACACCUAAGGCCUCACAAAGGCACAUUUCAAAGUUAACUCUGUCCUUCUCUUUCAGACUUGCCCGACAAGCCUUGCUCGACAACCCCGCCAGUAAAGCAGGAGCCCGACAGAAACCAUCAACCGGCGCCAACCUCUCGGGGAGCUGUGUGCUCGUCGGACAGGAAGCAUCCCCCACGGAAAUUCCAACCACGAACAUAGUUUUGGCACGGCCGAUGGGAUUUUGCUGAUCAAAGCAAUAUGUCAAAAGGAUCAGAAGAUUUCCAAACUGCUUUAUUGCACAUGCUGCAAAGAUUGGAGAACACCUCUGCAGGCUCCAGAAAAGAAGAUGAUCCGGUUCUAAAACCACCUAUUCUUAUGUCUUUACCUCAUCUUGGGGAGAAAAGUGAUAGGGAAAAUAGGGGGCUUAAAACCAAUCAACUAGAAGAAGCUGCGGUGACGGAUAAACAUACGGAUCCCUUCUCAGAAGCCCCUAUCAAUAUGAUCAGUAUGGCCUGGGCAGAGAAGGGAAACGAGAAGGUCACAAGAGAGGAAGAAAGAAGACUGAUUGACAAACCCAUAAAAAUGGUGGUUAACUUGCCCGAAUAUCCAAAAGCCGCCAUAUUCAAAGGAAGGGUGAUGUGCAGUAAGUGCCAAUGCGAGUGUGAGCUCGAAAUACCACCCACAUGAGCCUUCAUAGACCAUGAACUGAUCAGAAGGAAUGAAGAGCAAAAGAGAAAAGAGGCACAAGAGAAGGCUCGGCGAACUACAGGAAGGGAUACCUCCCGAAGUGUCUUUCAGCGGCUAGGAGGUGAUUCCCAACCAAGGGCUUUAUCAGAAAUCUUUCGUAACCAUGAGGUUUCUGAAGAAGCAGAGGAUAAAGAUGCUAAGAAGCCAAAAGAAAGAAGUGUAGGGCAUUCUCAGUACGACCAUAUGGGAAGAGAAGUCAAGAGGAAUGACAGGAUAACAAACCCUGUCACAAAGGAUAAUCCUGCCCGCCUCGGACGAAAAUGGUAUGUGGUCGGAAAGAAUGGACAGCCCGUUAAGCAAAUGGGGGCUUGCAUGGUCAGAAGGGUUCAGAGGCAACAUAAAGCUUACAUGAAUUCCUUGAAAGCCCCAGCGACGUCAGAAGCCUCUAAAAAUCAAAAGUUAGAGAAAACGUCAUCUGGAGAGAGCAGUCAGCUCCACUGGAGAAGUAAGAAGGAGGUGGAAAGGGCUAACAUCAAGAUUGAGGGCGAAGGAAAUCAUGUGCCACCAAACCUGCACCCUGGGAAAUAUAGAAUCUUGAGGAGAGCUCAAGAAGAUAUGGUUAUGGUGCCAACUCCUGGCUGGAAGGCAGAACAACCUAUUUUCUUUGGAACUGUCUCCCCUGAGAAAAAACAACCUUCUCCAUCAUUAGGGAAUCCCUUCGGGGAAGUUCCAAAACAAACACCAUGCCCAUGUGUGAAUCAACUCGUGGGGGCACCAGAACCAUUGCUUCCACCAGAUGCUAUGGCAUGAUUGGAUGAGUUCAUGGACCAGAUUGGGAGCAAAAAGAGGAAUUGCUAGAGCCUAGCAACUUUCAUAUAAACAUGGCAUAUGUGCUACCUGCUAUGUUUGUUGCCCAACCUGAUCAGCCCGUCGCCAUGGAAGGAGAUUAUGUAGCAACUGAGCCAAUGAUGGCUCAUGUUAAUAUAGAGGAAGCAGAGGAAUGAGAGUCGGGAAAAGCUGCAUCAUCUGAAGCAUCUAAAGAGGGUCCUUUAAGGAUCUACACAGACAAAAUGGUGUUCAGCAGCCCGACCAUUUCACUUGCCAAUCAUCUGAAACCCAUAUAUGUAACAACUCAUCUGGAGAGGGUGCCCUUCAGAAGGAUUUUGAUUGAUGGAGGGGCAGCUGUUAAUGUAUUACCAGCUAAGCAGAUGAAAAAAUUGGGGAGAGGCACAGAGGAUCUUAUUCCUACAGACCUCACAGUUUCUGGUUUCUCGGGCGCUAUCACCAAGACUCUUGGGAUAUUGCCUUUGGAAGUAGAUCUGGGGUCUAAACAGAUUAUGCUGGCGUUCUUUGUGGUGGACUGCACCUCCACCUAUGGAGCCUUACUUGGAAGGGAUUAGAUCCACCAAAGUCUUGCUGUACCCUCUACCCUACAUCAACAAGUGGCUGUGUAUCAUGAAGCAAGCGCAGAAGAGCCAGGCUUUUGGGAGAUAGUAGAGGCCGAGUCACAGCCAUUUCUUCUCACAGCCAAUAUAGCGGAAGCAAGUUUCUACAAUCCCAACGUAGGAAUCUUGAAGUGUUUGGGAGCAGAUGAGAACGGCCGCCCUACCAAGGUGACGGCCCAAAAGCUUCUAGAAUAAGGGAUGCUCUUUACUAGAGAAGAGUGGGAUAGACCUUUUAUCAUCCCAACACCCCUACACCAUCAAUGAUAGAACAAAAAAGGAAAGAUCAGGUAAUGGCAGUCAGAUCCCUGAUUAAAUGACUGUUGGUGUAUGGGAAAGAAAGAAGACAAGAAAAGGAGCUCUUAGACAGAGAAGAGCAGGAAUGGCAGGUAGGAGCUUCAACCAGCCAUGAUCAAAGCAGCGAGGAAUCUUGUCAAUAAGAAUUGGAAAGGGCCAUUCAAAUGGCCGAGUGUAUAAAUGACCUAGAUGAGCCAGACGACUUGCCCGAGAGCCCAGAGCUAGUCGAAUUUUUGUGUGCAGAACCUGAUAAGCCACCACUAGAGGUCCAAGAUCCUUUGGAAGUUAUUGAGCUAGGAACAAAGGAGGACCCAAGACCAAUACAAAUCAGUGGUUUAUUGAAGCAAGAAGAUCGGGCACAAAUUAUUUAUCUCUUGCAAGAAUUCAGAGAUUGUUUUGCUUGGCAUUACACUGAGAUGUCGGGUUUAGAUGCAACUUUGGUGGAACACAGAAUGCCCAUCAAGGAAGGAUAUAAGCCGGUUAAGCAAGCACCACGAAGGAUGUCGAAGGAGAUAGAAGAGAAGGUCAAAGAAGAGAUUGAAAGGCUCGUAAAAGCCGGAUUUAUCAGGCCAGCCAAAUAUGUAGAGUGGUUAGCUAAUAUUGUACCCGUUUUAAAAGCUGUAACAAAAGCAGUACGAUGUUGUGUUGAUUACAGAAAUAUUAAUGGCGCUACACCUAAAGAUGAAUAUCCUAUGCCUAUGGCAGAUCUGUCCAUAGAUGCAGUAGCAAAACACAAAGUCUUAUCUUUUAUGGAUGGAAAUGCCGGGUAUAAUCAGAUAAAGAUGGCCUCGGAAGAUAUACAUAAAACAGCUUUUAGGUGCCCUGGGCAUGUGGGGGCAUAUGAAUAUCUGGUCAUGCCCUUCGGGCUCAAGAAUGCUGGUGCAACCUACCAAAGGGUGAUGAAUGCCAUCUUUCAUGAUCUAAUUGGCCAGAAUAUGGAGGUGUAUAUUGAUGACAUCGUGGUGAAAUCUAAGACGGAAGAACAACAUCUGAUAGACCUCAGGCAGGCACUAACAAGAAUGAGGGUCCACAAAUUGAAGAUGAAUCCAAAGAAGUGUGCGUUUGGAGUAAGAGCGAGCAAUUUCUUGGGAUUCCUGGUUCAUCAACGAGGGGUAGAAGUGGACAAGAAUAAAGCUCGGGCAAUAAUGGAGUCACCUUCACCUACCAACAAAGUGCAACUUCAGAGGCUGUUGGGAAAAAUUAAUUUCUUAAGAAGAUUCAUUGCCAACCUGGCGGGCAAGAUUCAGCCGCUGACUCCUUUAUUAAGACUGAAGGAUAAAGAGAAUUUCGAGUGGGGACCACCGCAUCAAGAGGCUUUUGAUGGUAUCAAAGCUUAUUUGACUUCUCCUCAAUUAUUGGUACCACCUCAGAGGGGAAAACUCUUAAAGCUAUAUAUCUCCGCUUCAGAUAAAUCAAUUGGGAGUUUGCUAGCUCAGAACAAUGAAGGCGGGAAAGAGUAGGCAGUGUACAACCUCAGUAGAAUUCUGACCAAGGUAGAAACAAGAUAUUCCCCAGUAGAGAAAUUAUGCUUAGCUCUGUAUUUUACUGCCAAUAAGCUGAGGCAUUACAUGUUACCUUGUCACGUGCACAUCAUCGCCAAGACAGAUGUGAUAAAGUACAUGCUGUCAAAGCCAAUGUUAAUAGGGAGGAUUGGGAAAUGGAUUCUAGCAUUAUCAGAAUUCAACUUCCAGUAUGUUCCCCAAAGGGCAGUAAAAGGCCAAACAAUUGCUGACUUCUUGGCGGAGCAUCAAGAAUCUCGAGAUGAGAUAAUCAAUAUACCAGGAACCGUGGAAGUUACUAAUGUUUGGAUCCCGCCAGGUAAAGGGAUAUCGGGCAAAGAAGAGUGGAUCCAGCAGGAGAUAAGAAUAGUGGCUGGUUUGUGGAUUACUCAUUGGAAGCUGUAUUUUGAUGGUUCUUAUACUCAUAAGGCUUCAGGAGCUGGGGUUGUGAUUAUCAAUCAUCAGGGGAUUUAUCAUUAUUACUCAUUUCUUUUGGAUUAUCAAGGGAAUACCAACAAUCGGGCAGAGUACGAGGCCUUAAUAAUUGGUUUGGAAAUCUUGAUGGAUCUGGGGGCAAUGGAAGUUGAGGUGUUUGGUGAUUCAGAAUUGGUAAUAAACCAGCUAAAUGGGGAGUUCAAUUGCAGACAUAUCACCAUGGCCGGAUAUUAUUUGGCGGCUACGCAAUUGCUGAGUUAUUGGGAUUCUGAGAUAUCGGUGAGUCAUGUUCCCCGGGGAGCCAACUUAGCAGCCAAUGAGAUGGCGCAAUUAGCCUCAGGCAUGCCAGUACAGGAGAGAAGAUAUGGGUUAGAUGUCGAGAUUCAAAGGAGAAAUCUUCCUUCUAUCCUGGAAAGGGGAUUCAGCCUGGAUAUAAUGGUUCAGGAGACUGAGAAAGAAGAUUGGAGAUCGCCCAUCACCCUUCAUUUGAAAGAUCCCUCUUCACCUACCAGCAAGAAGAACCGACAUCAAGCAACUAAGUAUGUCUUAUGGGCGAAAGACUUACUAAGGAAAACUCCAGACGGGUUAUUACUGAAAUGCCUAGGCCAAGAAGAAUCUAUGCGAGUAAUGGCCGAAGUACAUGAAGGAGUAUGUGGAGCACAUCAGGCGAGGACAAAGAUGAGGUGGUUGCUUAGGCGAUAUGGUUAUUUUUAGCCCAACAUGGAAAAGGAUUGCAAGUCUUAUGCCUGAGGGUGUGAGGAAUGUCAAAGGCACGGUCCUCUCCAACAUGUACCCUCUGUACAUUUGAAUCCAAUAGUCAAGCCAUGGCCUUUCCGAUGAUGGGCGAUGGACUUCAUCGGGCAGAUAUAUCCAGCUUCUAGUAAGGGGCACACUUUCAUAAUUGUGGCAACGGAUUACUUCACCAAAUGGGUGGAAGCGACGGUAAAAUCCAUAACCUCAGCCACAAUUAAGAAUUUCAUUGAGACCAAGAUUCUGCAUAGAUUUGGGGUGCCCGAAACUAUUGUGACUGAUUGAGGGCCAUCUUUUAUCUCAAAAGAAGUUGAAGAAUUUGCAAGCAAAUACAAAAUAAAGAUGAUCCAGUCCAGUCCUUACUACCCGCAGUAAAAUGGCCAGGCAGAAUCCAGCAACAAGAUUUUGGUAAACAUUAUUAAAAGAAUGGUGAUUGAGAGUCCGAAAAAGUGGCAUGAAAAGCUGGGAAACACUUUGUGGGCAUACAAAACUUCCAGGAGGGCAGGAACAGGCACAACUCCUUAUGCUUUAACAUUCGGGCAAGAUGCAGUGCUUCCCAUGGAAAUCAACGUAAGUUCUAUCAGAAUUCAAAAUCAGUUUGGGUUACACAGCGAGGAAUAUAUCGAAGCCAUGUGUCAAGGAAUUGAAGACCUAGAUGUAGCCCGACUUGAAGCCUUGAAUCAGAUUCAAGAAGGAAAGAAAGUUGUUGCCCGAGCUUAUAACAAGAAGGUGAAGGUGAAGUCUUUUAAGGAGAGGGAUUUAGUAUGGAAGACAAUCCUCUCUCUAGGAGCUCAGCUUAGGGGCUUUGGAAAGUGGAGUUCGACAUGGGAAGGUCCUUUCAUAAUUAGUCAAGUAUUAAACAAAGGGGGGUAUUACCUGGCGGAUCUCGAAGGAAAGGGGCAGAAACAUCCCACUAAUGUUAAAUUCUUGAAAAAAUAUUGUCCUACAUGGGAUGUUAGAGAUUGUUAUAUUGAAGAUGAUGCAAGGUAAAACAAAUGUUGGAAUAUCAAGGUGCAGUAUAUGAUCACCAACCAUUCAAAAGAAAACAGAAAAACAAAAAGUUGCUAAGACAAUGUUUAUUUCAUUUCGACAAAUUGGUGAUAUUUGCAAACAGAUCCAAGUCCUAAGUACUACAUUCGAUUCCUUCUGGAUACAAUGUUAUUUUCAGCUGGUUUUCCGAUGUCUUCCUAGAUAGGACCCGAUCAGGUGAUCGGGUUGUGCGGCCAAGACGUGCCUGGUAGAGGAUCAUCAGACAGAGUCACCACCACAUGAUGGUGAAGCCUGAUUUAUCACGGCGACGAGCGGGAAGGCAAGUCAUCGUGAGGAAACCGUCUGACCAAGGGUGUUGGAUAUAGCGGGGUGAUCGACCAAAGGUGUUGGAGAUAAUAGUUAUCUGAUGAGAACUCUUUUUCUCACGAAAAGGGAGUUUUAAGAAACCCCACUUAAACUCUGAAGAACUCAUUUUCACAGUUUUUGGAAGAAAACUAAGGAAGUAAAAACAUUGGGAGCGGGUAAAAGAUAAGGUCGAGGAUGAUUUGUGGGGAAAACCAGAAUUUAUAGGAAUGUCAGAAGGUAGUUCAAAGGUUGUGGGAAGAUCAAAAGACUCCGGAUGGCGUUAAUCUCAAUAAGAAAAUACAAGUUCCAAGAGUAAGGGCGCAGACGCAUGCAGCUAUUCAAUUAAUAUUGGCGCCUGAAAUUCCUGGCUAAAUAUCAAUUGAAGGGGGCACAGUUUGGAUCAAAACUUCAACUUUGGGCCCGGGGGAAGUUGGCCCAAAAAGUAGCCUAAAAGGGAGAGGAAAUUGAAGGCCCAGUCAAAAACCCACCCGAAGUCCAGAAAGCAGGAGAGGCUUUUUCCCGACUAGGUGCAGGCCAUGUAGACCACUUGCUCACCUACCCAAAGGCUAAGUGGUAUAGACCAGCCAGCUAAUCAGCCCAAAAAGUACUUUUAAAUGGCAGUACAAGUAAAUAGUUGAUGAGUCACUACCCUUCAAACUGCAUUCGGGCAAGGUUGCUGCUACAGGAGGCCAAGCUAAGAUGUCUAUAAAAGGAGAAAAAGAGGUCAGAAUCAAGGACACUCAAACAAACAAAUACAAGCACAAACUCUGCUCAAAGCCAGAUUUGUCUUCAAAACGAAGCUGUAGUCAGCCCAAGCCUUCAUCCCUUUCGGGGUAACCUUUUUUUGUAAUAGCUCUGCUACCCUGCUCAACUCUUGCUGUAGUAUCGAUCUCUUUUCUGAAAACUCACAUCCCAGUCCUUUUUCUAAGCUUUCAAACCUCUUACAAGACGAUCAGCCUUGCCCGACAAGGUUAAACCUUGCCCGACCCUCUUUGUUUUUGUCUUUUUAUUCAUUAGCCUAGCAAUAUGUUAUAUACUACAAAUUGUACCCAUCCACUACAAGCUUUGAUAACAAGAAGUCCGAAGUUACUUGGGGCGCAAGUAAUCGACAUGUCACUUAGUUUUAUUUCUGUUAUAUCAUGAUUACCAUAUCACGUUCGGGGACGGGAUGAAUUCUGAUGGGAAGCCUCAAGGCCUAUACCUAAGGCCCCACAAAGGCACCUAUUUGGAUUCAUCCUUUUUCUCGGGCAAGAACAUUGAAUAUAGAAGGGAUUCUGAUGGGAAGCCUCAAGGCCUAUACCUAAGGCCCCACAAAGGCACCUAUUUGGAUUCAUUCUGUUCUUUACGUUCAGGUAAUCAGAAGUAUGAUGGUUAUAAGACCUAUAUAACCAAGAAAAUGAACCUUAUGUGUUCGAGCACUGUUUAGUUAUUGAUUGUGAAGCCUCAAGGCCUAUACCUAAGGCCCCACAAAGGCACCUGUCAAUAACUAAACAUAGUCUCUCGAACAUAUAAUUAAACUCAAACAUCCGUUCUACAUCUGUCAUGCUGAAGAUGGCAGUGGCACGCCUGAGCACUUAAAGGUUAAUCUUGAUUGUGAAGCCUCAAGGCCUACACCUAAGGCCUCACAAAUGCACCUUUCAAAGUUAACUCUGUCCUUUUCUUCAGACUUGCCCGACAAGCCCGCCAGUAAAGCAGGAGCCCGACAGAAACCAUCAACCGGCGCCAACCUCUCGGGGAGCUGUGUGCUCGUCGGACAGGAAGCAUCCCCCACGGAAAUUCCAACCACGAACAACUUCAUUGAAUUAGGUUGUUUUACUUGAUUCAUUUUGGUUCCUAGUUUGGUGAAUAAUUGUGUUAUUAUGUGACUACUCGAUUAAGCGAUUGAAAUGUGUUGUGGGUUUUGAUUAGGGAGUGGUAAGACAACCUUUAUGCAUCGGUUGGUUUCGCACACACAUGAAUCCAACAUUCGUGGAUACGUGAUGAAUCUCGACCCAGCUGUGAUGACUCUCCCGUUUGGUGCGAACAUUGACAUACGGGAUACUGUUCGGUACAAGGAGGUGAUGAAACAGUUCAAUCUUGGACCAAAUGGUGGGAUUUUGACUUCACUCAACUUGUUUGCUACCAAGUUUGAUGAGGUACUUGCUUCUUAAUCUUUGCCUCAAGUCAUUUUGUUCACUUGAGCGUUUGGAACGCACCGUAAAUGGGAUAUGGCGUCCUUUUUUUUACUAUCAACUCAUCUUCAUAAGCAUUUGGAAGAGUUUUGUAUCACAUGCAUAGUACGUCAGAUUGUAAUUUUGGUGAUUUCAUUCAAUAACUUUGUAUAAUGUAUUGCAUCGUUGGGCUGAGUACUGGUUCUACUUGUUCAAUUUGUUUCCAAACGUCGAAUCCUUAUGAAAAUGAAUCCAGAACAAAAUCGCGCUAAAGCUAGGGCGUCACCCGUAAGUGGCGCGCUGUGUGGCCUGAGCACAGUGAUAAGUGAGCAAGGGUCGCUGCAUCUCCAUCGGCACCCGGAUGCAGUGUUAAAUGAGCAAGGGGGCCAUAGAAACUUCUUUUCGAACGACUCCACUCAAAGUUGUUUGGGAGCAUAUGCUCCUAUCAAUUUUACCCGGGACACACAAAAGAAGUACUUUGAUCCUAUUAGACGGGGGAGGGUGAAGAAGCUAGGACAGAAGGGUAGAGUUCAAGAGAGCAAAAUGCGUUUAGGAACGUGGAAUAUAGGAACCUUAACGGGAAAAUCUAUGGAAAUAGUGGAAGUUAUGGUGAGGAGAAGGAUAAAUAUUAUGUGCCUACAAGAAACUAAGUGGGUUGGUAGUAAGGCAAAGGAUCUAGAAAACUCAGGGUUUAAACUUUGGUAUUCGGGCACAAAUAGAACGAGAAACGGUGUUGGCAUCAUCGUGGACAAGACCUUGGUACAAGAUGUUGUAGAUGUCAAGAGGGUAGGAGAUAGAAUCAUGGCAAUCAAGAUUGUAAUAGGACAAGAACUUAUCAAUGUGAUUAGUGCGUACGCACCUCAAGUAGGGUUGGAUACGAGUUCGAAGGAGAAAUUUUGGGAAGAUCUUGGAGACUUGGUGCAAGGAAUUGCUCAGACGGAGAAGUUAUUUAUAGGAGGAGAUUUAAAUGGACACGUGGGCAGGGAGACAGGCAACUAUGGAGGUUUUCAUGGUGGCCAUGGUUUUGGGGAGAGAAACGAGGAUGGGGAAGCUAUCUUGGAUUUUGCAAUGGCAUAUGAUCUCUUCUUAGCCAACACCUUCUUUAAGAAGAGAGAAGAACAUGUGAUCACCUACAAGAGUGGGUCGUCAAAAACACAAAUAGAUUUUCUUCUAAUGAGGAAAGGGGAUCGUAUAACUUGUAAAGGAUUGCAAAGUUAUACCAGGAGAGAGCGUGGCUAAUCAACAUCGCUUGUUGGUGAUGGAUGUACAUAUCAAAAGAGUAAGACAAAAGAACAAGACUUGGAAGUGCCCAAGGACUAGAUGGUGGAAUCUAAAAGAAGAAAAACAAGUCAUUUUCAAAGAGAGAAGGUAAUCACCCAAUGUGUGUGGGAUAGAGAGGGGGAAGCUAGCCAAAUGUGGGAUUCCAUGGCUAGUUGUAUCCGAAAAGUAGCAAAAGAGGUAUUAGGAGAGUCCAAGGGCUUUGCCCCACACCAAAAGGAAUCUUGGUGGUGGAAUGAGGAGGUACAAACAAAGGUGAAGGCUAAGAAGGAAUGUUGUAAAGCCUUAUACAAGGAGAGGACCGAUGAAAAUGGUGAAAAGGUAUAGAAAAGCGAAGCAAGAGGCGAAAAAAAGCUGUCAGAGAAGCUAAGUUAGCGGCUUACGACGAUAUGUAUAAACGACUAGAUACCAAAGAAGGAGAGUUGGAUAUCUAUAAACUAUCUAGAGCAAGGGAAAAGAAGACAAGGGACCUAAACCAAGUGAGGUGCAUCAAGGAUGAGGAUGGAAAGGUUCUUGCUACAGAGAACGCGGUUAAAGACAGAUGGAGAGGUUAUUUUCAUAAUCUUUUCAAUGAAGGACAUGAAAUGAGUGCUUCUUUAGGGGAGUUGAGUAACUCAGAAGAGUGUAGAAACUACUCUUUUUAUCGUCGAAUCCGGAAGGAAGAAGUGGUUGUAGCUUUGAAGAAGAUGAAGCAUAAAAAAGCAAUAGGCCCAGACGAUAUACCAAUCGAAGUGUGGAAACUUUUGGGAGAGACAGGUAUAACAUGGCUCACUGACCUUUUCAAUAGGAUUUUGAAAACGAAGAAGAUGCCAAAUGAGUGGCGAACGAGCACUUUGGUGCCUAUCUACAAGAAUAAGGGCGACGUACAAAAUUGCAUGAACUAUAGGGGUAUUAAGCUAAUGAGUCAUACAAUGAAGCUCUGGGAGAGAGUCAUUGAGCAUAGAUUGAGGCAAGAGACACGGGUUUCGGACAACCAAUUCGGGUUCAUGCCAGGGCGCUCAACCAUGGAGGCAAUCUAUCUCUUACGAAGAUUGAUGGAAAGAUAUAGAGAUGGGAAAAAGGAUUUACACAUGGUCUUUAUAGAUUUGGAAAAAGCGUAUGAUAGGGUCCCAAGAGACAUUCUUUGGAGGAUUUUAGAGAAGAAAGGAGUACGAGUAGCAUAUAUCCAAGCUAUAAAGGAUAUGUAUGAAGGAGCAAAGACUGCCGUAAGAACUCAUGAAGGACAAACCGAAAGCUUUCCCAUAACUGUAGGAUUACAUCAAGGCUCAUCCUUAAGUCCUUACCUUUUUGCGUUGGUAAUGGAUGAGUUAACAGGACAUAUUCAAGAUGAUAUUCCUUGGUGUAUGCUUUCGCAGACGAUAUAGUGUUGAUAGAUGAAACUCAGGAAGGGGUAAAUGCAAAGCUUAACCUUUGGAGAGAAGUGUUGGAAUCUAAAGGUCUUCGCCUAAGCCGAUCAAAGACAGAAUAUAUGGAGUGCAAGUUCAGUGCAAAUGGAGGCCAAAACGAGUUAGGGGUGAGGAUCGGAGAUCAAGAAAUACCAAAGAGCGACCGUUUUCGUUACCUAGGAUCUAUCUUGCAAAAGAACGGAGAAUUAGAUGGAGAUCUCAACCAUAGAAUACAAGCUGGAUGGAUGAAGUGGAAGAGUGCAUCCGGCGUGUGUUGUGUGACCGCCGUAUGCCACUGAAGCUCAAGGGAAAAUUUUAUAGGACGGCAAUAAGGCCGGCGAUGCUGUAUGGCACAGAAUGUUGGGCGGUGAAACAUCAACACGUACACAAAAUGGGUGUAGCGGAGAUGAGGAUGCUUCGUUGGAUGUGUGGGCACACGAGAAAGGAUAAGAUUAGGAAUGAGGAUAUCCGGGGUAAAGUAGGAGAGUAGCCGAAAUUGAAGGAAAGAUGAGAGAAAAUCGGUUACGGUGGUUUGGACAUGUGCAAAGAAGGCCUACUGACGCUCCGAUUAGAAGAUGCGACUAUGGGACAGAGGUUCAGGGCCGAAGGGGUAGAGGAAGACCUAGGAAAACUUUGGAAGAGACUCUAAGAAAAGACUUAGAGUACUUGGAUCUAACGAAGGACAUGACACAGGAUCGAGCACAAUGGCGUUCUAAGAUUCAUAUAGCCGAUCCCACUCAGUGACUUGGAUUUUCCAAGUCUCCAACCGAGAAGUUUUCCUCACUCGGGAAAUUAAGGGAACACUACCCCAACCUACAUGCUCCACUCAGAAAGCUUCAACAUACAAAGCUUCAACAAAAGAAAAUUCAAAGAACUUAGCGAAGAAGGCUUUGGUGUAUUUAACACAAUACGUUGAAAUGAAGGAAAGCUUAUUUAUUGAUAUCCCCGAUAAGCUACAAAUAUGUACAUAUACAUGAGUCAAAAUAAACACACAAGAGGGAGCCUUCACAAAGGUUGCUUAGGAGAAGUCUCAGCAGUCGGUAGAGCCCCAGAAAGAGAAGGCACCGGAGGGGGAUCAUUUGGAGCCUCAGUACUGGACAGAACCCUAGAAGGAGGAGGCAUCAGAGGUUGAUCAUUUGGAGCUUCAUUACGCGGUACAGCCCCAGAAGACGAAGGCAAUAAAUGCCUUUGGAACAAACCCACAAAUCUCUGAUGAUCAAGUAAAACCUGACCAUCAGUUUCCUUCAUCUGGUCAAGCUUCCUCUUCAUGUUUGUAGCAUAGUCAUGUGCGAGCCGGUGCAACUGUUUAUUCUCAUGCUUGAGCCCUCUAAUCUCCUGUUUGAGACUCAUCACUUCAGCCGCCAAUGAUUCAACUUGGCGGGUUCGAGCAAAUAGGCGUUGGGCCAUAUUAGACACAGAACCUGCACACUGAACACUGAGAGCCAGCGAAUCCUUAACAGCUAACUCAUCAGACCGUUUGGAAAGUAGUCUGUUAUCUUUGGGAGUGAGAAGGUUCCUGGCCACCACCGCAGCGGUCAUAUCAUUCUUUCAUCACGGAAUCCCCAACGGUAAGAGGACCAGUAGGGGAGACGAAGGAUGGGCGCCAUAUGUUGUCUGGAGAAGGCGGGGCUGCCUCUUCAACAAGGUUCAAGUCAAAACGACGGUCGGAGGGGCCAGACAUUUUCAAAGGUGUUGAAGAGAGAAGAGGUCGGACAAAUCAAGAUCUUAGAAGUGCAAGAAUGAAGCUUCUACUGGUGGAGAUUCAAGUGUGCUUUGGAACUUAAUGCCAGCCCCUAUAAAAAUCUGCACUCGACGGAGCUUCAGAAAUCGAAGAGGCGCCUGCUCAGAAAUCGAAGAGGCGUUUGCUUUCUCAAAAGCUGGGCUGCUUAGAGAUCACGAGGGUUGAUCUCAGAAAUCGAAGAGGCGUUUGCUUUCUCAAAAGUUGGGCUGCUCAAAGACCACGAAGGCCGAUCUCAGAAAUCGAAGAGGCGCUCGCUUUCUCAAAAGCUGGGCUCCCCAGAGACCACGAGGGCCGAUCUCAGAAAUCGAAGAGGCACCUACUUUUCCAGCCUUGUCAGCACCUGUCACACGCACACUCAGCUUUGCGGAAAUUAUGGGCAUUCUGUCGAAGACUUCUGGGGAAGUAGAAAACACAUGAAUCUUACUGUUCAAUCACCCACUUCCCACACGCAACAAUAGCUCAUGGGUACCACAGAUAACUUUGCCAAAGUUCUCUGCCAAAGUUGAGCACGUGAAGCUUGCAGCUCCCACUACAUCGCUCUGACCAAGAAGGGUAAAAGAAUAGCAAAGAAACAGCACUAACAAAGUUUAGACCCAUAAAUUUUGAAGGUCUAGCUACCAUAUUAUUACCCACAAGGGUAAAGGAACAGUACCACUGCUGGAUAAUUGGAAAGUCCCUGUGUGUCAACCUCUGUGCUUCGUGGCAAGGUAGACUAGCAAACAUGCCCAACCUUUACUCACAUUCGAGAAAACACUCCCAAUAAGAUUGCUUGCUCCAAAAUCGAAGAGGCACCGUCCUCCGAAUCUCGAGAGCCAGACUCCCAACAUGACUACUUUCUUAAAAAUCGAAGAGAGGGUAAAGGAACAGUACCAUUGCUGGAUAAUUGGAAAGUCCCUGUGUGUCAACCUCUGUGCUUCGUGGCAAGGUAGACUAGCAAACAUGCCCAACCUUUACUCACAUUCGAGAAAACACUCCCAACAAGAUUGCUUGCUCCAAAAUCGAAGAGGCACCGCCCUCCGAAUCUCGAGAGCCAGACUCCCAACAUGAUUACUUUCUCAAAAAUCGAAGAGACACUGCUCCCCGAAUCUUCGAGAGCCAGACCCCCAGCAUGAUUGCUUUCUCAAAAAUCGAUGAGGCAUCGUUCUCCGAAUCAAUCGAAGAGGCGCUCGCUUUCUCAAAAGCUGGGCUGCUCAGAGACCACGAGGGCCGAUCUCAGAAAUCGAAGAGGCACCUACUUUUCUAGCCUUGUCAGCACCUGUCACACGCACACUCAGCUUUGCAGAAAUUAUGGGCAUUCUGUCGAAGACUUCUGGUGAAGUAGAAAGCACAUGAAUCUUACUGUUCAAUCACCCACUUCCCACACGCAACAAUAGCUCAUGGGUACCACAGAUAACUUUGCCAAAGUUCUCUGCCAAAGUUGAGCACGUGAAGCUUGCAGCUCCCACUACAUCGCUCUGACCAAGAAAGGUAAAAGAAUAGCAAAGAAACAGCACUAACAAAGUUUAGACACAUAAAUUUUGAAGGUCUAGCUACCAUAUUAUUACCCACAAGGGUAAAGGAACAGUACCACUGCUGGAUAAUUGGAAAGUCCCUGUGUGUCAACCUCUGUGCUUCGUGGCAAGGUAGACUAGCAAACAUGCCCAACCUUUACUCACAUUCGAGAAAACACUCCCAACAAGAUUGCUUGCUCCAAAAUCGAAGAGGCACCGUCCUCCGAAUCUCGAGAGCCAGACUCCCAACAUGACUACUUUCUCAAAAUCGAAGAGAGGGUAAAGGAACAGUACCAUUGCUGGAUAAUUGGAAAGUCCCUGUGUGUCAACCUUUGUGCUUCGUGGCAAGGUAGACUAGCAAACAUGCCCAACCUUUACUCACAUUCGAGACAACACUCCCAACAAGAUUGCUUGCUCCAAAAUCGAAGAGGCACCGCCCUCCGAAUCUCGAGAGCCAGACUCCCAACAUGAUUACUUCCUCAAAAAUCGAAGAGACACUGCUCUCCGAAUCUCGAGAGCCAGACCCCCAGCAUGAUUGCUUUCUCAAAAAUCGAAGAGGCAUCGUUCUCCGAAUCUCGAGAGCCAGAUACCACAGACCACUUUUUCAAAGUGCUCUGACAGAGUUAAAACAUGUGAAACUGGCAGCUCCCACUACCGUGCUAUGACCAAGCAGGGUAAAGGAAUAGCAUUACUACUUGUUGUUAGGGAGACUCCUAUAUAUGUCGACCUCCAUCCCCAACGGACAGGCAGACCUGCAAAAAUGCUCAACCCUUCAUCAUAUCUGAGAGGGCACUCCCAACGAAGCCUUUCGAAAUAUUCAGCUUUCUUUCCCCCCGAUAAUACCUCUGCAAACAAGCUAUACUAGAGCAAGAAUAUCUCAUAUCAUCAGGGUUAAAAGCAAGAGUAUCCCAUAUCAUGCUUUUUCCCUGUCUUUUCCUUUGGCCUUGUUUUUACCUGCAAGACAAGGAGAAAGAGAGAGCAAUCAGUCAGCACUUGGAAUCAAGCUUCCAGCCAGGAACUGACUGCCUGGAACCCCUUACCUGAUUACUUACCUGGCAUUGCUCUCGAGUACUCAUCUUCAACAUCUUAUGUUUCCAGGGAAGAUUCCGCAUCUGCUUGAGGAACAGAUAGGGCAAGUGCGAAGGAUACAAGGAAGCAUGUGGAGACAAGCGUAACAGCACACGUGCCGAUACAUCCAUUACUCUGUCAAAAGCAAAAGUAUCCCAUAUCAGCAGGGUGGAACGUACUCUAGAUUUGAUGGACUUGUUUUGACCCUCAAAUUCUUCAGUCGGCCUUAUACUCUGGAGGAAACCAGAAAAACCCUCCAGCUCAGUUCAAGAAUAAGCCUGUGGAAAGUUACUUCUUC